UACAUAUUACGGCAUACGACAACAUGAGAGUACACGCAAUACUACGGAGCGGGACAUAAAAUCCACUUUCUCCGGUUUCCUUUCAGACCCACGAAAGGAAACACCGAUUACAACUUGAAUGGCACUAAUAGCAACAGCAACAGUAGCAACACCAGCACGACGAGUAAUCAUAUCAUGCUAUGUUAUGUUACAAGCUCGCGAGAGCUCGUAAGGCCCAGCCAGCCCAGGAGGCUCAUGGACCGCGAGCUCUAGCGUGUCAUAUUAUGCUAUAUGCUAAUCGUAUCGAACAAUUCGACCUUGUGGGUGGAUGUCGUGCGCUGGACAGCGCAUAUAUAGUAGUAUAUCUACCAUACUCAUGGGUAGUGUGAAGGACAAACACACACGUAUAUAUAUAGAUACUCCGCCAUGCCCGUACCCGUACGACGUACGGGAAUAGUCCUUCACUCUCUGGGGCGAUAUAACUUCCGAAACCUUCAUCCACACACACACAUACUAAUCCUUCUCCUGCAAGCUUUAGCUUCAAUAACAAGUGGUGCGCUUUGUGUGUUGUGCUAUUUCCGUGCCAUUUUUCUCCUCGUCUGCACAGCGUCCCGGGCGUAACAGGGGGGUAUGCAUGCCUUCGAAAUUCAGCCCCUUAAUCGGGUGACUGCCGGAAGACGGCCUGCGCACGGGUGGACUGACUGGCGGUGGAGCAAUUUACGCCUGUAGGCCCGGUGCGUCUGCAUGUUUGUAUGUCACUCUGUGUGUGUGUGUGUCGGUUUCCUGUUUGUUAUUGUGAGUGGACGAAUAAAAGUAAGUCUGUGGACACCACAUCCUCCUGCAAACAAACACCACGAAGACCGACCUCCUCCCCAUCCUAGGAUCCCUAGGAUCCGAGAUCCAUAACGUGCCCCGCCGAUCACCGACGUGAUAUGAAAGCUGUACGUAUGAAAGGAAUACAAAUUACGAACCCAGAGGAAAACAAUAAACUACGUCAGCCCAUCACACAUUACCUCCCACCCAACUCGUGUAGCACAUAACAGCGAUAUGACAACAGUUAGUUGAACAGUAAGUAAAGCAAAACUAAAAAUAAACCGAAAAAACCGGAAAUGUUAAAUCCAAACCUAACCCUCGCAAGGUGAGAACCGCAGGUAUAAAGGAAUGGAGGCAGUUCCAAGUUCUUUGGAAAAUGCGGCAUCAGCCCAUGCAGGGUUCCACACUAUAGCCCAAACCGCCCAGCAGUUCUCAACAAUUCCCAUGUUAUAUCACGACUUCAGAAAAGCAUCGUUUGGCGGAAGCAGAUCCUGUGAUGUGCCCAGAGGAUACUACGUCCCAGCAAGAAAAAUUCCCAUGCAAAGACCGGCCCCGGUCCCCAACCCCGUCCCUAUACCGCAGGCUGACCUAUAUAUAACCUUCCUUUUCUUUCCCAGCCCCAACCAUAAACAGCGGUGCUCCCGUUAUGACCUAUUAUGCUCAUCACUCCCGCUCCCCAACUCGCCCCGUAAGGAAGUUAGUACCCGCACGCAAGGUCAGCGCCCCCGGAUAGGCUUCCCUGGGGUCGGGGGCACUUACCGCCAGUGUACGGCAAGGUACGAGAACAGCUAAUGUACGGCAAUGGCCUGAUAAUUAGGAAAGAGCGUGGACUUGCGACAUGCGGAAGGAUCUGUCGCCGCCGUCCUGAUGAUAGAAAUCACUCAGGUUAAUACAAAAGCAGACGUGACCGGGUGGUCAUGAUGGUGCAGCAGGGCGCCUGUGCAACAUACAUACAUACAUACAUACAUACAUACGUACAUACAUACAUACAUGUACGAGAAUGAAAAGGGGGAACAUCACGAACCGGCGAUGUUACCAUCUAUAGCUUCCAGCAUUACACACAAGCAUCCGUUCAUGGCUCAGCUCUGGCUUUACCGCCCUCAUGGCGUCUCAUAGCCCUUAUACCUCUACAUACACCACACCUCCACAUACAUGCACCACCAUUCCGCAAUCAAGAAUGAGCCAUGAAGCGUGCCCUGGAGGGUUCUUGGAACAGAGGUACAACACGACUCCCCCGCCACCACCACCACCAUCGCCUGCAGGUUCACCACCACCAUCGCCAUUAGCAGCAUCACCACCGGCGCCACAACAACCACUAUACCAUUUUACACCACCACGAAUAUAACGCUAUCACAUACAUACAUACAUACAUACAUACAUACAUACAUACAUGCAUGCGUACCUACACAUAAACAUACAUACACACACAAGGCAUUACACCGGUAGACGUAAAAAAAGUGGCGUGAAAUGGCUCGGUAUGAGCCAGCCAGGCCGUGACCUUGCCGGCAUUUGCACCGUACACCCUGGCAGCCUCUCCCCCGCUCUCCACCCCACGGAUGCCAGUCGUAUGACACAGGCUUAACGAUUGUGCAUUACAGCAUAAGAUAAAAGAUGCCUGCAGUGCGACAGAACCGAUUAAAUAUCUUCUUCCUGAAAAGUAUACGCACGUAUAAAGGCGGCUAUAGCAGCAGUACGGCAUAUAUUGGUGGUGUUUAUUUAAAUCGUUGGGUCGCUAAAGGAGGGCGACCAGCAGUAGUCCAGUAGCAGCGUCAUAGCAUUAGCUCAGACAUUUGCUCGACUGGGUUUUAACUUAGGGUUUUAGAGGUUUUACUUAACAGCACAUCCAAACAUGUGCAUCAGAUGCGGGCCCGCGUCCUUGUCCUUCUUCUUUGACUUCCCUUCCCACAUCGCAUCACAUCACAUCAUCAUCAGCAGCAGCACGAGCAAGGACUCCGAAACCCAAGGACAGGGUACCCGGGUCGCCCUCCUCCUCCUCCCAUUACGGAGAUAAGAAAUGCAAAUAGGGGAGAAAGCCACGCCAUGACCGACGAAUCUUCCAAUGCUUCCCAUAAUAAAAAGCGCACAAGCAUGCAUUCGAUGGGCUCCACAAACAAUAUACUGCAUUGGAAAGCAUCUAGGAGUGAGAUAUUCUGCCGACAAUAGCACAAGACCAAAAAAAAUCCCUAGAGCUGCCUUCGGUUCUCCGAGCACCCUUCCCCCUCUGCCCUCCCCCUUCCCCAAAUACAGGUUUUCCACCAACCCCACCACUCCAUCUCUUCACUAAUGUGUCCCCUAGCAAUCCCGUACCGCUCUGGAACAAGAUCUGACGCAAAAGUUAAACCCUUGCGCCACCAGCACCACCAUAACCCACCAGCACUUCCACCACCGUUCCACCACCAACACCUCCCCAGACGCCCUAAAUGUCCCGUCAAAUGGAUACCCGAAUGGAUGUGAUGGAGCCGCCCCUUUUUAGAGGCAUUUCCAUCGCGGCAACCACAAAACGAAAGGCAGUGUCGUUCCUGUUUUUUGCUGCUACUGCUGUGCUGCUGCUGUUACUGCUGUUCAAAACGUGGGUCAGGAGGGGACGACGUGCCAGACCUUCCAGGAACUUGGGCAGGAGCAGAUCCCGAGGUGUCAGCGGCAACAAAGGGGACUUCCUCACGCCGUAAUGACGCGACCGAGCCCGUGUCGGGGACCUUGGAGACAGCUCGUUGCGCGGCGGCGGCGGCGGCAGCGGCGGCGGCAGCCGCCUCGGCGGCAGCCGAGGAUGUUGAUCCGGACUUCGCUGUGACCGCAGCCAUCUCGCCAGGGUCGCUCCCCUGACGUGCCGCGCUCUUACUAUCCAUCUGCAGCUGUGACUGCGCCGUCAAUGUAGUCAGGGCACAAAACGAAAGCGGUCAAAAAGUCGGACAUUACAAAAAACAACAAAAACAUGUGCAAAAGUCUGAAGGGAACAUCUAGCAGGCGGGAGAGGUGACAGCAACAAAAGGGUCGCAUUAGGAAGUGGUAGCACAGUUGGGACGAACCUAAAAGCAUUGGCGAGCCAGGAAAAGAAGUGUGAAAUAUGAAAUAUUGCGAUGAACAGAGCUCCAAACAGGGGCUGGUAAAUGAGAAUAAGGCGCACACAACCAAUUUGACUCGAAAAAGGUGCUCUAUGAAUAUGUUUGCGAUUGAAUCCAUUAGAUUAACCAGAUGUGACCAUUGACUUCGCACGUAAAGUGAUGCACAGCGAGAAAGGAACAAGGGCGGGGGAAGCAAAGUGAAGCGUACCUCUGGUCCUACCUCUGGAUCCGGAUCCGCCGCCGCAGCAGCAACGGCAGUAGCAGGAUCCGAAUCGGAUAACAGCUGCCGCCGGCGGUUCUCCCAGCUGACGUCGCCGCCGCUGCCAUCGCCAUCACCAUCACCACCUACUACUACUACCUCCUGCUUCAAGUCCUCCUCCUCCUCCUCUACCUCUUCCUCGUCGACGUUGGCGUUGCCGCCGUCGCCGCCGCCGCCACCGCCGCCGGCAACGCGUCCCAUCGAGAGGCUUCCUUCAUCACGGGAGUCGUUUGAACAGCGUGGGAAACGCGACACGGUACCAGUCGCGGCGGCGGCGGCGGCGGCAGUCAUUUCUCGACGUGGUAGCACUGCCGUACCCGUGCCAGCCGACACCGGAUCUGAGACGGGCCCUGCAAGAAGCGCCCACGCGCCAGCAGGUGCGCCCUGCGCUGCCGUACUGGCGUUGUGCAACAGAACCCGUACGGAUGACGGUGUGUUGUUGCCGUACCGUUGGGACAAGGAUGGAGCACUGUCGGCGCUGCCGCCGCCAUCAUCGUCUCCUCCGUUACCUGCGCCUCCGACGGGGGAGAGAUCGCCGCUGCCGCCGCUCUUCUCCGGCCGCCGUGAUCGACGUGGCGGCUGCGGCUGUGGCGGCGGCGCCGCCGCCGCUACCGCAGCAGCUGCCGCCACCGCCUGCCGCGGCAGCGCCGCCGCCGCUUGGUCAUUAGGCUGCGGCCAUGCCUCAUCACUGACCCCGUUGUCGCGAGAUCCUUCCCUUUCGUACUCGGCAAGUACGACAGCCGCCUCCGCCGGCGUCAGUUGUUGCAAUCGGAAGCCUCGUUGAGGCAGCAGCAGGCCAUCACCACCACCACCGCCGCCACCGGAUCCCGCUGCGCCAGCAGCGCCAGCCGAUGCGGUGCCGCCGCCGCCGCCACCACCGCCGCCGCCGCCGCCACCACCGCCGCCGCCGCCACCACCUGCCAACGCUGUCCCCGAUGGCAAAUGCCGCGAAGCUCCCGACAACGCCGGUGGAAGCACGUAGCCCCGUACGGCAGCCUGUUGCUGCUGUUGCUGCUGCUGCUGCGACGUCUGCUGCUGGUUGGGAUGAUGGGGCACCUGGUGCUGUGUCUGUUGCUGCUGGUUCAACGUAGGCAGUUGCUGCGACGUCGUCGACGGCAGUAGCUGCAAGGGACCACGCACGCUGGCAGCAUCGGUGAGACCCUCCGGCGGGGAGUCGCGCUCCAAGGCCCCGGUCAAAAUAGAGAUCGCCGGCGCGUCAUGCCUUAUUGCAAAAGGCAUCGGCGGUGGGCCCAAAAGCAGCGCCGCUGGCGCAGCGGCGCCAGCGGUGCCGCUGGGGUACGGCGCCCGCUGCGGCGGCGUCUGUGCCGCCGCCAGAGGCUGGUGCGCGUGCGAAGACGCACCUGUAAGCUGUUGCGACGGCGGCUGUUGAUGCUGCUGCUGUUGAUGGUGAUGGUGGGGGUGAUGAUGGUGGUGGGGGCCCCCUGGUGGUGUGUGUGUGUGGUGAUGGCGAGAUGGCGGCAAGUCACCCGCUGCUGCUGAGGGGUGUUGAGGGGCCGUGGCGGUGGUGGUGGUGGUCGUGGUGGUGGUCAAAGCCACAGAGGUCGUGACGACGGGGCCAUGGACCACGGGACCCGCGGCAGCGGCGCCGCCGCCGCUGCCUGCACUGCCGUACCGCUGCUGCGGCGGUGCCGUCGCCUGUGGCGGCGGCUGCUGGUGCAGGUCUCGUGCGGCAGUUGCCGUAAUAGCUGCCGCCAGCAGCGGAUUCGCACCCGCUAAGUCAAGUAGGUUCUGCAGAUUUGCCGCGGUGAACUUUUGCGCAAUAACGUUGUUCAGGUCGUCAGAUGACAAAGGCUCGUCCUGUGGAUCGGUUGAAAAGCCGUACGGUCGUUGUUCGUACAUUGGUUUCGGAUUUGUGUUGGGACUCAAGAGGAUGGGGGUACAAUAGUGAUUGGAUAAUAUAUUUAAAGUAAUGACACAUGCAUGUAUAUAUGUAUGUAUGUAUGUAUGUAUAUAUGUCGCAUUGAGCAAUGCUACACACAUACAUCACAAAAGGGUGUGCGCGGAUUGCUAUCCCGGGAUUCGAAUUGUAAGGUAAGAGGGGUUUGUUGUAAUCUGCAAUGCGCCUUGUGUGCAUGUUGUGCGUGGCCCAACAAACAUGUUUAGACAUGGACAUGGGCAUAUGCUUUUAGAACGCUACGACUGCUCAGGACAGCCAGUAAGCUCUGCUCCUAUCCUCUUACAACCCCCCCAUCGUAUCGUACCUGUUGUACGACCAACUGACAUACAAGCUGCAAACUGCCGUCGCCGGCAAUUUCUGGGGCUCCUACGAGGUAUGGUCCUGUUGGAACAGAGUUAAAACCAGGGCCGUAAAGAAAAACUCACUCGCAAGGACUCGUUUAAUGCUUUUCAAAGAGGCGGACAGACAGGCAGCUUAUGAUACGCACCACCACGACCACCACCACCACCACCACCACCACCACCUCCACCACCCCCACCCCCCACCACCAACCCAUCCUCCUCCUCCAAUAUCCCUGUCUGCAACGAAACAGUGCACGAAGCGGCAAUCAGCGAGCGACACUCCUAGGAACUGCGGCACACACCUUCCCCCCUCCCCCCCUCCUCACAACUCCCCUCCUUGUUCCCUAAAAUUACUGCAUGCCAGAAAAACGCCAACCAAGAUAUUUCAAAAGGACUCCCCCCCCCCGAAAACGGCGGGGGGGUUCUUCAUCAUCGUUGUCGACUGACUGCUUAUCUUGGAUAACGCGGGAAGAGGAAUCAAAUUGAUGGUAUGGGCAUGCGGUCCAGUCCCGUGCUGGACUUAUCGUGUACUGCAAGUUCAAACACGGCGGAUAGCCGUACGGGUGUACGGCGCAAAACUUACCCAUGACAGGCCCUGUGCUCAAGCUGGAUCCAGCGGCCUCAACCUCCGGCUCCGCCGCCGUGGGGGGACCCUGCACGCCGCCGCGCUGGGGGACCGGCGGUGUUGCCGCCGCCGCAGUGACAGCUUGCUGCUGCUGCUGCUGCUGCUUCUCAUGCCUGCUGCCGCCGUUGCCGCUGCUGGCGCCCGUCGGCGCCGCCGCCGCCGUCGCCGCCGCCCCGGACGCAACGGCGCCUUGCAAUGGCAACGGCGUUACGGAAGACCGCGGACCCAAGAGCAGCGACUUGCUUGGCGGCGCAGCGGCCACGAGGGUCGUACUACUACCGCCCCCGCCGCCCAGUGGCCGAAUCAAUACGGCCGGACCGCUGCCGCCGCCGCCGCUGACGCCAUUCGGCCCCGCCGCGCCACCGGACGGAGUGCCGCCGGAUCCGGCGGGGCCCUCCCGCGCCGCCACCAGGGCAAAGGCCGCGUGCCUGCCGCCACCGGGUCCGCUUUGCGGCAUGGGCGCCACUCCCACCUGCGCAGGCACGGCGGCGGCAGAGCCGCUGCUACCGCCGCCCCUGCUGCCACCGCCAGCCGUUUUGCGCGAGCCGCCGCUACCGCCGCCGCCGUGGUAUGGUUGGAGCGUGGCGGAGGCACGCCCCGCCGCCGUCGCGGCCGCAGCGGUUGCCCUCGUGCUUCCAACCUCCGGCGCAGAGCCCACAGUCGGCAGCGGGUGCGGUAAUGCACCAGCGCCCGUCGUAACGACAGACGGCUUGCCCACCACCAGGCUCCCCCCACCGCCUGUGACGGGCACCGUCGAUAGCUGCCGGGCCGCUGACGGCGCCGGCGUCGCCGCGACUGACAGCAGAAGCGGUGCCGUAGCCGCUGCAGCUGCUGACGGCGCCGCUACGCGGUUUGCCAUGCUCGAGCUGCUUGCUACAGCCUGUCUCGCGUCACGGUCGCUGCUGUACAAACCCAAGUUAUGCACCUCGCCGCCGUCCCACAACGCCGCGCCCGCGCUUGUGCUGCCGUGGAUGCUGUACAGUACGCCAACAUAGCCGUACUUGGGUGGCAGAAGGCAGUCCAGUUCCGCGCCUGGGUGAGGUCAAGGAAAGGGUUAUUGCUUACGAAAACACACACGCCUGCUGCGUGUUGAUGCAGCGAAUGUUCCUUUCGCAUAUGCACCUGUCGUACAUCGGCCACGAUAAAGCUGAAUAAAUCCCCCCUCCAGGCACCUAAAAAAACAGGUCGUCGAGGAAACCCAGAUGACGCAGCAGCAUCUGGAUUUCCUCGACGACCAGCAAGAGACGUUUUUCCAGCCAACCGAACCCAGCCCAGGUUUUUAUACUCCACACAACGGCAAUGUACGGCAUGCCGUGCCCCGUCGUACGACAAUAUCGUAUUUCAGCUUACCUUGCGGCAAUUGACUCGCAAUGGCGUUAAAUAGGCGCCUGCCAAGGCCUAUUUGUUGUCGUACCGCCACGCCGCCUCCGGCAUCGCCAGCCCGGCCCGCAUUAGCCGCGGCGGCGACGGCGGCGGCGGCGGCGGCAGAAUGCUGGAGUACCGCCUCCGCCGAGGACGGUGAUAUCCGCUCCGCAGAUGCGGUCGGCGUCACCACAAGCUGUGACCGCAUCGACACCGGCGCCGCCGGUAGCGCCCCGAUGGGCGUCGAUAGCGCCGCCGUCGCGGCGGCAACUGCCGCAGCAGCCUUGGCCUGCUCAUGCGGCGAUGUGGGGACGCCAAUGGGCACCCCACCCGCUGCGCUGGCGGCGGCGGCUGCCGCCGCCAUGGCGACGGAGGCAUUCACGUCAGAAACCGUCGCUGUCGCCGCUGCAUCCCCCGGGCCCGCCACCCUCCCCGCAGCCCGUCCAGCGGCACCCGCUAGGAACUGCACAGGCGCAGAGGUGACGACGACGGCUGAAUCCGCUGGCAUCCGCUGCUGGCGGUGCUGGCGUUUCGCCGUCGGCGGCAUAUCUUCAUUGCCGUACAUAUCACCCGCCGACAUUCGCUGCUCGACAGCGCUGCUGCCGCCGCCGGAGGCCGGCACUGGCGGAGCGUCGGCGUCGGCGGCUGCCCCCGUUGCGGUAUCUGCGGACUUGCGCUUCUGGCCUCCGCUGCUGCCGCUACCAACGCGCGCAAUGCCCUGUACGGCAGCGCUCCCGCCGGCAGCAACACGCGCGCCGCCAGAGUCCGUGGAUGGCUCCCUCUGUACGUGCCUCUGUUGCUGGUAGUACUGCUGCUGCGGAUGGUGUGCCUGACCGCCGCUUCGCGCCAAGGCCGCCGCCGCCUGCGGUCCCUCUGCGGCCGCUGCCGCCGCCGCCAAGCCUCCGUGACCAGCCGCUGCCGGCCUUCGCUCCGCGGCCCAAGUCGCCAUCGCCGCCUCUACAGCCUCGAAAUCCUUCAACGAUACGCCACCCGUCCGAAGCAACACUUCCGCAGCCUGCAACAGCACCGUUGCCGGGAUGCCGGUCGCCGCCAACUGCCCUACAGCCUGUACGACAGGCGGCGCCGCCGCAGGCCGCGCUCCCUCCGUCUGUAGCUGGCGCGCCUGCGAUUGUUGGAUCUUCUGCAUGUUAGAGUACAGGACGUGACAUACGCCAGACAUAAGCUCUGGCUGUAGCUGGAGAGGAACGGUGGCGGCAGCGGCGGCGGCGGCAGCAGCCUGCGCAGCCUUCUUCUCCGCCGUCGCCGCCGCCGGACCCCCUGGCGAACUGGCGCCCGGUAAUGCAUCCCGGCCGCCGCCGGCGCCGGCGCCGCCGCGGGUUGCGGCCGCUGCAGCAUCAGCGGCAUCGCCAGCGGGCCCGCCAAGAGCCGGUGACUCUUGCUGGCUCCGAGGCACUCUCGCGCGAUCCUGCGGUGAUCCUGCGCCAUUCUCCUCCAUCAUUGCGUCCCGCUGCUGCUGCUGCUGCUGCAGCUGGCGCUGCUGCAGCUGAGCGUCCGACUUUGUGUUCAGCGGUACUGCUAAUGCUAAUGCGGACCUGACUGCGGGAUCCGUCUUAAUUAGCUGCGUCGUCUGCACGUGCUGCGAUGGCUGCUGCUGCUGUUGCUGGGGAAGAGGAGGUCCUUGGGGGUGCCGCUGCCGCUUGUGCACUGGGUAGUAAUGGUGUGCGCGGUCAUGCGCGAGAGGUUGAGGGUAAUAUGGGUGGUGCUGCUGCUGCUGCUGCUGCUGCCUGCCUUGGGUUGUAAUACGCGCUGGCUGGCCCUGGCCCUGGCCCUGGUCGACCACUGCGAUGCCGCUCGUUCCGGCCGGGCCCCCUGAAGUAGCAGAAGGCGCUGUCCCGCUGCGCGCCAUCCCCUGCCAAUGAUUUCCUUGCUGCUGCAGCGGUGGCUGCGGUGGUUGGUGCUGUUGACUGCUGGGGGAGAGACGGCUUCCCACGCGCUCUCCGACGCAAUCGGAAUUCACGACCGCAGCUUCAUCCCCACCGACAUCGCUGCUACCGCCGCCGCCGCCAUCCCCCUGCGUCUGUCUAGUUACGGCGGCAGCGGCAGCGGCGCCGGAAGAGCCCCCGCCGGCCCCGCCGCCGCCUGACGCAGCCAGAAUCUGACCGGCAUCGGUUAUAAGGCCCAUGAGCCGAAGGUAGCCGGCUCCUAGCGCUUCCGCAGCUUCUUGUAACUCGGCACGAUCUGCGCGGUUGAUUCGUCCCAGACACUGUCGUACGAGGUCGCCAACGGCCGCCGUUGAAACCUGCAAAUAAUAAUUUGGGUCGGGCUGAUUUCAGUCGGGAACGUGGGAGUGGAUGUGGGUCACCCGGUGAAUGUGGGUCAAGUUGAAUCCGUUUCAAAUCGAUCUGGGUCGGGCCUAGACACACCUUUGCCCCUCCCACCAGAUAUGCCCACCCGUCCAUGUUUGCACAACGCGACAGCCCUAAACUCAAUAUGCGACAUCAAUACGAGCUGUGCGGCAUCUAGACGACACUUGUACGGUCACAUCCAUACUUAAGCUUGCCCUCCAAACCAUGGAAUGAAGCCACUCUACCCACCGGCGUUUCAUCGCCGCUGUUACCGCUUCCUCCUGUCGGAAGCUGCUGCUGCUGGUGAUCCUCUUCGUUAAAAUUUCGCCCAAGGAACGAUUCCAGGAGAAGAGCUUCAACCUGUGGAGGAAUGGCAGAAGGAGGAAGGCCGCUUUCCGAAACGCAUUUAAGGAUUUUUUUGCAAGAGGUCGCACGAGACGCGCUGCUAACAGAGAGUCUAGGUGUGAUGUGUGUGGAUUUCGAAGCGUAAGGUUUUGUGUUUCGUACAAGCUGGAGAUUGUGUGAAGGUCUUGGACGUGGGGCCGCAGAAAGAGCAGCGGUGGCAGCAGCGGCUAGUCACCUUACGAUCCCAUACCCAAACGAAUGAGUGGUGAAGAAGGAGGCCCGAGCACUGCCUUGUCGUGCGCUCUUCAUUUUUGGACCAAUCCACCCUUAGGCCCUUUUAUUCGUUCUUCCCUAUCGGCACACGAAAAGCCAAGCAGCCUAAGAUCGGGCCAUUUGUAAAAGUGCGUUUAUAUGGUGAAAGGUCCGGCAUUGAAAGGUCGAGGGCAAAAAAGUGGAAUUCGAGGAGCGGCCGGCAAGCUGCCAAAGAGAGCCGCCCGCCUUCCCGCAAACGGGUAGUUUGUGACGAGCGGAGGCGGAAGAACGCUAAAUGCAUAGGCUGGUAUGGUAUGCUCCUCAGGGCAGCUUUCCUUUCCCACACACCUGCAGGUCCAGAGCCAAAGCUCCAUCAGGCAGCAGGUAAUCGGACGGCGGGAAAUUCAACGCUGCCGCUGCCCCUCGAAUCCGGAGGGCCGCCUUGUCAUACAAGCGAGCGGCUUCCUCUUCGGAAGUGAACGUACCAAGGCUUAUCGUCCUGUGCGGGAUGCACGUUGUUUAUAUCCGGCAGCACGUAGCAGAAGAUAAGCGCUGAUUCCAAAGAAAUUAAAACGUUGCAACUGAGGACAUUUGAGAUGCAGUAAACUGGGGACAGGGCGUUGCCAAUUAUGCGUUGUCAUCCCAGAUACUUGGAAGCCUAUCUAUAGCACUAGAGUUGCGGCGGCAGAGAAUCAAGCAUAUGGAGGUUUGGCCCACAGUUAUGAUACUCAGCUGCAGAAACUAAGAUGAAAAUGUCGAAUCGAACUUUAUGCCCGUGCCUUCGCGUGUCACGAAGAUGUCAACUUGCCUGCCAGCAGCUGAAAUGCCAGCUUGCCAUCUCCCCAACUUCCUACUGAACCAGACGCCUCGAAGACCGAGUUGUUUGGUAUAGCCAGCUUGCUGUGGUAACUCAGAGUGCAUCCGACUGAAGCGCCCCGGUAGCUCCGUCUGGCGUUGCAUUGAUAAGGAAAUCGUUGGAUCCAACAUUGAUGGCUUUAUUCUUUGGCUCUCUGAGAGAGACUUGAGCGCCUCCAUUGCUAUGACCUCCUCAUCCCGCGUCCUGUCGGCCAGCUCAACAAUACCAUUCAUGAUAGCAAGAAGCGCCCUCCUUGAAGACUGCGCCAAAAGUUUGCGUGUGCGCGUAUGGCGCGAGUUGAAACCUCCCUGGGGUCUCUACGGGACCCUGGCUGACGCCCGUGCGACCGCGCAACAGCUAGCCUACUCGGCAAUUCGUGUGAGGAUACCUUCUUGGAAUUAAUUGCGGAAAGUUAAGCAUUAAAGGAUAACAAAGUUGUAUGCAUGGCCUUGUAUGCCGCAUUUCUGCCACUCAGGGUGCUUCGUAUAUAAAAAUUCUGUUUAAAACGUGGUCUAUGCUGUGACUAAAACAUGUUUGGUGUUUACGAUCUAUUGUAAUUUGCGACCUUGUGCACUUGUACUUUUAUGAGCACGACAUAUCAUCACUCGCAGGGCUUCUCUCCAAAUACAAUUCGGGCCUCGCUGUUGGCAUAGUAGGUAAAACAAGUACACUUGCAUUCAUAUAAGUAGACGCCUUGAUUUGCAAGAGCGUUUGACUGUGGUAAUUUUACCUGUCAGUUUUCCACCCCUUUAUGCAUAAUCGACGCGCCUAACUCUACCCACCCACCGCAAAAGAAUUGCCUUUCAAUUUAAGCCCAACAACCAAGGCGCAGCACUGCCAUUUCACAAGUUUGCCGAAGGACUUGCGCGCUUUUUGUCCUGGUAGGUACGGUAUUGCCACAUAUGGAGACAGGCAUGAUCUCGACAGGUCUUCAGGCAACAACCGAAUUGGGGCAAUUCACAACACAACAUUCCCGAAACUGAAAGCGUCGUUCAGAUGCGUUGCGUCCCAUGAUCGGCCAUCACCCGUCGGACGUUUUCCAUUUAACAUCGUUUUCGGGAAACCGCGUCAUCUGUGAAGCUAAUAAACUGCUUGAGUCUCGAGGAUCCUCUUUCAAAUUAUGCCUUCCAAAAGGGAUUAGCUCCAGAUAAAAGAUUUAGCCCUGACGGUACACCUGACGCAUCCUGACGCAUCCCAUUGCGUUUGGUGGCCACGAGUAUCUACCUGCUUUUUGGCCCUUGUUUGACAGAUCUUGGGUCUUCAAUAUCUUCUAGCAGCUACAGGCAGGCUUCCAAAACCAAGAUCUCCCCGAGAAAUUCCCGUAACAAGAGCGGUUCCCUGCAGAGCGAUGACGGCCAAAACGCGCGCCAUUUGGACUUCAUCAUGAAAUACCUCGUGGUUCAGAGCGAAGGGGCCUUGACAGCUAAGAAAAUCGCGUUAUAGGGGAUUUACAUGGACAAUUACAUUAUGACAUUUCAGAUAAGGGGCCACAACUCCUCCACAUUACAGAUAAUGGCACGAUACAUGUAUAUAGGCUAAUAUGGACCUUGCACGGGCGCGCAAAACAUUACGGGAAACUGCCGCGAAAUGUCCGCGAUGAAAACUGCCACCAUGCAGCCGAUUUUGCCGUACCUGCGCACGCCUUGCGCGAUUGGGCGCGCCGCGGAAUCUGGAUGGCUUAGGCCACGCACGAAUUCCUACAAAAAAAACUACGAGUGUAGUCUACGACUGCAGUCGUAGAGCAAAUCCGUGAGAGGGAUAGUUCCUUUACGUUUCUUCCGGGAAAUAUAAGUCCCCAAAUUAUAAGUUGCCAAAUGAAGAGAGCGCUGUGCGCUCUUUACAGUUUAGUUUAAAGCAUUCCACCACGAAAUAUUUUUUUUCUUAUUACGACGAAAGGAAGAAAGGGAAAGAUAUUUAAGGCUACGGCUGCAUACUGCGCAGCAGCUGCUGCUGCAACGAAUCAACAAUUAUACUGCGAGGCGAAGCUGGCAACACGGUUUGCUCAAACCCGCUCCUGGAACCUGUUCGGCAUCCUCCCAUCGUAGCGUAGGUAAAAAUUUACCUUUCUCUUGGUUGGGCGCUGGACGAGCAAGCGUUCCGGCCUUUACAGUCGUAGCAUUUUGGAAGUCCAAGCCGUCUUAGCCGUCUUGAGGAGAAAAAAAAGUAAAAUAAAUAUCCCGUAUUGUUGGAAGUGCUUUUGCCUGUAAGAUUAACAACAUCACAGCUUCCAAAUUAAGGUCCAAACGUUCUUGUUCAUCACCCCGGGUAUUGCUGUGACAAAAAAAGAAUUGCAAGUAUAGCCAUUAAAGUCAAUAGACCUCCGUCUUCGUCAGAGGUUCACAUCAUGCUGAGAAGUUGUAUCCUGUGCCCGUGCCCACUUUGCGGCAUGCCUAGGUCUUCGACACCGAUAGGAACGACUAUUUACGCGUCUCGCCGUCCGCUUUCUAUGCUUGCACGUUUUGGGAACUGUGAAAAUUGAGGCUCUCUUGGAGAGCUGCUGGGAGUCCCUCAUUUACUGAGUAACGGUUACGGUUUUUUAUCCCUGUGUAUGAUUUGGACCCACCAUUGGAGUGUAAUCCGUUGCAAGUUUUGAAUUUCCCACGGUCGGUACCAUAGUCGCUGUGCUGCACCAAUCUUAUUUCAUCUUCUGGCCGAUAUGAUGCAUCUUUUGUUUUGCCAGCGAACGCUGUGCAUGUGCGUUCUAGCAAGCAACUUGCGAGUUCUAUGUGUCACACUCUUGAUCACUCAACCAAGCGGCAUUUGCAAAUUGUACCGUGUACACACCAAAACAUCCUUCCCCAUAGUCACGGACAAGGACAGUCCCUUCGAUUACAUGAUAGCUUCAACACGCCCACAUAAGACAACAACUUUAACAACAAAAACAACAACAAGAACUAUAAGUAAGGUCAGCGAGCCAGAUCCGCAGAUCGAUCUCCCCAAAAGAGACCUCCAAUCUUUUCCGGCUGUAAGGGAUGCCGCCCCGGGAGCCACCUCAUUUCUUUUCCAUCUGCUUCGGAGUGCAGCAGCAGCAGCAGCAGCCAGUCCCCACUAUCUGUUAGGACUAUGCACACGACACAAACGACACAAACUUUUUUCCUUUCCUAAGGAAAUUCUUCAAAAGCUCUUCACAUUGCUGCAUUCUGACCUAAGGUCAGCGACCUUAGUGCUUUCCGCCCUCGUAAACCCUAAUCGGAUUAACGAGAGCACGAAAAACCGAAAAAUCACGCGAGGAGGGCAGGAGACGGGUCCGAUAGUUUCCGAUAGCAAAAGGUUAACAGCUAGGCGGCCCCAAUCCAAAAAACAUGAAUCAGGUCUACUAUCCCCUACGUUCUCCACUCCAAUGUUUCCCCCACAAGCUGUCGUGCUGCGUCAAAGUACGACAACUUUUUUAGUAUUUCUACCCUCCUACCCUCACUACUCUACCGUACUAGGGCCCAAAAAUUUACCUUACGAUUCAGAACAUAACAAGACAGCAGGCCAGCCACAACUCCGCUUCCUUCGCAUUUCCGCAUGUGCCCUUGUGUGAAUGUGCACUUUCUCGCAAUGUUACGAUUCCGCGCCAACUCCCCUGCAGACACCUGCACACACACCUGCGGCAUCCAUCUCACAAAACGCAAUGCCUUCCUUUCCCGUUUUUCACAAUCACAACAUGCGCGCUGCCGUCGCCAUCGCCGUGGUCGCCGUCGUCGUCGUCGUCGUCGUCGGCGGCGGCGGCGUAACAUUAUAGAAAUGCUGCCAAAGCGAUCCCAACGGCCCACCAGUCCCCGAAAGGCCCAUUCCUGACCCCGGACCAGCAACCGAGCCGAAACCCAAACCCCUCGUAGAGGUGCCGCCAGUGACUGGAGACGACGUAGGGGGUGGGGAAUUGUUGUUAUUAUUAUUAUUAUUAUUAUUGUUAUUAUUAUUUCCCCAAAACCCAGAUGAUGACCGCAGCACGACGGUGCCCAUUCGGAAAACACCGCCUGAGCCGCCGUUUGGCGUCAUCUUAAACCCCACCCACAACGGCGCAGAUAAUGAGGAGGAUGAUAAUGACGGUGAAGUCGGCGUCGUCGCACCGCCGCCGCUGCCGCCGCGGCGGACGCCGUUUUCCGGGCCCACUGCACGGGCCCACCAAGGAAGAUCCUCCAUCACAGCGACGGCGGCGGCGGCGGCGGCNNNNNNNNNNNNNNNNNNNNNNNNNNNNNNNNNNNNNNNNNNNNNNNNNNCCUAGCGCACUGGGAAACGGAGACUGCCCCUGGCUCCGAUAUCCCGGGAGCAUAUGAACCGUCGCCGCCGCCGCCGCCGCCUCGUCGGGAAUCAUUUCGGACGGGCUAACGGGCUGCAACUUUCCGCCGUGUACGACAUCACACCUGCAGGAAAUGUUGUACGGCGUGUGCAGAGCGUGCGUGUACGACAGGGAGAGCCUAUGACAUGCAAGAGCGGAUGAGGAGUAUAUAUAUAGCAUUUGUCGUUGCGGGUUUGUGUGAAGAGAGCACUGGUUUUCAAAUUUCAAAUUUCGCACCGUUUUUUACUUUUUUCUUUUGGAUCAUCAGUUUUGCGGGAAUUGUGACUUCGUUGUCUAAUCAAACGACGUUCUUUUCGUCAUAAGACCUUGCGUAACUAAGGCAGUUUAAUUGAACUACAAUAUGGUAACGGGGUUCCUCAGAUCCAGAUAAGCGUAAUCUUUCGUAAAAUUUCAACUUAUAGUGCCAAUUAGAGUGAGUUAGCCAUUGAAACGUUAGGUUGAGGGGUUGAGAGGUUAAGAUGAGGGCGACGAGUACAGCGACGAGUACGGCAAUGUAAAUUGAAGAGUACGUCGACUAAUACGGCAAUGUCAGGUGAAGGAUGACACGUACGUCGACAUAAUAAUAAAUGACAUAAUUAAUUAUCAUUUUCAUGACAUAAUGGAGUAAUGACAUAAUCUUUGUCAUUAAUUAUGACAUAAUUCCCCCUUACGUCUCUCGCAUAUCAUCUCCGCCUUCAGUCUCUCCUUCUCAGAGGCGCCCCACGGGAGCCUCUAGUGAGGUCGUGUGUGAGGGAGGAGAUGAUGGCCCAGCAGCACCCCCUGAAGUGCAAUGACUGACAGCCUCACCAUGGCUGCUCUGCUGUCGAUGUUGCUGUUGCUCUAGAUGAUGCACCCACAACAACUUUUUAUGCUUUUAAGACGUUUGUCAGGAAAAGCGCGGAAAAACAGGAAAAGACGCGAGAAAAACACAUGAUUAUACAUCAUACCACAACAACAAAAAGUCAAACCAAUAAGCCUCAUGACUCACCUGUACCAUUGCCCGCCAUUUGAGCCCGUACCAGGUCGUACGACAUACAAGUACGGCAGCGCCCGCCGUGUGCCAUCGUACAACUUGGCGAGGAGGUGUCGGCAGUCGGAUCUCAAGAUGGCGUUACAACCUUCCCGAAGAGAGGUUUGCGUGCUGCAUUUCCACGAAUAUGUGUGCAAGUAUUUAUAUAUUUAUAUGUAUACAUGUAUGUUUGUAUUAAUUUAUAUAUUGAAUUGAAUUGUUACAGGGUGGGAGGCUUUGGGGGCAUUUGAACACAUUAUCAUUUCCACGAUUUAUCAUAUGUAUUUGUAUGUAUCGUAGAAAACGUUUAGCAUGGCGGUGGGUGGAGAGAGCCGCGCGGAAAAAAAGUGUUGGUUUCUUCAAAUGUCCUUUUUUUGAAAUAUUAAAAACCCCUUUAAGAAACACCUUCACAUAAAAACACUUCGCGCGACCUUAAAAUUCAAACAUGAAAGGCGGAAAACCCCCUGAACCCCUUAAACUCCAUUAUAUAUUAAUUGAAUGAGCUUUAAAGAGUUUUUUAGUAAUCCUGACAUUACAUCGAUUCUGACAUCCUCACUCCAGACCCACUCCAGACCCACCCCCCUCUCCACUUGCCGGUAGUCAGCGAUGAUGGCCCUCAGACGGUCUCGCAAUCUGUCCACCUUCAUCCCCAGGGGAAUACGGCGGACCAGCAGCAGGGGGUCCACAAAACCGCCGAUGCAAUCCAGCAAAGCGCCCGUGGUUUCGGGGCUGCCGAGCGCCCAGUCGAUCAGACGUCCCCAGAGAUCCUCGUCUCGCUGACCCACAACAAAAUCGAUGGCCUGCGAGUGUGUGUGCAUGUGUGUGUGCGUCUGUCUGUGUGUCUGUCGUGUAUGUAUGUAUGUAUUUAUUACAUAUCAAUCCGGGCCUGACACUGGCCAAUGGCCAACUGUAACCAUCUGUAACCGUACCACAACGGGAAUGAGCGACCGGCGAGACACUCUCCUCCUUGUGUGUGUGUUGGGGGGGGGGGGGGAAGAGAAGAGACUUUGGGUUCCCCUUCGUGGGAGAAAACGUCGGGGGCCACAGUCCCCUCUUUUGCUCGACCGAGGGCGUGCACCCCCCCCCUGCGUUCCCCCCUUGUGUCAACAGGAAAGAUAGAGCACGGAUGCUACGUGUGUGCAUGUGCAUGUGUGCGUCUGAGUGUAUGUGUGUACGUGUACGUGUGUGUGCGUCUGUGUGUAUGUGUGUGUGCGCGUCUGUGUGUAUGUGUGCGUGUAUAUGUGUUACAUAUCUCACUGGCCCUCUACGGCCGGGGGACGCUACCCGGCCCCCCCGUGGGUGAGAAACCGCCAAAGCACUCCGACGUUGGCGGGUCGUACUAACGGCCAGUGUCAGGUCCUCAUCGACAUCCCGCAUUAAUCGCAAUGCGCCGUCACCUGUUCGAAUGGCUGUGUGAGUGUGUAUAUACAUAUAUAUACACAUAUAUUUGCAUAUAUACAUAUAUUUGCAUAUAUAUAUUUAUUUAUUAUUACGUUAUGUAUGUGUGUGUACAUACAUACAUGAAUACGUGUCACACAAGGACCUACCUGGGGAAUGUCGCCUAACCGAUCAAUGAUGAGCCUCAAGGCCUGGUCAGCAUUCCCCAUACGACCGAGCACGAACACUUGCUCCGAAACCAGCCCCCGAGCCUCACAGAUAGCCAGAGCGCCCUGUGUACGGGUCGUACGUACGGGGAAAAGCACGUUUUCUUCAGCGUAAUUCAAAGAGUUAAAAAGCGGGGGGAAAACACUCGAAAAAAACUCGGACAGACUCGAACCAUAACUUCCAUAACUUCCAUAAGUCCUUCCCACUUCUUCCCUCCUGGCGACGUUUAGGAGGAGCAUCUAGAUGCAACGAUUAGGUAUUUAAGACCUGAAGCUUUUUGUUUCGCUCCUUUCCCCCGUCCCAACCAUCGGGUUACACCAAGCUAUGGAAGCAAAAGCUACUGGGACAUAGCGGUAAUGACAUCAUCCUUCCUCCUUACCCUUACCCCUACCCCACCCAGGAAAGGGAACCCCUCAGAAGUCCUCACAUCUCCGGUUCCGACCGCAUUUCUGAAGUUGAUAAUAAAAGUAGAAUGGCGAUUACUAACCAAUGUUUUAUUCGACAACCAACAACUAACAAUUGUGUACUGCAACCGUCACUUCCUACCCGACGUUUCGCCACUGUUAACCCGCACGUCGCUCGUACGUCCCCGGACCUGUCGUACCUCUAAUGAGUAAUACUGCGAUGACGUCAGCAGGUCCAUGAGCUUGGAAGGCUGGUACUCCGCAGUCAAAGAGAUCUGAUUAUUCCGUACAUUAGUACCAACAGAGGAGCGGUGUAUUAACACAAAGUAAUUGCAACAGCAAUAUCAACAGGGUUCGGAAGGGGGAGGGAGAGGAAAUCAUUUUCUCGGAAACCGGAAAUCUUCUUUUAUCGCUCAAACAGAAAAAAAGAAAGAUGUAAUCAAGAGCCGACGCAUCCAACGUCGCAAACGCUGGCGCCAGUUUCUAAACUGGUCAGAAAGAAGCUGCCUGGAAGUUGCGGGCAUGGCAAUCUCAAACCACCGCAGCUGCCUUGAUUUAUUAAAAAGCAAACGGGAAAAACCCCGGGCCUCCAAACCCCCUUCCCACCCCGACACUCGACCCACACGCUCACAGAAAAUCUAGGCACGUAAAACACGUAUACACACGCGAAUACACACACACACACACACACGCGAGCGCGCACACAAAGGAAGCACUAAAAAGCCCCCCCCCUCGCACGCACCUGCAGGUCAUGGUAUUCCGCCGCAACGGAGCUGUCCGCCGCGAGGAGCGCCGUGAGGUAGCUGAACAGCCGCCGGCGCCAAACAGCGGCUUGGGAGGGGGACGAGGCGGAACGAACGGCAUCCUAUGGCCGGAGGGGAGAGGAGUGUGUGCGUGUGUGUGGGUGGGUGUGUGGGGGUGAGUGGGGGCGAGGAGUGUGUGUAGGGGGAGAGGAGUAUGGGGGGGUGGGAGAGCGGUCUGUCUGUGUGUGCGUGUGUGUAUGGGGGGAUGGGUAAGACGAACCACAGACGAAUGAAGCAGAUACCAGAUAUAGACAGAUAGCCUAGACGGAUAUGUUUGGGAUGAGGUGAAAAUAGAGAAAAGCGAGGUGGAAUGAUUUUCCUUUUCAAUCCGAUAACAAAACGACAUAAAUCUACAUUUUUUCCUCAGUCUCAAUCUCUUUUCCCCUUCCCAUCCUCAUCCUCAAAUCUUUUCUUCUUCCCUUAACUUUCAAAAUCCGUUUUCCCAGCAGAACUACCUACCUGCAGAGGCGCGCACACAUACUCACAUUCAUUCACACACACACACACUCACACUCUCACUCACUCACUCACACAUACAUACAUACAUACAUACAUACAUACAUACAUACAUACAUACAUACAUACAUACAUACAUACAUACAUACAUACAUACAUACAUACAUACAUACAUACAUACAUACAUACAUACAUACAUACAUACGCACACACCUGCAGACUUGGUACGACAUUGGACGGCGGAAGCGUAUCCACGUGCGACGUGAGCAGAGCGAGUGCCUCCUUCUCACCCACGGUGAAGAGGUCAGCGGCUCGGCCCAGCAGGUUCGACUGAAAACAGUCGGGAAAGGGUACUACCAGAAAAUUAAGGGUUUUCGGAUUUUUCAAAAGUGAUUUGAAGGUAUUGUUAAGGGCUAAAAUGAGGGUCCUUAAAGCCAAGAAGUCAAAAGUCCAUAACCUUUUGAGGUUGCCACGAAAAAAAACCUGCCCAAGCAACAUAAAAAUGUACACACAUACACAUACACAUCCGUACACACACGCACAUAUAUACGUACACACACGCACAUAUCCAUGUAUACACGCACGCCCCCCUCUCUCACGCACCUGCAGGCCGUGUUGAGUCACGAAUCCGAACACGGCCGGUGAUUUGAGGCGGAGGUGUAUUGAGAGAGCGAGGUCGGGGCGACCCUGCAAGCGAGGUCGGGGCAAGAAAUGAAGGCUGAAACCGAAGGCAUCAAUCACAAUCACCAACAUCAUCAUCAUCAUCAGUUGCAGUAGUAGAACCAUCAUAGCAUUAGCAGCAGCAGCAGUACCUGCAUUUGCGCUAGAAAAGGCAGAGGUAGCUGUAGCAAGGUAGCUUUUAUACACCAUGCAAGAAGGUCAGUCCCUGCCCUCGACCACCGAGGGCCCUCGUCAUCAUCACACGUCGGCAUAAUCCCUAGCUACUGCAGCUACUGCCGCUGCAACUACUUCUUCUGCUACUGCUGCUGCAACUGCAACUACUGUUAUUGCAGCUACUGCAACUACUGCAGCAGCAACUGCGCCUUAUGCUACUGCAGCUACUGCUAUGGCACCUAUGCGGACACCGUAACCGUAACUGUAACUGUAACUGUAACUACUCUUUACUGCUUCUGUAACAUUGUUCCAUUUUCACAUCACAGGGACACGCCCAAGUCCCAGGGGUCCCUGUCCUUAAUCAUGUUACCAUCCGCAUUUGGCCCUGUUUGCGGAUUUCACUGCUCGCGGCAUUUACAGGUAGACUGUGGCACAUGUGGGGCUACCCAUCCGCCCCCGCCCUUCCCCGCCCUUUACUUGCGUUGCUCACCGCAAAACAAUUGCCGUACCUGCUGUUCGUACAACCACGCCAGAAGCUCCCAUAGAAGCAACGAAUCGCCGCCGCCGUCGCUACCGCUUGCAGUAGCAGCAGUAGCAGCAACAGUAGCAGUAGCAGCAGUAGUAGCAGCAGUAGUAGCAGCAACAGCCGUUGUUGAUGUUUCGGCCGGUUGCUGUGGUGGCGACGACGGCGGCGGCGGUGGUGGGUGCUGGUGCUGCUGCUGCUGCAGCCGGCGCAGUCUGGCAGCUACUGCGUCAGCUAACGCCGCCAGGCUGUAGCAGCCGGACGGCCAGCUAUGCGCUAGUGACACCAGCGUGGGGUGGUCGGCUGUGUUUUGCAGUAGCGACUGUAGAGCCAUGUCGUACACCUGGCUUCUGCGGGUUGUUAAUUUCCCCCCCCCCCACACACACACACGCGCGGGACGGGAGGGGGGUUCGGGGUUAUUGGCGACACGAGUUCCGUAUUACUCCCGGGCGGGCGGGCGGGGGGGGGGAAGCCCCGGGAAGGAGACGGAGGAGUUGUAUGGGGGCAGGAGACGUGGACAGGGAGCGUACGAAAUAACUGAAAAUAUGGUACGGCACGCGUACUGCACAUUACGAAACAAACAAGCAACCCAACAUUUGGACGCGGCGCUGUUUGGUGAGGUAAGCAUCCUUUCCUGAACCCAUCUUCCCCUCAAACUUAAACCCCUCAUUUCCAAUGUGUGGACACUCGCAAAUUCAACACUGAAGACCGGAAAACAUGCCCCUAACAUAUACACACAUAUAUACACAUAUACAACAAUACAAUGUAUACAACAUAUACACAUAUAUACACACAUAUACACACACACCCUGCCUCCCACCUCAAUCGAGGCGUCUGUGUAGGCAGCCGGCCAACCAGCUUAGGCAACUGCCGUGCCUGCACGUGCAAGCCGUACACAUCGUUGUAUUUAUCGUACAAAAGGUUUGCAUUACUACGAAGUUUAAAAAAGGUGGGCUGGACCGGCGCGGUACCGUGCGGUGCGUGCUGCGUGAGUUGUGACACUGAAUCCGCCGAUCGGUACUUUUUUGUUUUGAAGUCAUGAUGUAACGUAACGGCGAGUUGUUGUGACGGGGUGGGGCGUGGAUCACCAUGCAUGUGUGGCAUAACAACUGUACGGGUAGUGAAGUACAAGUUAGUUGGUACGGGUUUUUUCCGGGAAGACUUAAGCAAUGCGGUGGACGAAGAUAACGAUAAUGAGGGAAUGAAAGGGGAAUGAUGAUGAUGAUGAUGAUGAUGAUGAUGAUGAUGAUGAUGAUGAUGAUGAUGAUGAUGAUGAUGAUGAUGAUGAGGNNNNNNNNNNNNNNNNNNNNNNNNNNNNNNNNNNNNNNNNNNNNNNNNNNNNNNNNNNNNNNNNNNNNNNNNNNNNNNNNNNNNNNNNNNNNNNNNNNNNNNNNNNNNNNNNNNNNNNNNNNNNNNNNNNNNNNNNNNNNNNNNNNNNNNNNNNNNNNNNNNNNNNNNNNNNNNNNNNNNNNNNNNNNNNNNNNNNNNNNNNNNNNNNNNNNNNNNNNNNNNNNNNNNNNNNNNNNNNNNNNNNNNNNNNNNNNNNNNNNNNNNNNNNNNNNNNNNNNNNNNNNNNNNNNNNNNNNNNNNNNNNNNNNNNNNNNNNNNNNNNNNNNNNNNNNNNNNNNNNNNNNNNNNNNNNNNNNNNNNNNNNNNNNNNNNNNNNNNNNNNNNNNNNNNNNNNNNNNNNNNNNNNNNNNNNNNNNNNNNNNNNNNNNNNNNNNNNNNNNNNNNNNNNNNNNNNNNNNNNNNNNNNNNNNNNNNNNNNNNNNNNNNNNNNNNNNNNNNNNNNNNNNNNNNNNNNNNNNNNNNNNNNNNNNNNNNNNNNNNNNNNNNNNNNNNNNNNNNNNNNNNNNNNNNNNNNNNNNNNNNNNNNNNNNNNNNNNNNNNNNNNNNNNNNNNNNNNNNNNNNNNNNNNNNNNNNNNNNNNNNNNNNNNNNNNNNNNNNNNNNNNNNNNNNNNNNNNNNNNNNNNNNNNNNNNNNNNNNNNNNNNNNNNNNNNNNNNNNNNNNNNNNNNNNNNNNNNNNNNNNNNNNNNNNNNNNNNNNNNNNNNNNNNNNNNNNNNNNNNNNNNNNNNNNNNNNNNNNNNNNNNNNNNNNNNNNNNNNNNNNNNNNNNNNNNNNNNNNNNNNNNNNNNNNNNNNNNNNNNNNNNNNNNNNNNNNNNNNNNNNNNNNNNNNNNNNNNNNNNNNNNNNNNNNNNNNNNNNNNNNNNNNNNNNNNNNNNNNNNNNNNNNNNNNNNNNNNNNNNNNNNNNNNNNNNNNNNNNNNNNNNNNNNNNNNNNNNNNNNNNNNNNNNNNNNNNNNNNNNNNNNNNNNNNNNNNNNNNNNNNNNNNNNNNNNNNNNNNNNNNNNNNNNNNNNNNNNNNNNNNNNNNNNNNNNNNNNNNNNNNNNNNNNNNNNNNNNNNNNNNNNNNNNNNNNNNNNNNNNNNNNNNNNNNNNNNNNNNNNNNNNNNNNNNNNNNNNNNNNNNNNNNNNNNNNNNNNNNNNNNNNNNNNNNNNNNNNNNNNNNNNNNNNNNNNNNNNNNNNNNNNNNNNNNNNNNNNNNNNNNNNNNNNNNNNNNNNNNNNNNNNNNNNNNNNNNNNNNNNNNNNNNNNNNNNNNNNNNNNNNNNNNNNNNNNNNNNNNNNNNNNNNNNNNNNNNNNNNNNNNNNNNNNNNNNNNNNNNNNNNNNNNNNNNNNNNNNNNNNNNNNNNNNNNNNNNNNNNNNNNNNNNNNNNNNNNNNNNNNNCAUCCACCAGGCAUGGCCAAUUCUCCCCUUCUGCCAUCGCACGUCCUGCGACAGGAACAGAUGCCGUACCUGUCGUACAUGCCUGGAGGCAGUCCUUGCGGCGUCUCCUCCACAACCGACAACGCCUCCUCCCAACGUCGCCGUACCAACAGCCAACCAACUCUGUCACUGGCGUCCCGAGAGCGUGCCGUGGCGAUAGCCUGAGGCGUGUAAGGAUGUACGAGUGCCGUACACAUGACAUAUUCAUCAACAUGCAACACCCCCAGGUUGCGGACAGAUAUGCGUGGGUUGUACGGAAAAAGACAGCAGUCCGGCAAUAACAAACUUGGAAGCAGUAAAGUGAAUUCUGUCUUUAACCACACCUACAUACAUACAGACACACCACUGGCACAUAUUCGGAUUCCCCUGCCCAGAUCUCUCCAAAGGGAAACAUUUAUACACACAUACAUACCAGUGUUUUUUUUUUCAUUGUUGCCCGACAAUUUUCCAGUCCGAACGGAGGAAUAGGUUUUUAAUCGCGGGAAUAAAGGUAUUCCGAAUCUGUCAGGCGCUGGANNNNNNNNNNNNNNNNNNNNNNNNNNNNNNNNNNNNNNNNNNNNNNNNNNNNNNNNNNNNNNNNNNNNNNNNNNNNNNNNNNNNNNNNNNNNNNNNNNNNNNNNNNNNNNNNNNNNNNNNNNNNNNNNNNNNNNNNNNNNNNNNNNNNNNNNNNNNNNNNNNNNNNNNNNNNNNNNNNNNNNNNNNNNNNNNNNNNNNNNNNNNNNNNNNNNNNNNCGCUGCACGGGUGACUGUUGUUGCAGAGCCCAAGCAAACACAAACCAGUUAGCCCCUACUCAAGCACUGAUCAAAUAGAGUUCGUUUUGGGAGCUUCGGGUCCGAAUAUUUUGCAGCGUUUGGUCCGGUCAGAAAAAGUCCGAUUCCUCGUUGACUUUCGGGCGUGACCUUCCUAACAGUAUCCAUGGCAUUAAAGUACUAUGAUAUGGUUAACAUGUUUGUCUCCUGUAAGAUUCUAGUGGCUUUGGCAUGGACAGCCCAUUUUUGGCUGGAGGAAUGAACUUGUACGGUCGGAACAUUAUUUAUUCUUAAUUUCCAGGACCGCGAACAUUUUUUUAUUCCGAAUUCGGAAUAUAUUCCGCAAAAAAAACACUGAUACAUACAUUUGUACGGCAGCACCUGAGGACGGCAGCACCAUGCCUUUUUUGUUUUUGAUUAAUUUUGGUUUUCUAAGCCCCCACAUGCACCAACCCCAAAACCCUAAAGAUUAAUCGUCACCAUAAAAAUGUCGAUCAUUUAAAAUUAAAGAGGGACCCACCAUCGGUGCAGCGAUGAAGAAAAUUAGCUCCUGGCCGUCGACCCAUACAGGAACCAAUCGGCGAGGAGCCGCCACCGCCGCCGCCGCCACUGCCGCCGCCGCGGGGCCGCUGGCGCCGCCGCCGAGGCUUUCGGACGCCGCGCCGGAGGACCCGGACAUCACCUCCCCAGACGUCAGCACUGUAUUCGAUAAGGGCCCAACGGCGCCGGCGGCGGCGGCAGCCGCCGCCGCCGCCGCCGCUGCACCAGAGCGGCUGCCGAAGACGCCACCCAGUGCCGUCACCGCCGUCGGCCCGAGAAAACUUCCUGCCGUACUCAUCAACCCGCCGGCCGCCGCCGCUGCAGCACCAGCACCAGCAGCAGUUAGCAUGGUGGGCGGUAGAUGUAGGUGGUGCGGCAGGGAGGGCAUAAGGCCCAGGUAAUCCGAGGGACAGUAACGCUCGACGCCAGGUAGCGGUACCGAGUCUCGCGCCCAUUCUCGGUGAUCCGNNNNNNNNNNNNNNNNNNNNNNNNNNNNNNNNNNNNNNNNNNNNNNNNNNGUAUAGAAAGGUGAAUGGAAUGGGGAAUCCGGGUGACGGAUGAAGAUUGCCGCGAGAGAGCUCGCGGCGGCGGCGGCGGCGGUGACAGCGGCGGCAUGCCCCUGCUGUCGCCGGGGCAUGACGGGAUGUCCAAACGCGCCACCAAAAAAGUGUAUCUUUGUAUAUCUGCCGUAGUACUUAACCCAUAUCUUCCAGUUUAUAUCGCAAUCUUGUGGAACGACUAAAUUGUGGAAAAAUGAAGAAGAUAAUGUGCCGUACACGUUGAUGGAUCCAUCUUACACAACUUAACCAUCAAGAUGAAACUUACGGUGACAACUUUGUACGGCAAGUGUGCCGUGCACAUCGUGCUAUGUGCCGUACCUGAGGCGUCCGGCCCGGAGCUAGAAGGCUAGGUGGCGGCUGUAGCACCGGCGGCAGCGGCGGCGGCACCGCUGCAGCGGCCUCACCAGAAGCUCCUACAGCAGCAGCGGUUGCCGUACGCGGUUCCGUCGCCUCUGAGCCGGUGGAUCCCGCGGUCUUGGUCUUGUCGUCUUCCGUCCCCCCCUUAGCAGCCGCCACCGCCACCGCCACUGCCAACGUCGUUGGCGGUUCAUCCAUCGUAUCCGGGUCCUCCACAUCCCCUCCCCCUCCUUCUUGUCCGUCGUUUUCACUCCAGGAUGCACCUUUUGCAGCGUCAAUACCCGCGGGUGGCGGCGGCGCCGGGGGGCCCUGCUGGCCCCCCUCCUGUUGCUUGUGGUGGUGAGGGCGAUUUGGGAGUCGUUGCUGCGGCUUAGGAUGUGCUGAGGAGGUUGAUGACGGCGGUACCUGCGCUGGCUGCUGCGGCUGUUGCUGUUGCUGAAUUUGCGUCUGUUGAACAACAGACGCAGGUUGAUCGGCCUGGCCGCUCACAGUCCCCCUUGCGCUUCCGGGCCCUCCACCUGGGUAAACCAACACUGCCAGGUCGGAAUCUCCAUACGGUGAAACGCCCUGAGAAAAGUAAGUAAAGGUAAGUAAGAAACGUUGAAAAAAAGUUUGGGGGAUAGGAUUUGAAUUUGAAUUGGCGAGCGGGCGAAAGGCGGGCGGGGCGGGCAAGACGGAGCUAUGUAGCAAUUGCGCUUUUCAGAUUCCACAAAUGCCUCCAUGUCAGGUUCUCAGGUUCAUGUGCUAUUUUUAUGCGCUCCAAGCAGGCGAAAGGGCAAUUCAAUAAAAUGCCAACGCAAAUGGGGAAAUCACAAAAACAUCGUUUCGCAUCAGGCCAAUUGCCGGCCUUCAGCACUAAACGGGCAGAAUUUCGCCGUUUUUCGGCGAACUUCAGGACGCGGCAUAGAUGCGGUCUUCCUUAUUUAAAGUCUUAAAACAAAGGGGAAAGUAUCGAACUAGGGGUAUGGCGGUUCUUCGCAUUACCAAGAUAGGCCAAAUUACCUAUUCGUCUUCUGCGCCUUCCCAUCAACUUCGCAGAAGCAAAAGCGUUUAUGAAUCUGCUAUGAACUCACUCUUUAAUGGGGGAAAGCGGCCCCAAAUUUCCCGAAAACUUCUUCCAAGGAAGUUGCAAAAUCCUGGACUGGUUUUUGCAGAUGUAGACGUUUGUAUAGGUUGUAUAGCAGAUAUAUUUAUUUUCUCCGAAGCUCCGCAUUUGAACAGCCAUCUCAAAUGGUAGCACAGCAGCACGCGCAAAUCGGACGUCAGGGUGAACUAGGGCACUCAGCUUCUUCAAAGCCGAAAAGGGCUCGGCCCCGGCGCAGCCAGUCGCCCCGCAGUAUUCCGCAGGGGAGGCUGUACGGCACUGGGAUGCAAGUGGAGGAACGGUGUCGUGUUUGGACAAUACGCUCAUAAUUAUGGAUAGCUGCGAGGGCCGGCUGCAGCGGCCGGCGCUGUUGGUGUGAUGUAUGAAUGUGAUGUAUACACUUGCUGCUAGAAUGGCUGAACGUCUAUAGCGUCCUGGUAGUGCGCGAACCCAGCCCCUUGCUAGUCGAACUGAAGAAUAGGACAUGUAUGAGAUGUGCGUGAGACGGAGCAGAAGGCAAGGAGCGAAGUGCUUGAGCAGUUGGCAUGGAUGGGAAAAGGGCACUUGGCGGCAAGUGCAAAGGAGCAACUGCUUCCCACAAUCGACCAGCAGCUUGCAGCGGCAUACACAGUUAUACUAGGUCAGGUACUACUGGCAGAGCAGUACUGAUGCCCCCGGAGAUUCCCUUGGAUGCCGGUGGUGGCUGCGGAACCUGAGCGAUCCACUGAAAUCCACUGAUGGCUAAGGUGACUGGAUGAGGGUGCCCCGAAAUACCGAAGGCAGUUUUUCGCCAGGUAGCGGCCACGGGUGAAGAUAUGACCCCCCUGUCCCACACAUCAUAACUAUAUCUUGAGUUACUUUUACCAGGAUACGAAUUACCGCGCGAACAUGGGUUCUCUAGCGUAUUUUCCAUAUACAGCAAGUUACAACCACAAAAUUGUUAUGUAGCUCUUCAUUAUGACUACUUCUGGGCCGGCUUGCGUAUGAAUGGCCAAGUUAGAAAUGCUUGUCAUUACACCCCAAAGGUGAAAUGGCGAGCAUUGGAUCCUAAAACCAUUUGUGAACUUGGUCCAAGCUUUGACAGUUACCUUUGUACAGUGUGAUCAAAUCUAAAGACAUGGGCAGUCUUGCUUGGGGUUAGGCAGUCUUGCUGGAGCAGUUGGGUUGGCAUCGAUGGGCUGGAGUUGCGGAGUGUGGCAGAGCUGAGCGGGGUAUAUUUCAUUAUUGCUGGUGGUUAUGGCCAGUAAGGGAUCCGUGAUAGUAAGUUGUGGAUGCGUUUCGAGGCCGAGGGCGCCUUGGCAUGGCCCACGGAAAGCUAUUUUUCCGCAGAGAUGUAUGUGAAUUAAUUUCUUCAAGGAUAAUAAUAGCUUUUAAGUGCAAUUGUCAAUUCAGCGUGGCAUGCGAGUUCAUCCUGAGACGCGGCGUUGACUGACUGACUUGCUGGCUGACCGCCUGACAGCCCGCCCGGCCGUCAGGGCCUGACAGCAGUGAACCCCGGGGCCCCGGAAAGCGCUUCGCGCCGGGGCCUCAAUCAAAAUGCUCUGACCCUGAACCUCUACUAUGCUCCAUUUCCCACAACAACAAACCCUUUUGGGUCGUCGCAGAGAGCGAGGAUAUGGUUCGGCUACAAAUCGCUGCCGGAAGGCGCUAAGCACGACAUAAAACAGCUCCGGAUUCCACCAGAAGACUUCACUUUUUUGCUUUUUCCUCAGUUUUCGCUUUCCCAAUUACACUUGUGUGCUGUUCCGUCUGGAUGGAAAACGUAGGAUCAUUUUGAUGAUGUGAUUCAGCGCUGCACGGCCCUGCGUACGCGCGCAAAAAAGAAGCAGCGCAUGCGAGCAUCCCUUGCCAUCGCAAGGACAGGAAAUUCUCGGAGCCUAAAAAGAACCUGGUUUCGUUUCCCUAUUUCUCUAUUACUGCUUUAAUUUUUCUUCUGUUUCCGUUUCCGUUUCCGCUUCGCCUCGAGAACGCAUCCCCUCUUUCGGGGAAUCCUCCGAUGGCCCUUUCCUCCUUUCCAGCUGGCGGUUGUUGCUUUGGACGCACUUUUAAUCAGUUGAUUCUCGGAGUAUUUGAUUUUAGGCGUAUGAUUUCUCUCUGUUUCUAUUGUAUCAUAAAGUAUUCAUGAACUGAUUUGAUGCCUACAAAUGCUUCCCCCCUUCCAAACAAAUCAAAAGACACUUCACCCACCAGCACAGUCUCCCCCUCUAGCCGCAUCCUCGCCACCAGCUCAACCGCAGGUGAUGCAGACCCCGUGUUGUUCUCGUACGACCAGAUCCGAGCAACCUGUGUACGGCAAUACGACGCUCCGAGAUGAAGAUAACGCACCCCGGCGCGAGGAAUAUACGACAUUGCGGCGAAGAGGUAUUAGAGGGGCAGAUAUUAAACUCCGAAGAUAUAAAAGCCACAAUCUUUUGAUGCCAAAUAGGCAACGAUUCGAACUUAACUAUUAACUGGCGAUUCCGGAGGCUCGGAGGCUCGGAGGAAAAAAACAUGGAAAAACUCGGCUUCUUACCCACCGUCCCUGCUCUCUUGAUUUCUUCCGUCCUGCACCUGCACGUUCGUAAACGGCAAUAAUAACCCUCUCACGUCCCCACAACACUCUCCCACCUUUUACACACACAUACACACACACCGGCUCAUUACCCCACCAGGACUUCCCCCCACACACACACACUCACCAGCACCGUGUCAGUCCAAGCCACAUACAAAUGCGAAUCCGGCGCGAAGAGGAGAGAGCAGCGCCUUAGCUGUGAAGUGCUACUGCUGCUGCUAGUGCUGCCACCCGCUGCUACAGCUGCUACAGCUCCGGAUGCAACCGAGGUUGCUUUAGCGGCGGUGGUGGCGGUGGCGGUGGUGGUGGCGGUGGUGGUGGGAGCGGCGCCGGAAAGCGUGGAUGAGGUGGGCUUCAGGUGCUGCUGCUGCUGAGGCGGCGAGGGAGAGGGAGAGUACUGGCCAGCCGCCGCUGCCGCCGCCACGGCCGCCGCACACGACGACGACGAUGACGGCAGGCCGCCUCGCGGGUCGUACCGCCGCAGGGUACGAAUGCUCUGAUGCGCGCUUGUGUCGUACACCUACGCAGGUGAGGAUGGCAUGGGCCGACAGUUGUUCCGUUGGGUUAUCCGCAGCGUAUCGUACAACCCCCCGGGCCCCCCCCACACACCAUUGACACAUUCCUCCCCCCCAAAACCCUACAUUCCCCCAAUGCAAAACCCCCAUCUCUCCUCGAUGGAGCUCGGGUUCUUGGGUUUUCGGGUUUCUUAAGGAUUUGUUAAAGAGGUUGCAUGCAUCUGUGUUGUCAUGCAUUAAUAACACCCCCGGUCCAGCCCUGGAGCUGCCGUACCGUCACGGCACUGUCGUACACCCAAGCCACCAGGGUCCCACUCCAUUUGAGCGCCAGCACGCCCCCCGCCGCCACAUCGCGGGAGGCGGCGGCUGCCAGGUGCUGGUCGGCUCGCGAUAGCCACCCCUGGACGGGGCCGGGGAUGGGGGGAUAUUAGGGGGAAAGAGGGGAGGGUUGCGUGUUUUGACGACCUAAUGAGGAUGGCACACAAGCGACUUCAACGCAGUAAGAGGCAAGCGAAGCGAAGAGGGAAGAGGGAGGCGCGCGUGCGUAUUUGUGUUUUGCACCGCAUGCAGCUGCGUUACCCCCCAAAGUGUAACAGAAGCCUACAUGGGCCGUAUGUUGUUACAGGGUGGUUAACUUCGCCAGCGGCCCCCUUUCCCGGGGCAGUCCCUGCUCUCCCCUGCUAGAGGGGCACCCUAAUCCGUCACCCCAUCCGACUUCAGAAUGUAUUCGUUGAGUUCGGCAACUCACCACCAGCAUCCAACCAAAUCUAGCGGAUCAACGGCGCAUCAACUUAGUUCCUGGUCAGCUCGCAAGUUGAUAUUAUCACGUCCUACACCGUCCAUAAGAUGGGGGGCCACCUCCCAUUUCAUCACUCCUCAAACACCCGAGGAGCCGGCAGGCGGAUUUGAACCCGGGUCGACUGGGUCAACUGGGAGCAGAAGUCAGGCCUUAACCUCUGCCAGCCGCCUGCCUAUGUAUGGCCGUAUGUAUGUCUGUACUAUCACCACGGCACUUUGAGUCAAAAGGGACAUAUAAUUUCAUGUAAAAAAAUUAUUGACAUGAAUUUACAAUAAAAUCUUCAAAUAAUUAAAAAUAAUAAUAGGCAAACACGUAUCUAUGCCAAAUAAUACACACGCACACAUCGGCUAUUGCAGCUCGCUCUUCCCGCAUCUCCCCCAGAUUAGCGUAAUCUAUUUAACAAACUCAAAAUACUCAGCAAAACGCAAAAAUUCAAAAAUUUAGCAAACGCAAAUUCAAAAAAACAAGCAGCAAAACGCAAAAAUUGGAAAUAUUCAUCAAAAACACUAAAAUCCAAAAUAUCCAGCAAAACGAACGAAUUAAUUUCGGAUUUACUUUCUUCGGUAAUAUACUUGCUCGUGUGCCAACCUAACCGCCUCUUUCUCGCGGCUCCUCCCAUUACAACAAAGGCAGAGAGACACACAUACAUACAAACAUACAUACAUACAAACAAACAUACAUACAAACAUACAUACACACACGCACCUGUGUAUGCAACGUGACUUCUCCCCCCGCUGUCCCCGUCACGAGGUCCCGCCACGUCUUCCGAGAGGAGGCGGCGGGGCGAGGAUCUAAAGCCACAACCUGUGUCGUACAGAUUAAGGAAUGGCGGGAAAGAAGGGAUGGAGCGCAUGAGUGUACGCGCGCGUGUGUGCGUUUGUCUGAAUGUUUGCAUUUACAUCGCUACUAUUCCGUCACGGUGGUGAUCAAGGAUGGCAUACUGGUGCGCCGGCUCGCUGUUCCUGACGCAGACGUACUGCUGCUCGUCCUUGCUCGUACGUGUCGUACCUUGAUGGGCGUUUGGAACUCGUGUCGUGUGGUUUGCUCGGUGUACAGGUUGGUGAUCUGAAAUGGAUGAGCCAUACGGACGGGGAUUGUACGGCAUCGGCGUACGGCAUAGCUUCUUCAGGGCAGUGGCGACAGUAUCGCCUUUCGUCGAAUUUAUGGGUUGGGCCUUAAGGAUAUGGAGGGUUAAUGUUUUAUGCGGUGGGGGGGAAGGCGGCGGAGAGGGCGCCGGCAAAGGCGCCCCAACCUCGCUUUCGUGCGGUCCACCGAUUUGAUGCCCUAAGGGCUCGUUGUGCAUUUCUUUGCUCGAUCCCCCUCCUCCCACCCCCCAUCUCGUCAACAACUACGCACCACGACGGUACAGUCAUUUGAUGCGCUGGCGAUGUGUUCCGCCUCCUUAUCAAAGGAGAGAUCAUUGACACGCGCUUUGUGCAGAUUGAGCAGACGGACCUGACCACGGAGGCAAGUGAGGUGUUCAGUGUGGUUAUAUGAAGGUUCCUGAAGAGGAUUGGCAGAAGCUACUCUGGUUUGGAACGCGACCAGGGCUUUGGAUAUAGAGGCAUAGCAGGCCACUUUGCUCAGUACCCAAUUUUAUUGGUAGCCGCAUGACAUCAUUCGUCCUUUUUAAAAACAGCAGGAUUGCGUCCAAUGGCUCGUCUAAACCAAAAGUCACCUGGUUGCCGGAAUAAUCGAGGAUGUGGACUCGGCCUUGCUCCGUCCCAAUAGCCAGGAUCUUUUCGGAUACAGUCAUACAUGAUAUCUUUUCCUUUUCUAAAAUGGUUUGCACGUCACCGCCCAACAGCUCAUACUUUAGUUGCGGUUCCGGCUCUUCAUCUGGGCUUGCCAUCUCCCACGGACGUACUUGCUACGUGGGGAAUUCGAAUCCUACGACCUAAGGGAGCCGUGUUGCACACUGAUUGCUUUGCUGCUUGCGCUAUGGACGGGGGUUUGUAACGGUAUGCUAACCGUCAUUACGUACAACCCCAAGCUGCAACCUCAAGCCGUCCGUGGACCCUCUAAUUUCGCUCAAGCAUAUUUUCGUAUGAUUUCCAAAAGGUAGCAGAAACAUUAACCAUGGCCGCGCCACGUCCAAUAAACAAGAUGAGGCAGUUCAUGGCCAUCCUGCGCAAGAACUUCAUCCUGCAGACACGCGGAAGGCGUACCUUGCUGGGUAUCGGCGGUCUCGCAGGCCUGAUACUGCAGGUGCGCCCCUUUCUUCCUGCCGCAAAGCUGGUAAAAGGGUUGGACCGAUGGGAAUAGACAUGGCCCGUGCUAGAACCGGAAAGACGACGUGAAGCCGCGGGAAGCCGCGGGAAGCGAACGCGACUCGCAGACCCAACAUCCCAAAGGGUAAAUGUGAGGAUUCGGUUCCGACAUUGGAGUACUCGGACAGAAGAUGGCAAAAACCCUUCCCCCCACACACCGCUAUCUCCCCCGCGGUCGAGACACACGUUCCACCUUCACUCCACCAUCGCCAUAACAAAUUCCUUCCAAAUCCCUUUCCAAACCUUCUAGCUCCGUAAAUAUUACUGUCUCUGUCGCCUUCUUCCUCUUCCUCCUCUUCCUCCUCUUCCUCCUCUUCCUCCUCCACCUCCUCCUCCUCCUCUUCCUCCUCCUCUUCCUCCUCCUCUUCCUCCUCCUCUUCCUCCUCCUCUUCCUCCUCCUCUUCCUCCUCCUCUUCCUCCUCCUCUUCCUCCUCCUCUUCCUCCUCCUCUUCCUCCUCCUCUUCCUCCUCCUCUUCCUCCUCCUCUUCCUCCUCCUCUUCCUCCUCCUCUUCCUCCUCCUGCUUCUCAAUAUCCCCCGGUUAAUGCUCCCACCAUGCUCAGGGUUCUUCUUGCCUUCGCCUCACCCCCGUCUCGUAAUCUCCUCUCUCCGCCCCUCCUACCAAUCUUCUACUUCCCAACCCUGAUUCGAUUCCCGGAUCCCUUCACCCUAUUCUCGGUUUUCCCCACAGCCUCCUCGUGCGCCACGUCAGUCCGACAUUUCGUUACCCCUCCCGUGAAAUGAAAUUCCCCUCCUUUCCUGUUUUGGCAACCCCAUGGUUGGGCCUCAAACAAGGAGCCGUCUCACCUCCCCCAGGGCCCCCCUAGCGCCCGUCCCCCAUCGUACCGUACGGUAGUUGGUAUUUCAAGCGCCGGCAUUUCUCAGUAUAUAUAUAUAUACAUAAUAUACAUAUAUACAUGUAUACAUAAUAUGUAUAAUUGGGACCCCGCGCGCAAAACCCAAAACCCCGGCAACCCCCGCGCCCCCCCCCCCCGGUCAGGUACUCCUUCCCGUCUCAUUCUUCCUGGUCAUGUACUUGCCAAAGUACUACAUAAAGCCUUUCCCGCACGCGGAGUCGCUGGGGGCGCCACCGGUACGGCUGGAAUCCAGAUCGUGGGCCGAGCCGUACGACGGUAUGUACGGCAGUACGGCAUUUAUGAAUGGAUGUAAUCGAUACGGCAUCAGAAAGCCGUUACGUCUUUUUCCGUACGGUAUCUGUCGUAUAUCCCCCCCAGGCCCUGCCACAUUUCACUCCCACGGCGGCCGGGCGUCUCUCAUCCUGACGCCCGACGUGCCGGAAGUACGGGGCCUGGCUGUCGUACUGGCACGAACCCUGGCGUGCCCCCGGGAUCCCCGCUUUCGGAUCUGCCCCUCCGCAAACAUGCCCGCCAGCUUCCAUUGCAUGUUCAUGCCGCCGUACGGUGUGUACGGCACGAACAGUACGAACGGCAUUAGCAGCAACGCGUACGGCGCGGCGGCGGCGGAGGGAGAAGGUAACGUGGGAGGGGUGGACGACCGAGUGGCGGGGAAAAGAGAGAGAGAUGGAGUUGAUGGCAGCGGCGGCGGCGGCGGUGUGACGGGAUGGCCGUACAGGACGACCGCCGGAGGACGAGACAGCGGCGACGGCGGCGGCGACGGCGGUGUGUGGUCGCCGGGGGGUUUUGGAUACCGUCGGCGUCAGCGGCUGCGGCUACGGCACAAGCAGGUACUGGAAAACGACAUUGGCGGCAGCAAGCGCAUAACGGCGGCGGCGGCGGCGGCGGUGGCGGACACUGAGGUUGAUAGGCAGGAUGAUGCUGCCGUACUUGCGGCCGGGGAUACCUGUACGAAUUUUUCCAUUUGCGUCGUAACGCCGGCCUGCUACGAACACGUCCUGCGAAAUCAAAUAACCUUUAUGCCCAGCCAAGAGGUACGUACGACGCACUUUAGUCGUAUACGACAGCCGCCGUUUGUUGUGCGUUAUUUGAAGUCGUACAAAUAAUGUCGUGCAUAGGAUAAUACGAGAUCCAUUCGAAAAUGAUGCUUUGUUCUUUAUAUCCCAUUCGCUUCACAGCCGCACACCUCUGAUCUCGUACACGUCGUACAAUGCNNNNNNNNNNNNNNNNNNNNNNNNNNNNNNNNNNNNNNNNNNNNNNNNNNAGGGCAUCUCUGAAGGAGUUGGUUUCGGAGCCACCGAUGACGUUGUCGGCGGUAAAAAUGAUGGCUUCGGAAGCAAAUCGCUUCUUCGCCAUUCAAAUUUGAAGCUCGACAAUUUGAAUUCAAAUUUGAGCUCCCAGUUUUCGAUUUCGGAGCUGCUUAGCUCUGUUGUGAUCGGCAUGAACCACAGCGACGUGCCGCCGACUCGCUUCAUACUGGAUCUGUUUGAGGUGGCGCCAUCGACAUCAAAUGGACUGGCGCUGUACAAACGGUACGACAGCAAAACAGUUUGUACGACAUGCUGUAGGGGACAUGGUUAAAAAAUUUCAUUUGCAUCUAUAAGCGCAUAAUACCGAACUAUUUGCAUUACAAUUUAAUUCUGUAUAUAUGUAUGUAUGUGUGCAUGUUUGGAAAGGAAGCUGAGACCCAACCCAACCCAGGCCUACACGCCCGCUGUUAAUACCCUAAAACCCUAAAACCCUCCCACGUAACUGUCAACCGUCAUGCAGGUACUGGUUUUUUGCCAACCUCCAACUGGCCAUUCAGAAAGCGGUUACUGGGAUACAUGUAGCAGCAAAUUCAAAUGAAGCGCCGCCGCCGUCAGCGCCGCUGACGGUGGCGCCGCCGCCGUCACCCUUACAUGCGAUGACGACGGACCAGGCUGCCGUAUUCGCCGCCAGCCAGCGGAAACCACUUUCAUCACAUUCAUCGUCUUGGGUCGGUGCGGGCAACCCGUACGACAAUGCCGUACCAGCCAACGUGGAGGUGUCGUACAAGGCUUUCCCUUGGCCAGCGGUCACAGAGGACCUGGGAGCUGCCCUCGCUGCCGUAUUCUUCCAACUGCUGCUGGUACGGGAAGAUGAAUUGCAGUACAUUGAAACAGAUAUUGGUGCCGUACAGUGUUUCCAACGUCCCUGAAGCCCACCAACGAAACCCACGCAAACUCUCCUGACGCACCUCCCCUCCUCUCCCCCGCAUGUGCCGUACCUUUCCCCUCUCCCCCCUACCAAUUCCCUCCCGAAAAGAACCACGUUUUGAUUGGUUGCUCGUGUUAAGUGUUUUUCAUUUAUUUUGCAUAUAUUCGUCCCCCAAACCUCCAACCGCCAACCGCUAACCUACGAAACCCGACGUGGUCAGGUGUUUGCCUUCCUGUCGCCCACUUGUGCCGUCGUGGGAGACAUUGUACGGGAGAAAGAGCUGCGGCUGAGAGAGGGAAUGCGUGUGCUGGGUGAGUGUGUUUUGCGGCGUGUGAGGUUUGGGUUUCGUCGGUUCCCAAACCCCCUCAGUUUGCUCCUUGUUUCCUUGAAUAUGAUUCCCGCUUCCCGGGAAUUGUUCCCCCGCCCCCAGGGAGUUGUUCUCCGGGGAGGGGGGGGAGAGAAGCGUGAGGGGGACUUGUGGGGCCUGGUUAGUUGCGGGGUCUCGGUGUGUGUGUGUGUGGGGGGGGGGGGGGACGAUAGCAGGUGUGGGCAUUUCGUUUUGGGGCUGCCGUAGCUGUUAUAGCUUAAGAAAGUCGUUUUGGGGUAAGCGAGCAUGUGUACGGCAGUUAACUGUGGUUACAUUGUACGGCAAACGUGGAGAAUGUGCGCGUGGUGUAUUUGGUUAUGAGAUUGGGGGCUCCCGGGGGCUUGGGGCGGGGUUGGGGCGUGUGUGUAUGUGUGUAUGUAUGUGUGAAGUUGGGGCGUGUAGCAAAGAAAAGAAGCUAAGCGCAUUAUGCGUGAUGGUUUUUCUUUGCAAUCUCGUACACUUUGUCGUACAGGUCUGACCGAGCCGUCGUACUGGUUAUCAUGGGGACUCACCCACUGGCUGCUUCUCGCGCUCAGCGGCGCGCUGUGUACGGCAGCCGGCACGUAUCCCUUUUCCAACAGCAGCGCGGGCGCCAUGCUGACCUAUUUUUGGCUGUACGGCGCAGCAUUGGUGUCGUACGGCUACUGCCUGUCGACACUCUUCAGCAGUAGCCGAGUGGCGGGCACUGUCGUAAUCUUGAUGUACACGUUGUCGAUGCUUCCGGGUUUCGUACUGCCGGUGGUGAGUGGGAUUCCCCUCUUUCCGCCGGGGUUAGGGUUGUGCUGCUAGAUUCUAGUACAAAUGCCGUACACAGCUGCGUACGGCAGGACGUUGUCCAUUAGUUCGUUGGUACAACUAAAGGAUGGUAUGUCUGCUCAGGGGGGAGAGGACUGAGGUCUGUGUAUGCUUAGGGGGAUGAUGUGUGAAACAGGGGGGUUAUAUCUUCACCCGUGGCAGCAACCCGGCGAAACCCUGCCUUGCCCGGAUGUAUGUAUGUAUGUAUGUACACGUCGAGAUGCACCAAUCACAUUCGCAGGUGUAUCCGUACGGCAGCUGGACCUGGUACGUGGCCUGCCUAGCACCCCCCUCCGCCGCUACUCUGUAUGCGAAUGUACUGAUCAACUGGGAGCUGGUAGCGAAAGGUACGGCAGUGUACGACAGAGUACGGAUUUUGUGUGAUCUCGUACACAUAACUGGUUAUACCUGGGCCGUAUGUCUGGUGGUAGGCUGGGGGGAGGUGAGGGGUAAGGUGAGUCGAGGUGGCGGUGGGAGGGGGGAACCCAGGGUUGGGUUUGGAUCUUGGUUCUUUGGAUCUUGAAUUUCAAAAUUUUCGGAUCUUGACUGGAUGCAUUCCGCUUGAUUCGACUGGCGCAUCCAGGAUAAAUUGAAUUAAAUGCCCAAUGUCCUAUUUAGGAGCUUUUCCGAAGAGAGAGAGUGUGUGUGUGUGUGCGUGUGUGCGUGUGUGCGUGUGUAUUGGGGCGGGAAAAGCUGUUACAGUGGGCCUCAUGUGUCGUGUGAAGAGAUGAUAGAGCCAGUGCGGGCCGUGCAUUACCGCCCGUAAUGAGACAGGCGGCCACGGCUGCCAAGACACCCACCAAGACCAGGAAAAAAACAAGUCGUCUAGACAAAAGUGAUAAUCCAAAGAAACUUUCUUUCCAGCAGGUCAUAAAACGUUAAAAACACACGUACACACACGUGCCAAUACACACCUCCCUGACCUCCAUAUCUCCCCUCCCGUCUCCCCUCCCCCUCCCCCUCCCCCCGACACACACACACACACACACACACCUCACUCACCCCCUCACCUCUCCCUUUUCCCCCCCCAGGCAUUCGGCUAUCUACUCUCUGGACGCCCAUCACCCAGACAAACGGCUUCUGUGCUGCAACCGUACUGUGGAUGCUGGCACUAGAUGUCGUACUGUACGGCAUACUGGCGUGGUACCUGGAUAAUGUAUGAUGUGGAGGCGGGCUGAUGGGGAUGUCCGGGGCGGGGGGGAAAGGGGGGGAUCGGGGAGGGGGAAUGGAGGUAUGAUGGAUGCAGGGGUCGGCAAACGCCGCUGGUACAGCGGGUCCUUCCGUUGUACCCGUUGCAGAAAAUCAUCAUCGCUGGUACGGCAGCCGUACGGCAGGGUGCAGAAAUUCCCCCCCAAAGGCAGGUUUGCGCAGUAAUUGGGCGCAACAAGACAACUGUGGCUUUAACAGCGAUGGUGUAACGUAGUAAGUUUGGUACAUCGGCCCGCAGACGCUCUUUCCUCGGCUUUUACCACAAAAAUUUCCAUACAGUUAUUCGACCCUGGCACCAGUACCCGUGACAGUUAUUCAGGGUUUGCCGACCUCUGGAUGGAUGUGGGGAGUAGAACGGUGUGAAGCUUUUUAGUCUCUUGAUGUGUUGGUGUGUGAACCUAGGUCGGCAUGUUCGUACGUGCCGUACCGGAUAAGUUAUUUCAAACGGUCCCAACGACGUUGCCCUGCCGUGCAUUCCCCAGUGGCACGUGCGCACCUUCCACCGUAACUUAUAACUGUACUUAUAACUGAUGAGAGCGUUGUCGUACAACCUGCCGUACAGGUACUGCCGAAAUCGUACGGCCAACGCUUGCCCUGGUGGUUCAUUUUUGACCGGCGCUACUGGGCAUCGAAAAGGGGUGGAAGGGCUGACGGCGGCGGCGGUGGCGGCGGCGGCGGCGGCGGCAAUUCCGGGGGAAUGGGGAGUUCAAACGGUGGCGGCAGAUGGCGGCGGUUGCGGUGGUGGCUGCUCGACUUGAGGAAGGCCGUGACAUGGGUUUGGCGUGGCAACGGCGGCGGCGGCGGUGAUGGCGACGGCAAUCCAUCACUUUUCAGUAAGUACGACAACUUCAAAAUCCCCAGAGAACAAGUUCUAUGCGGUUCGCCCCAUAUUCUCAUGAUUCAUGUUUCCGUCAUGGACGCACAAAAGCGGUUAUAGUUUUUUAUUCUUAAUUUUUUAGUGGUUACUUCCUACACAACCGCACACACACAUACGCACACACACAUACGCACACACAUUUAUCUUUAAGACACGCCCCUUCUCGCCGUCACCUCACCCAUCUCAACCUGCCGUACAAGGGCCCCUCCUCGGCAGCAGCCGCGGAGACGGCGGUAUCAAUGAUGGCGAAUGCCGUACUUCCGUACUGCCGGUUUCGGAGCGAGACAGCCGUCUUCACGGGAUGCUGCCGGCUGUUGAGGUUCGCGGGCUGGUCAAAGUCUUCCAGACGUUGACCGGGGAGGACAAGGUAGCGGUUGACCACUUGGACUUGCAGGUACGGCACAGUAACCUCACUUGUACGAAAUGAAGUUCAGUGAAAUGUUCGUACUGCUUAAGCGGUCAUAAGCCGACUGCCCUGCGCUGCCCCCUUCCGUCCUUCCGCACCUACCUACAUCCGCUGGUUUUUCAGGGUUUUAGGGUUUUACAGUUUUAGGAAAGGGUUUUACAGUUUUAGGGUUUUAGAGGAGUCAUAACCCUAUAUAACUUCUGAAACCCGCACUCCCUUCCCCCUCUCACGCUAAAUCUUUUUCCGUUCUGGCUUCCGUACAUCAUACUACACUAUACGGACGGAAAAGAUUGCGAGUGGGCGCAUUACGGCAUUACUGGGCCACAACGGCGCAGGUGCGGUUGUUGGUUGGUUAGUUUGCUGUACAGCAACUAUAUUAACGGUUACUCCAAGCCAGUAAUACGAUGAAAUUCGGACCUGCAGGGAAGACAACCACCAUCCACAUCCUCACUGGAAUGCUACAACCAACCGCCGGCAGUGCAACCGUCAACGGUUUUGACGUUGCGACCCAAAUGGAUCUGGUACGGUCUUCGUUAGGCAUCUGCCCCCAGUUCGACAUCUUAUGGCCUGACCUGACAGUGUACGAACAUCUGGAGUUGUACGGCGCGAUCAAGGGCUACCUGCGAGUGGAGAUCCCCGAGGUGCGUGUGCGUGUACGUGUGUGUGAGGGGGGUUAAUAAAAACGUGAUUGCGUUUGCAAUGACGAAUGGGGUAAGGGGCGGGUUUUGUGUGUGGGUUUUCCUUGUCGUACUCUCUACUUUCCUUAUCCGUUCUUGCCGCCGGCAUUCCACACGCUCUUUUACGCGCGCUCUCCCUUCCUUCCUCGGCCGGCUUGCCACCGCGGCCGCCAGCGUCAUCGUUGCCAGAAAAUGAGCCACCACAUAUAGCACAUACCAAACUCAAAACACAUGCAAUUCCGUGCGCCCCCCUCCCCCCGCCCCCCCCCCCUUCUCACCUGCCACCCUUUUCCUUUGCCCCCGGGCGGUGAAGGGCAAAAGAAGAGCCGUGUACGCAGUUGUACGACAAAGCCCGCCCAACUAACACAACGGUUCAUUUUUCUGUAUUCACCCUGCCAAUCCGUCUUGCCAACUCUUGCGUUUCCCUCUCUCCCCCUCUCCCGCCCUCCCUCAAUACCCCCCUCCCGCCCCGUCGGGCAGUUGGCCGCCGCCGCCGCUGCCAAAGUGGGCCUUACGUCCAAACUCCACUCCCUAGCUGGAGAGCUCAGCGGCGGGCAGCGCCGCAAACUUAGUGUGGCCAUUGCUUUUUUAGGCAACCCCGCCGUCGUGUUCCUGGUAAAGGUUUUUCGGUUUAGUGACCCUAAUUUCCUAAUAAAGACACAAGGGACGCGGGAAUGAAAACUAAAGCAGAAGCUUGCAAGAGCAUGACGAGAGCUUCCAAGUAGCGAUGUAUGGGCUCGAAAAUUUUGAAAGUUGAAAGAAAAUUUGUUGUUUUCAACGGUUUGCAGUACUAUAAUACGUACUAUUACUUCUACACCUGCAGGACGAACCUACAUCGGGCAUGGACCCAUAUAGCCGGAGGUAGGUUAUGUAUUGCGUCGUACAUGUAUGUACGGCAUGGCUUUUCGUACUGCAUGCCAAACAGCGUUAUUUUGUGGUACUUUUAAUUGCUCUGGGAUAUGCUUACAUGUUGUGCAAAAGUUAUGCCUGUGUAUGUGUAUCUGUAUCCGGAUUGGCCUGUGAAUGGCAAACCUGAAUUCUCGAAGUAUGGUCGUACUGUCGUACUAUCGUACAGGUUCACGUGGGAGGUCAUCCGUCAGCACCGAUCCGAAUCCGCCAUCGUACUCACCACACACAGCAUGGAGGUAUGCGGAAUUCCAAAUCCAAGCUUAGCCGGAUCUGAACCACAUCGAAUUCCGGACAAUAUCAGAUCAUCUAUUAUGUUUCAUGUGCUUUUCAUGUGGGGUUUAGGAUGCACUCGAUAUAUAUUUACAAACAUACAAUCUGUAAUUACAGAUAUAAAUGUAGAAAGAUAAACAAAUUGAAAUCAGAUAGAUACGCAGAUAGAGGUUCUGUUCACGACCACCUUCCUAAAGCUACUCCUUUGUUUUGUCAGGUUAUGUUGCCAUGUUGUCCUGUAACAGUUGUCAGUUGUCAGUUUCAGUUUCAGUUUCAGUUGCCGCUUUCUGCGCAGUUCAUUAAAAUAGGGAAAUGAACUCAGCUUGUACGCGCGUACACACGUUCGUACACACGUUCGUACACACAGGAGGCGGACCUCCUAGGGGACCGAGUUGUGAUCUUGGCUCGAGGGAGGGUGGCGGCGCAGGGAACCGGCAUGGAGCUGAAGGUAUGUACGGCACUUUCUUCGUGUGUUUAGUGUUUCUUUUGUCCUUCCCUUUCCCCCUCCGCGCCAAGAAGUUUGGUCUCAGGUUGACUUCGCUGUCAGUCGGUGCUCUGGUUCUAACGUUCUUGGUAGCAAUGGCAAUUGAUUGUAUUUUGUGUAUUUUGUGUAUUUUGUGUAUUUUGUGUAUUUUGUGUAUUUUGUGUAUUUUGUGUAUUUUGUGUAUUUUGUGUAUUUUGUGUAUUUUGUGUAUUUUGUGUAUUUUGUGUAUUUUGUGCAACUACUUUUUUCAUUUGCUUUCCUUCGUUUGCUUUAUGCACUAUGAUCACCACCUAAGACUGUAUUGCCUUUAUCCCCUUUGUCCUACACUAUUAUUAGUCACAUCAUGCAGCAGAAUCCGUCUCUAUCGUACCUUUUUUCGUCAAUCGCCUGUGCUCUGAGGUCUUAUCCUCCUCCUCCUCCUCCUCAGGCAAAUUACGGCGUCGGCUAUAACCUCACCUUGGUCGUGGCGCCCCGUCAGCACCAGCACCAGCACCAGCACUCGCAGCUGCCAGGGGGAAAACCUGCCACAGCAGCCGAACCAGCACUAGCACAAGACAGCGCUACUGCUAGUGCUACUGCCCCUGAAGCAACGGCGGCGGCGGCGGCGGCCGGGACUCCGCCAUCACCUGAGGCGGCCGUUAUGGCAGUUGUACGACGGCAUGUGCCGGCAGCUGAUCUGUUGAGUGCCGCCGGCGCGGAGGUUGUCGUACGUCUGCCGCGGGAGGCAACGUCGUCGUUUCCGGCGUUGCUUCGGGAGUUGGACGGACCCGUGGGUCGGCAGCAGCUGGGAGUGGCCAGCUACGGCCUUUCGCUGACGACAUUGGAGGUCCGUGGGGGGGUUGGGGUUGGGGGGGUAAGCGGGGGUAAGGGGGAUGUGAGGGGGGGUAAGACGAGACACUGGUGAAUGGAGCAGAUACCAAAGGCGGGUGGGGUGAGGGUGAGGGGGUUCCGGGGUUUGUGGGAGGGUGGCUUAGUUUGUGGGCACGUGCUGUUGUGUGUGCACGGCCUUUUGUGUGCCUGUUUUUCUUUGUGGUUUUUUUGUGUAUGUCGAUUCACACUUGUGUGUGUCUGUCUGUGUGUCUGUCAUGUAUGAUGGUGUUACAGGGUGGCAUAGCGUCACCAGCGGCCCCCUUUCCCGAGGCAGUUCCCUGCUCUCCCCUGCGAGAGGGGCACCCUAAUCCAUUCACCCCACCCGAUUUCAGAAUGUAUUUGUUGGGUACAGCAACUCACCACCAGCAUCCAACCAAAUCUGGUGGAUCAACGGCGCCACAACUUAGUUCCUGGUCAGCUCGCAAGUUGAUAUAAUCACGUCCUACACCGUCCAUAUGAUGGGGGGCCACCUCCCAUUUCAUCACCCCUCACACACCGAGGGGUCGGCAGGCGGAUUUGAACCCGGACACUCUGGGAGCAGAAGUCAGGCAUUAACUUCUGCCAGCCACCUGCCUGUUUUGUUGUAUGUGCGUGUAUUCGGCAACAGCAAAACGUGGGGGGUUCCUUAAGUGUCUGUUUGUCCGUAUGUUUGUCCGUAUGUCCGUAUGUCUGUAUGUCCGCGAGUAUGUCAGUCUGUCCGUUUGUCCGUAUGUUUGUCUCCCAAUUUGCGUCACCGUUGGACCCAACAUCACCUUCCCCACCAACGCCGUGAUGGCACAUUAGGGGCAAUGUGCGGCAUGUCCCGCUGAUGCAUAUGUAUGUGUGUGUACCUAUGUACGUAUAUACGUGCGUACGAAUUGUUUACGUGACUACGUCAUCCCAUUCCGCUCACCGCCCGCACCGCACCUCCCACACGCCACCUCCCAUCUCACCUCGUAGGAGGUAUUUUUAGCCAUCACAGCGGCGGCGGAAGAACAGCAACAGCAACAACAACAACAGGGGCCACCGCAGCCGCCGCCGCCGCCGCCGGUGCAUCCAGCGCCGUUGUACGGCUGGCGGCUGUACGGCCAGCAGCUGCGGGCCCUAUUUACCAAAAGGGCCCUAUGCGCUCGACGUGACCGUCUGGCAGUGCUGACUCAGGUAGCGGUUCCGUUAGCGCUGGUGUACCUGGCGUUAUGGAUCAGCAGUUUUCAGGUACGACAAUACAACGGUAUGACGGUACGGCGGAAUUUAGACUGUACUGCAGCAAAAGGAUGUUCAGUGCCCUUUGUUCCCGCGCAUUUUCACGACCAAUUGACCAACCUAUCCUUAGUUUCAAUUUGGUGAUGUGUCCCAACGCCGCCAACGGUUGCAACCGACAACUGCUAUAUUGCAAACGGCGCAUGCUGCUGAGGACAAUUUGCAAUUGUACGGCUAUUGGCAUGCAGGUUCGGGAAACCAGUGAGCCGCCGCUGGAGCUGUCCCGCCGUACGGCACUCUUCGGCAGGCCGCUGGCUUGGUCGGCCUCGCCAGCAGUCCGUAAUGCAAGUGAGGGCUGUAGCGGCGGCGGCGGCGGCGGCGGCAGCAGCAGUCGCUGCCUGGCGGCGUUCUUGGCCAGUCAUCCAGCCGGUGCCCGGGCUGUCGAUAGUGGCGCCACGGCGCCGUACAACCCCGGUACGACAAGGAUCAAAUUUUGGAGCAGUACAAAAUUGGCAAACACAUGCAUAGGUUGGAAACGUAAUCACCGCGCCGUCCCGAUCUACUGGACAUUUACCCAUUUCUUGUUUUUUUGGCCGGAAAUCUUAAAGAUUGGCGCAUUUAGGUAGGUGCUUAAAUUUUUUUGUUGUUGGCGUUCGACUUGUGGUUUACUGUUGUGUCCAUCGUACGACGCUAUAUGUGUGGCCACUCCCAAGGCAGUAACCGAAAUUUGCCGUACCAAGCAGUUGGACAGUUAUAACAGUUGUGAAACGCAACGUACAGGUGACCCAAAGGCGAGAUCCACGACGCUAGAGGACUACCUGGUACGGCACUGGUACGGCGGCGACGUCGGGCCCGUGUACGACGCACUCCACAUCACCAGCCUCCCGCCGCCGGCAACCCUCGCCGCUGCGCUGCUGCCGCCGUCGUCACCGUUAUCGCCGCCGCCGCCGCAGGCGCCACUUUCGUUCGUACUGCUAACCAACCAAAGCGCCAUAUCAGCUCUGCCUGCCGCGCUCGCCGACGCGAUGACGGCGGUGUUGUCGUACAUAAACGGCGGCUUGCAGCCGCCAGCCGUCGCUGCGCCGGCGGAGCCGCCGCCGUCUUUCUCUGCCGUCAGUUGGCCGUUGCCUAUUUUGGAAACUGAGCUGGUGGCGCAGAUAAAGCGGGACGCUGCGAGGUUGAUGCUGGUGCUGUGCUUGCUGCUCGCGAGUAGCGUACUGUCGGCUUCGUUUGUGGUCUUUAUCGUCAGGUGCUAAUAAUUUUAGCUAUAAGUUGUUGUCGUUGUUGUUGUUGUCGUUGUUGUUGUUGUUGUUGUUGUUGUUGUUACAGAGUGGGAGGCUUCUGGGCCACUACUAGUGUAAUGCUUUAUUUGAAGAAUGUCAGAUUCUGUUGGUAGUUAGGUAGUUGGUGCGUGGUUAUGGGCAGCGGUUGACUCGCAUACCGGGAGGUAGGUAAUGGGCUUAGGGGAUUAGGAGCCAAGGUGUGGACUUGUGUAUCCAUCUGUCUGUCUGUCUCCCUGUCUGUCUGUCUCCCUGUCUGUCUCCCUGUCUGUCUCCCUGUCUGUCUGUUUGCUUGUAUGUCUCUCUGUCUGUCUGUUUGCUUGUAUGUCUCCCUGUCUGUCUGUUUGCUUGUAUGUCUCCCUUCCUUCCUCACGUAGUGCCGUAUAGACAGAGAGACAGACAAACAUAGUGUCUCGUACACGCAAAUGCCUCCCUGCUGUACACCGUACGAUCUGUGUCGUACUCCUUGCACUUUCAGGGAGCAGGACAACAACUCUAAGCACUUGCAGCUGGUCAGCGGCGCUCCUGCUACAGCUUAUUGGGCCGCCAACUUCUGCUGUGACUUCAUCAGCUACAGCCUGUCUGCCGCCGGGCUGCUAGCGCUGAUUGCGUCGUACAGGCUACCGCAGUACAGCGGUCAGCGUCUGGCGGCAGUAGCUGGGCUAUUGUGGGGCUUUGGACCCGCGGGCAUCAGCCUGACCUACUUGCUACACUUCUUUUUCCGGGUACGUGCACAGCAAUUUCAUAACAGGGUACGGAUGUACGGUGUCGUACACAAACUUUCCACCAGAACUCACUCACACUCCAUUUCUUUGGCAGGUUUGAUGUUAUUGUUCAUACAUAGAUACGUUGUUCGUACCGUACCGUACUGUACGACGCAGGACGAAAUGCGUGCUCUACAGCGGCUUAACACCAUCUAUUUCCUGACGGGUUAUUUAGGAUUCGUAGCGACUUGGAUUGCUGACCUGAUAUUAAUGGUGGUGCCGCGAUCCGGCUCUUCGCUGGCGUCCUGGAAUCGUGCGGCCAAAGCAACGCUUCGCACCGCGUCGCCUCAUUACUGCUUCGCACGCGGAAUGUACGACGUCCAGUCAACGUACGAGUUGAGUGCCGUACAUGCGCCGUACGGGGUAACAUGUGAUGCGCGCUGUGAACGAUGUAUGAGGAGGUGGUGGUAGGGGGCACCGUGGCCAUAGUCGGGUUGUGUGUUUAGGAGGGGGAAGGUUGGAAGAGUGUACGAACCCCGUACGAAUGUACGGAAGUGGUUACGUUGCUUAAUGAUUCACCCCUCGACGUUCUCCCUCGAGGCACAUCGUCUCGCCACCCCCAGGGCUCUUCACCCAACAUCCCGGUCGCCCCUCUUACCCCCUAGCGUCCACUGCCGUACUAUUGCUGCUUGUGUUGUACGGCAACUGCCAGUGUUGUACGACCGAUUUGAUACACAUCAAAGAGUGUUUUGUAGGGGUUCUCUUUGUUUGUCUUCUUGUCCUGUUCUCUCUUCCGCGCCCUCUCUUCAGCGUGGCGCGCGUUAACCCCCUUUCCCCCGCCGCCGUUCCUUUCCCCUUUCUUUCUUCCUCUUCCAAUGCCCCUUCAUAAAUUUUUUAUUUUAUUUUCUUGUUGUUUCUUCAGCACCGGCUUUCCGUUUGGCAAACGCGGCAAGCCCUUCGACUGGGACGUCUUCGGCAGCCCCAUGGCGCAUAUGGCCGUACAGGCGCUAGUGUACGGCAGUAUUGCCGUACUGUACGACGCGGGCGUGCUGACGGUCGCUUAUGCAUACGGGCAGGACGCGGCGCGGUGGAUUUUGUCAUUCGGGCGACGGCGGCGGCGGCGGCAGCAGCGGCGGGGCGGUCGGUUGUGGCGGUACGGCAAUGGCGGUGCCGCCACCGCCGAUGGACGCGACGGUACGGCAUACGGCAUACCCUCAACUUGUCUAGACAAAUCCCUCAAAAAAGCUUUAAACAUAGAAAUAGAUCCGAAGUUCAUAUCGCCAGCCCAGAUUUCCUUUCUCUCCCGCUCUAAAGGGAGUUUGGGGUUUUAGAGUUUUAGGGUUUUAGGUUUUUUUUUAAGUUUUAGAAUUGCGAUGAUCUGUAGGACAAUGAUCUAUUAGGAUGUCUCUUUUUCGGUUUUGUUUGGUCCCACGGGCCACUUCCAACCUAUCGAAUAGGGUUUCUAACUCGACCUGACCGAUAUGACCAACCCGUGGGUCUGUGUCGUACAGCGGCGCAACUGGUUGAAUUGGAGGAGGGGCUGUCCGCGGCGGCGGCGGCGGGAGACACCGAAACCAAAUGGGCUCAAUGUGGCAGCGGCGGGUAUGGUGAUGGUGAUGGCGAUGAUUUGGACGAUGAUGAUGAUGAUGACGUGGCGGCUGAGAGGCAGGCGGUGGUUGAGGGCCGCAGGAACAACUGCCCGGUUAGUUGUGUGUGUGUGUGUAUUUGGGGGGGAGGGCCCGGCUUAGUACGAAUUCAGUUGGUGGGCUGCCCAUGUGGGAUCCGUUAUUAGCUGAUGCGAUAAACAUACGCGCAUUUCUUAGUACCGCGUUUUAUGUUCGGUUUCAAUUUUCGCAAAUUUAAUUAUUUAAAACAUAUCAUAACUCCCAACCAUGAUUUUAAUUUUUUUGUUUUAUAUUCUAUUUUUAUUUUUUUGUAAAAUCUCCUAAUUUCCGCUCUCGUAAUCGUCGACCAUCUUGACCACCUAUUCACAUCUCUCUCUUUCUGUUCCCCGCCGCUGCCGGUGUCACUCAGCGGUCGGCCCCUCGAUCCCCUCUAAAUGCGCAACCAUUCGGUCGCAUGUCGCAGGUUCUGUUGGCCGGUGUACGGAAGAGCUACAGCCAGGGUUGGUCCCGACCGGCAGUAGCAGCAGUUCGCGGAUUGUGGGUGGGGGUGCCGGCGGGGGAGUGUUUUGGACUGUUGGGGGCAAAUGGAGCAGGUGCGUGCGUGUGUGUGUGUGUGUUUUGGGGGGCCCGGGGGAAACUGAGUGGUGAUCGCGGGGGAAGAUGGAAACAGGCGUGUGUGUUUUGAUUUUCAAGGAUUAUCCGCACUAGAGUAUAUCAACCCCCUGGAGUAAUUCCCCCCUGGAGUAACAGAGCUCAUUAGGGCCGGGAUGCCCCGGGGGGGGGGUGAUACUCCUGAAGGCGGGUUUUUGAUGUGUGUGGGGGGAGGGGAGGGGAGAAAGCGGUAGGUAGGUGUGGGUAGUGAGUGAGUGCUGAUGGCUCCUCUUCUGCCUGGCUUUGCGGGAAGAGAGGAAGGAAGGGUGGGGGAUACUAAUGCAGAAAGCGGUGUAUAGAUACAUAUAUAUUUGUAUGUGUUUAUGUAUGUGUAUUUGUAUGUGUAGUAUAUAGGUACUUGAAGGUAUAUUAAAAAGUUUUUUAUUUAGUCAAGCAUCAUGCACCGUACGACAGUCUGGAGACGGCUUUCAGAUCUUUAAAGCAAAAAAGUCUUUCAAACACAAAAAAUGAAAUGAAAUGAAGAAUAUGAAAAUAAAGAACAUGGGAUCUCAACCGAACCCUACUAACGGUCACAACUAAGAACAUCUCCCCUCCUGAGCUUCUCUUCAGCUCCGUCUCAGGUUUGUGUCGUACAUCUCCACGCGCCCUCCCUAGAGACGUACACACACGUUUCCUCCCCCCACCCCCCUCCUCCCCCGCACAUCUAAGAACCAACCCUAUCUUUCUUCUUGCUGAUGAAUCGUACGGCACUUUGGUUUUCCCGCCGCCAACUCCGUAACAGGCAAGACUACCACCUUCAGGAUGUUGACCGGGGAGGUGAUGCCCGACGCGGGAGACGCGCGCGUGGCGGGUUUUAGUGUACGGAAGCAGUUGGCAGCGGCGCGGCGGCAGCUCGGGUGGGUGACAGACACCCCCCGUGUGUGUGUGUAUGUGAGUGGAGGGGGGGUCCAAGUUGGGGUUUGAGGGUCCCCCCCGGGAGGAGGGGAAAAGAGGAUUGGAGUGAACCGCAAUGCCGUUCGUACAUACACACACGCACAAUGUUCACGCAGCUCGGCCUGCUGGCAGUGGCGUUCUUUUGCGUCUGUCGCGGUAUGUUUAUAUAUGCUUGCGCAUGCAUUGCCGUACACUGCCGUACAUAGGUACUGUCCCCAGUUCGAGGCGCUUCCGGGAGCCAUGACGGGUCGGGAGGUGGCGGCCAUGUACGCCAGGUACGUGUACGGCAUAAGUUCUUAAAACCUGGUGUGUCGUACGGAUGCAACAUAUAAAACACACUGCCCUACACUGUGUUUGGGUUAUGCGUUCAGCACCCGCCUGGGCCAUUGGUCGGAUCCCCUGUUCAAAUUAAGGUGGCUGCUGCACGUACACGUACAGACGUACAUGUACAUCUUGUACAGGAACGUGCAUAUGUUCUACUUGUGCGAUUACGCAGGUUGCGAGGGGUUCCGGAGCCGUACGUCGCCGGUCUGGUGUCGUACCUACUUAAGCGGCUUGGGCUCGAAGGUGCGGCGGACAGCCCUUGCGGUGGUUACAGGUAUGGCGGUUGGCGGUUGGUAAUCUGUUGACUGUUGGGUGGUCGUCCACGUGCGGCCCCGGCUUUGCUUGCUCGUCCUCUCCUCCCCAGUCCCCAGCCAUAUGCCUUUGCUUGCAAUGUUGUACGAUUGUGUACUCGGUACCGUACCUGGUGCCGUACGUGCAGUGGCGGCAUGAAACGCAAGUUGGGUGUGGCGGUGGCGUUGGUGGGUGACCCGCGGGUCUGUGCGCUGGACGAGCCCUCCACGGGAAUGGAUCCGGGAGCCCGCCGGGGUCUGUGGACGUGUUUGCAGGUGCGUGUGCGUGUGGGCUGGGGGGGUUGCAGGGGUGGAGUGUAGGGAGGGAGGAGGUUAAGGAAGGGAUCAAAAGGCGUGUGGGGGGAUCGGGGGAGGGACGGGGGGGAGUAACUCCGGGAGUCCGUUGGAAAGCUGGAGGGGUUGCUUGUGUAUGUGUGUAUGUAUGUACGUAUGUUGGUAUCGAGGGUACGGCGAAUGAAUACCCCCUUUAAUACACACCUCCCCCUCCCCUUCCCCCUCCCCCCACUGUGGCCCCUCUUCACAUGCAGAACGAGGUCAUUCGAGCGGGUGAGUUCGUCUGUCUGUCUGUCUGUCUGUCUCAACCUCCCUCGCCUAUCUUUCCCCCGCGCUCUGACGCGGUUCGGCUCGGCCGCCCGUCUUCGCAGCUUCGUGCCAUCUGGUUCACCUCCUUCCUCCACAUUCUGUCACAUGCUUCACGUACGGCACGUACGGCAGAGCAAACGCAAACAUCCCUCCUUUCCUUCACACGAGUUGCGGUUUCAAUAGUGUCACAUUUUUGUCAGUGAGUAUUGUCAGGAUUACGUCGUACAUUUGUCAUUGCUCAAAUAACAUCGAAAAGGUCUGCCGUACAUGCCGUAACCCCAAUUUUUGAGUCUUUAGGAGUUUUCAAAUUCGAACCAAAAAACCAAAUGCAUAACAAUUCACGGAUUUCCUUGAUUAUGGGUGGAUGAGGACUCGAGAGGUACAUGGAUGUGAAUGAACCAGAAGCCAUCCGAAAUCAGAGACCGUACGACGACAUCUUGACGACCACGAACUGCAAACGUAGGCCGUACUGUCGUACUGACGAGCCAUUCCAUGGAGGAGUGUGAGGCGCUGUGCACUUCACUGACGAUUAUGGUGGCGGGUCGGUUGAGGUGUUUGGGGACCGUACAGCACCUGAAGAGCCGCUUCGGAGGCGGGUAAGUCAGUGUGCCUGGAGUAAUUGUGUAGUUCACGUCUAUCUGUCUGUCUGUCUGUCUGUCUGCCUGGCGAUAUGUCUGUCUGUCUGUCGUGCCUCUUACAAGAGGGCUAAGGUGUUUUUAGGAUUUUAGACAAUUUGUAGACAAAGUCGACAAACCCUAAACCCCUAAAAUGGCGAGGCUUUUCAACGUAAGGAGGUGCCGCCCUUUAAACCCCUCACUUGCAGUAGCCAUCCGGUGCUGUACAUUUUGUCGUAUACGUACCCAUAUUUGCCGUACAGGUACAUCCUGGAGAUCAAGUUGCAGCCGGCAAGUGCCAGCAAUCCGUCCCUGGCGAGUGGUCCGUCGCCGCCGCCGCCGCUGCCGCCGCUGCCGCAAUCAUCGCACUCCGUAUCGCCAGGCGGCGGCGUCGCCGCCACCACCGCCACCGCCGCCACGGGGGCCGAUGCGUCGUCGUCGUCGUCACCGGCGGCGGCGGCGGCGGCUGUGCUAUCUGUCAAUGACGCUGCCGCCAGGGCAGCGACGCUGACGGAGUGGGUGGCUUCGGUGUGCCCAGGUGCCGUACUGUCGUACAUGGAUCAGAACUGUUUCACCUUUUCCCUCCCGAGGUGGGUUUUCCCCCCGCCCCCCCUGUGUGUGAGCGAGUGUGUGUGUUUUGGAUUUCCAUCCACCCCGUCACCUACCCCCUAUACAGCUGUUCGUCCAUCCACCUGCCGUACAAAACGUUCAUCCAAAGCAGUUACUCCUCCUCCUAAUCCCCUCUUGCCUUUCUCCUGGUGUCCCUCCUUUUCCGUCGGACAGAGAGGCUGUAGCUGCCGCAGAAAACAGCGAUAACCCAGAUGCUGACGCUGGAGGCUCGCAGCCGCCGUACUCUCUGCCGCCGUCGCCGCCGUCGCCACGUCAGCAAGACCAGCAGCAGCAGCGGCAGCAGCAGCAGAUGCAGCAGAUGCAGCAGAUGCAGCAGCAACAGCGACAUUUAGACCUUGCCGCACUUUUCGAGGCGGUUGAAUCCCAACGAGCAGCUCUUGGGGUGGCCGAUUACUGCCUGACACAAACCACCCUGGAGCAACUCUUCGUAUCAAUGGCCGCGAGCAGCACGACGAACACAACCACCUCAACCACCUGAAGGCCGUAGAAACCUUGGGCAGCGCAGCUGCCGCCAGGGGCCGAUGGUGACGCAGCAGGUGACGGCGGCGACGACGGCAGCCUUGGCGGCGGCGGUGGCGGUGGCGGUGGCGGCCGAUGAUGACGGAUGCAAGUUGUGUAUUGUUGGUGUUGGUGUAGGAGGGUAUGAACAGCGGGAAGAUGAGGCUGGGGUCCUGGCGCAAGCUAUACCAGCGCAACGGCAUUUAAAUAUCGCGACACGGGGUUCCUUUUAUAUCUAAGUGUCAGAGUCCCUCAGUAUCUAAGUGAAGUUGAAGGGGGGGUCUCUGGCAAGCUGGAUGAGAAAAGACGGCAGCUAGAUGAGGCGCCCGGCCGCCUUCGGGACAGCUAGAUGAGGCUCGGUGGCUGCCAGAUGAGGGUUUGCAGGGUCCGAAAUUUCACCUGGAUGAAAUGUAUGGCAUAUCCCGAUAUGCAAUUUGGGUGCUCUACAUUUAUCUAGUUACGCUUCCUUAUGUACUGAGAUGCGCGCGGGGCUUCUCGCAAAAAACGCUUACAGAGUCUCAUACUCGCCCAUGCUUCGGUAUACACGAUGGCAUCAGUAUAAUACCAAUCGCUAUGCAUGGGCCGACCCGCCCAACGAACGCCACGCCGCCGCUGAUGGCCCCGGCGGAAACGCCCCUAAGCGCCAGGAAGCGCUCCUAAGCGUUUUUUUAAGAGGUUACAAGGUGGGCCGCUGGCCCAGGCUUCACAUCGGUUCGGCAGGUUGUCAGUUCGGUGCAUCGUGUCGUACUUAGCCACUGACUAGCACAAAAAAAUGUUUCCACGAUGCGUGCAUCGCUCACAGACAAAUGUUGUCUAGGUAACUGUAUGGUACAGGUUUUCGACAAAUUGUGUAACGGUAUCUUGGGCUAAACAACAACAGUUUCGUCAUCCAUACGAGGCACAUACACCAGGACGUCACACCGAGAAUGUUCCCCAUCCGCCCAACAACAGACGCAAACCGUUUAACGUCAGGGCCUACGUAAACCACAACGCUUUGCCGUGCGGGUUUUCUACACACGGCCCCUAGGGACAGACCUGAGUCCUGCACACUUGCGCCCCUAUUACGUGUCCCCCGUACAAAGGACACACGUUCGCGCAGAAAACAUAACGGCCAUUUCAGCACUGCAUCGAACCACGCAUAGAUAGCCCACCGCUGCUUUGAGGAGAAGCACUGCCUGCCUGAUACGGCGGGCCUCAUACUCCUCGACACAACGCCGAAAAAAACAGGCCCUGAAGGCUAUCGCCAGAACGCAAUCCAAACGGGGGGUUAAUGUACAAAGCGACGGAGCCAAUGCUGACACGCAUUCGCGCUCUGAUCAAUGCUCGUACACACGCGUAUACACACAUUUUCUUCCAGUUGGUCAACACAGCAGUGCUAUCUGAUGACACGGUAGCUACCCACUGUGCGCCCGCAGGACGAAUUCCCUACCUCCCUGUGACGCACCGAUGCACUGAACACCAUCUGAGUUGUCCUCCUCCGCAGGCACUCGAGUGCAACAGCACACACGCACAUGCAAAUACAUACAUCUACAUGCCUUAUCCUUUCCUGCAGGCCAUUCAAAUAGGAUCGGAACGACAGGUCCGUUGUUCAACAUUCCAUGUUUGUCUAUUGGAGGACUGCUGCCAAUGUGUCUUCUGCUUAGGCAAGGCUGCCCACGAACUAGCGCGAGAAAAGGCAUGUAGACAUGUGAAGCAAAACAGUGCCUUGUCAGCAUCUAUAGGAUUAUUCGUUAGAAGGUGACUUUCAUACACCGCAUCACCACUAGUGGCCUUGCUGCUGCUGCAGCUGCCUCUUGAGGGCCUCAAUCUCCCUCUCCGCCUUCUGCUCAAUUUCCUUCUUCUCCCUCUCCGCCUUCUGCGCAAUUUCCGUCUUCUCCCGCUCUGAUGCCUCCAGCUUCUGCGCAAUUUCCUUCUUCUCCCUCUCCGCCUUCUGCGCAAUUUCCUUCUUCUCCCUCUCCGCCUUCUGCUCAAUUUCCUUCUUCUCCCUCUCCGCCUUCUGCGCAAUUUCCUUCAGUUCCGGGUCGUUCUUUUUCUUAUACAGCUCUGUGAUAAAUGGCUCCGCCCACUUAUUUGCCAGAGUUUGAAGCGUCUCAUUGCCCAGCUUCGCCCGAUGUGCAACCCGGGUGAUGUCCACACCAGGGUACAGCACGCUGUGCAUCCGGGCGAACACCUGCAGGAUCAAGAGGUGUUUCAGGAAUAUCAUCGAGCAAGGCUUAAAAGAUACUAGAAGUAUAUUUUAGCGAACAUGUUCUUCAUCAAUACUUCUUUAAUCUAUACUAACAAAAAUUAAUACCAAAUUCAUCAGCACACGUUCACAAAGUGCAGCUUCUGUCGUCUUUUGGACGCACUACAGCAAACAGCCGUUUUAAGGACCUGGGUUUAAUUCCUGGGACAUUGGCGGGAGCGCGAGAUUUUGCCUAGUUGCUGCGAUGUGGAGAUGGGGGCACAGCUGAUGGACCAAGAUUCACGCACUGGACUGGUAAAAAAGGCGAUUGCCGAACCCUCUGAAGAUGUUCGGGUGACUGGGCGAGGAGGGAUUCUAGAAGACAGAAACCUUGGACUUCCAGUUUUGUGUGGUGUGGUAAUUGUGUAUGAUGCUCUAUAGGGUUCAUGUCGAGACCCUACUGUGUGCAAUGGGCCCAGAAGCUUCCUACUCUGUCACAAAUACAGUAAAUUGUACCUCCUAGAGCCCCGAGGAAAACCUCCUAAACGGACAACAGCCUGCCACUCCCCCCUGUCUGCAAGAUUAUUGCCUCUCCAAAUUUCGACCUUACCUUAGCCACCGGUCCGUAAUCAUCUGUACCAGGCCUUAACAGGAGGUUACAGGGAAUGCGUUCACAAUUGAAGAGGCGGAACUGGUGAUUGCAUGCCCGGAGUUCGCCCUCAGGCAGGGAAGGUUCUUGUUUGUCGGCCUCUCCGAUCAGCUGCACAGACGCAAAAUACCACUGUUUAGCAUCCGUUAGCAGCACCGUCACUGGAUCUUGCCCGCAGUUCAGUAUUGCCAGCUCUAUAGCUGUCGCCAAGGGCUGCCAUAUGUGGUUGAACACCACGUUACCCUUCAGCUCCACGACCAUCACUGCCUUGCCACCUUUCGCCAUAACAGACUUCAAACUGUAAUCCAGUGAUGUCUUUACUUCAGGGAAUGUGCGGAGGACAACAAACUCCGAGGAGCCUGCGGCAUUCCAUCACGUGGGUAAAACAACAUAAGAUAAGCUUGUUAGCAGCCUGGUAUGGACACCAGGACGUGAAUCAUGAAAUGCCAGCAGCCAGAGGACUUCCUCCUAGCCUCUGCCUGACAGGGACAACAGGAUGCCCAACGAAGGAUUCAAAAAUCCUCUAUUCCAUUAAACUCACAAAAAUCUUAAGUACUAGCUCACUGAGUAUAAGGAUAGGAUUGACAGGAGAGCACCCUGUGAUAAGAGGGUUUGGUGCGCUUUGCACGCCAGAAAGCCCCAAGCCUGGUGAUGUGGACUGGGGCCCUAAUUUGAUUAACCGCGAGUAACAGAACGGUGAUUCCAGCCGACGAUGUAUAUGAAGAGGCCUCAGACGAGGAAGACGAGGAUCAGCAAGAGGGCGGGCCAAGUGCUACCGGAACUAUGCAGCAUGGUGAGUGGCGCCUGCGCGCAUGGCAUUUACAUACAGGGAUGUUGUGCAUUGGCUAGGGUGUGUUCAGGAGUAUAUGCCAAGUACUUACAACCCGUCCGGGCCUGCAAAGCCCACACAAGACAGUCAAGUUAGCGUUUGAGGAGAGAAUCCCUACGCGUGAUGAAGCCAGGGCAAAUGGUGAGUUGUACACCAGCAUCCUUUAUAAGUGCAAGAAGUCUAUAUGCGGAGGUUGCCACCAGAGCGUUUUUAGUUUUCUAGCAGUAAAUUGCAAGUUACAAGCUCUUCAUUGGGGUGUCUGUAGCAGCUGGGGUGGCACGAGUAAUUGUUUUCAUUUUGCUGCCGAGCAAUAGGACAUUGUCGUCCCUUUACCUGGUGUCUACGCGUCUGAGAUCCGUGCUUGAAACCUCCUAUGAAUAAAAUGACUCACAGCUAGGUGGUGCUUCAGCCAAAGUCAGGGUUUCUCCAUUAGUCAUGGAACGCCAAAGCCACGGCAAGAUAGCCCCAAUGUGANNNNNNNNNNNNNNNNNNNNNNNNNNNNNNNNNNNNNNNNNNNNNNNNNNNNNNNNNNNNNNNNNNNNNNNNNNNNNNNNNNNNNNNNNNNNNNNNNNNNNNNNNNNNNNNNNNNNNNNNNNNNNNNNNNNNNNNNNNNNNNNNNNNNNNNNNNNNNNNNNNNNNNNNNNNNNNNNNNNNNNNNNNNNNNNNNNNNNNNNNNNNNNNNNNNNNNNNNNNNNNNNNNNNNNNNNNNNNNNNNNNNNNNNNNNNNNNNNNNNNNNNNNNNNNNNNNNNNNNNNNNNNNNNNNCCCCCAGCUGCUACAGACACCCCAAUGAAGAGCUUGUAACUUGCAAUUUACUGCUAGAAAACUAAAAACGCUCUGGUGGCAACCUCCGCAUAUAGACUUCUUGCACUUAUAAAGGAUGCUGGUGUACAACUCACCAUUUGCCCUGGCUUCAUCACGCGUAGGGAUUCUCUCCUCAAACGCUAACUUGACUGUCUUGUGCGGGCUUUGCAGGCCCGGGCGGGUUGUAAGUACUUGGCAUAUACUCCUGAACACACCCUAGCCAAUGCACAACAUCCCUGUAUGUAAAUGCCAUGCGCGCAGGCGCCACUCACCAUGCUGCAUAGUUCCGGUAGCACUUGGCCCGCCCUCUUGCUGAUCCUCGUCUGAGGCCUCUUCAUAUACAUCGUCAGCCGGACGUGCAGACUCAUCGGCAACUAGAUCGUCAGGACCUGAGGACGAAUAACAACGUUAAAAGCACGCGACUGCGCAAUUUAGGCGGCAAAGAACAGGUCCGCACCGUCCGAGAUGACCAGAGAGCGUUGGCCGAAAUCUAACAGUGCCAAUUGGGACAGCAUCGAUUAGAGGAGAAGGUAGCGAGGCUUCUCCCGAUCGUCUGGACGGAGUACGAUCUCCUUGAACAAAGCGACUGGCUUGCUGAGGAACUCCACAAUAAACGUCUGGACAGCGACAUCAAGUUCUUGUGAAUCUCGGCGGGUGAAGACAGAGUUUUCGCCGAACAUGUCUAAAUAGGUUUCGGGAAAGUUGUUGGAGACGUCCAUAAUCUUUUUGAACUUGUCCCAGUCCUUAAUGUCCGAGAACGCAACACGUUGGAUCUUUUUGCUUUUCGGGGAUCCGUGCCCGCUCUCGCUAGGCCGCUUGCUCAUGUCGUCUUACUUCAGCAAUUGCGAAUAACGGUAGGCAAGCUCCUCAAGAACUCACGACUACGUUGACACCUCAGACCUGGCCAUUUAUAGGGAUGACGACCGGGGGAGGCCGCCCCCCCAAAUGGAGUUACCGUUGGUACCGCCGGCCAUGUGCUACCGUAAACUAGCUGCUUUCUUGGAGUUAGAUUGUUCUAUGGCAACGUUGCUGAUAUGUCAGGCAAAGGCGCAAGGGCGCGACCACAGUUGCCGGCGAAAUGCUAAUGCAACCGCCACAGACGAAGCACAAAGGAUGGCAAGCCACAAAGCUUUACACAUAUAUGUGUAAGGCCACAUAAGUCCGAUAAACAAUGGCCAGCUCGCUUGGGCUCAGUCAACUCGCCCGCUUGGCCCAGGAAAUCUCAAGUCCCGAAGGCCUCCGCAAGCCGAAUGUUUUCAUGGAGACUGGAUCUAAAGGAAAUGUUUCAAGUGACGGGGAAGCCCGGCGGUAGAGAUCAUCGGCUCCACCAACUCCCGAUCCGCACCGGAACCAAACUGGAAUGUCGGACGAAAAACUCACAAACAGGCUAUACUGCGUGGCUAUUUCCACACGGCUUCAUGUAUACAAGUUACAGCACGGCUUCAUGUGUAGAAGCUACUAAGUAUAGCGUCAUUUAUUCCGCCCAAAGCGAUUGCCACCCAAAGGUUACGCGCAUAGGAGCGUUAGUGCGUCUUUACCCAUCUGCUAAAUGUAAAUAUGCCUGAAGAUGAUAAUGAAUCCCUUAGUUCGAUAGACAGUAACGACUCCUGGCUCGGCGAAAUCGUUGCAGCGACAGUCCCACAAAUGACAGCGACAGCGACACCGAGUGAGACACUGACAGUUUAACUGAUGGCGAGACAGUCGUCACCGGCGCUGGGGCAGCGGGACUGCUUGCCGCAGUGGGCACAGGCGCACAGGCGGCCGCAUAACGUGGCGAAACUCUUCAGGUAUAUCUUGCCCAUGCUCAUGUGCGCCGUAUGGCUUGUCCCCCGUUGGAAACAAGUCAAUACCGUUUGUGGCGUUCUUGCCGAAUGGCUCCGCAUCCCGCAGGGUCCGCUCCAGAAUCCCUCCCCGCCACAUCCGGAUAUGCUGGCGUUCAUGGAGUUCCAAUCUAUAGUGGACAGGGAUAAGGAUUGUAACAACGAGUGACCCUGUCAGGCGAUAGCGCUUACAACCCCAUGGGUCAGACGCCCCUUCCUUAGCAAUAGGAUUUGCGUUCGGUCCCUUAUCUUCACUACAUGCACAAAGUACGGCUGGCCCCGAUUGCGCUAUGUGUGGCUUCCCCGCUACUUUCCUGUGCACCGCCAACACCGUGGCGGAGCGUGUUUUCGACAUCUACUAAAGCCCCCCCGUGCGCAGCGCCGUUCCAACAGCAGUGGCGGCAGCACCGCCAAAGACAGUCAACACAAACGAAAGCAUCGUGGACCUGAAACACUAUUAAUUCGUACUACGGUACGAUGUACUCUAAAUAAUUACGGUAUUCUGCCCUUAUAUGUCUGUAUGUGUGUCUGUAUGUUCGCAUUUCGCGCCACAUUCAGAUGAACAUGCAAACACAACAUACAUACACAUACACACACUCGUCCAUGCACAAUGAUGUAACGCUCACGACCAGAGCACAGAACCCCAACGCGUUUCCCAUGCUCUACCGCUGCUGUGCUAGCAGUCCUACCACUAUCACUAGUCGGCAACCAUCCAAAGCAAAACAAAGAUCUCAACUACAUAAAGCAUGUUCGGAUUCUCUCCGAUUUUGGAUUGAGUUUAUCGAUACUCAAUAAUAGUAAAAACCCCGGUAUUGUCGUAUGGUGUUACGUAUGCACAUUCAAAUUAUUGUUCUCUCCGGCCUCUCGCAUUCCGACAUCUUCCCUCUUCAACUUCACCAACCAAGCACCAACAAACCAACUGUUUUUUUCACAACGACAAUGGUGGAAAGAGUUUAGAUGGAUCAUGUACGACCGGUACGACGGCACGAGGAUGGAAGGCAAACGAAAUGGCGAUAAAACCGGACGGCCUUCGGGACGAGGACAAAUGUUUUGGGCAACAAAAACAUUUGUGAAGUUCGAAUUCACAUGAUAUCACACACAUACGCACAUACAUACACAUGCACACAGAGGGGGAAAGAGGAGGGGAGGGUGGUAGAGAGGGAACCCAUACCCAAAGGUUUUUGCGGUGGCGUGUUCGCUUUCCCCUACUCGCGACAAGCCCGGGCUAUCACCGCUAUCCCUGUCCCCUCAAACACAAAACCCCCAAAUAACCCCCCCCCAACACACACACACUCACCACCCCCACCACCGUUCUCGUUACCCAUCCAUUAAGCCAGCCUCCAGAAAUCUGUUUCAAAACCAAUCCUUCCUAGAUCUCAUCCAUCUCCUUAUAUUUCCUAAAUCUCCGUUGUUCCAAAUCUACCGCAGAUAACACGAUAACACAAACGAUGCGCCGUACCGUACGUACGGCAAAGACACGCCUAAUGCAAACCCAACAUCGUAACACUGCACAAAAAUAACACAUCAUAUCACACAAUAUGUACUUUGUUUUAUAAUUAGAUGAUGCAUCAAACCCGCCCCCGAGCAUCACGACAGAUCAAUCGAGAUUUCACUUAACCCCCCGGGGAAGAUCGGAUGGACACAGACACACACACACACACACACACAUACAUACACACGCGCCGCAGUAGCCUCUCUCCAAACAACCUCCCUCCCUCCCUCCCCGCUCCAUCCCAUCGCCAUCCCCUUUACCUUCCCCCCAACCCCCGCGGGUAAGGCCCGGGUGGGGGGUAGGCGUGGGGGUUAGGCGAAACAACUCGUUCCCCCCGACCAAUCGCCCCCACCCCCCCACCCCGGUGAGAAAAACACACAGACAGGGAACCAGCAGCUUCCCUUCAGGCACGGGCCCCAAGUCCCCCCCUCUAACCACACACCACACCACACCUACACAUACACACACGCGCACUCUCUCACUCACGCAACCCCCCCCCACCACCUCUCAAAACAACAACCAGCACUAACCCAAAACUCUCCCUCCGCUGCCUCCCCCUCGAGGUCCCCUCAUCCGCAUCCUCCUCGUNNNNNNNNNNNNNNNNNNNNNNNNNNNNNNNNNNNNNNNNNNNNNNNNNNNNNNNNNNNNNNNNNNNNNNNNNNNNNNNNNNNNNNNNNNNNNNNNNNNNNNNNNNNNNNNNNNNNNNNNNNNNNNNNNNNNNNNNNNNNNNNNNNNNNNNNNNNNNNNNNNNNNNNNNNNNNNNNNNNNNNNNNNNNNNNNNNNNNNNNNNNNNNNNNNNNNNNNNNNNNNNNNNNUGCCUUCUUGAAAGCUCGGCACUCUACGACACGAAAAGAUCCUUCCUUUUUUUAUCCGUAUCGAGAACAACUACCAACGAACCGUAACGUUAUUUAUUACGUACAACGUACAAUUUCGUACCGUAUCAGUUGGCGCAGAUUACCGGAAUGUCGUUGUCGUUGAAGUUCUUGAUGACCUUGCUCACGGUCUCAUGGGAGGGUGUACGAACGCCGUCCAGGGGGUACGGAAUGUGCAUUACCUCCCACUUAUUGCGGCCCAGCACGUGGUACGGCAGCAACUCGAUGCCCUUUUGUGUGGGUGGGGACAGCGCGGGACAAGCAAGGGGGUUAGGAGGUGAGGGGGCGGGCAGGAAAUUUGGGAAAUUGGAAUGGCAACGAGGCUGCGGGAGGUACGGCAGAUAGAUAAGAGACACAGGGGGUAACCCGGCAGUGUCAAGGAGGAAAAUCGCGGCGAGGGCGAUGUGUGCGUGUGCGUGUGUAUGUGCAUGUGUACACACACAUAUGUACACACAUACACAUACAUGCAAACCCCCCUUUAGUCCUCUUUUCCCCCAUUCCUCCCCCCCCUUCCUCUUUCCUUCCCAUCUCCCCACGUGCCGACAGGUACACACAUACAUACACACACACACUGACACCCCACUCCCAUCCCAGCCACACACACAAACAUACAGAGACAUACAUACAAACACACCCAGCAUUACUCCAUACUCCAUAUCGCCACAGCUACACCGACUGUCACUCCUUCCCCCUCGUUUCGGCUCUUCCUUUCGCUUCAUCUUUCACUCCCCGUACAACCCCGUACAACCCCCAGCGCCAUCAUCAAAUCAGCCAUUGAUUCAGCUAUUCCGCCAAUAAGCAAAUCAAUGCCAACUCUAGUACCAAAAAACGCUACUCACGACCUCAAAUUACGGAAGUGAUCACUUCAUUCAGCUUUCCCCUCUUAAGUUCUCUGCAGCACGUGUGCAGCACCUCCUCCCCCCCUAUUACCACGACUACUACUGCUUACCCUACUCGCAUGUUUUCACAUCAAUUCACAUCAAUUCAUCCGCAAGGGGCUCCAGUCUACAACGGGUUGCGAGUUUUCGGAGUGCUCGCGCGAACCAGUUCACUUUAAAACACGAGUACACGCACGCAUGCACACACACACACGCGCAUACGCCAGUACAGAUGUACACACAUACAUAACAUACAUACUUGGAACGUGGGUUGUUUCUUGCACCACUCUAUCAGUUUGUCGAUGUCCUUGGGCCCGUCCGUGUACCCCGGGAUGUACACGUAGCGAAGGUAGAAGGGGAUCUUGCGAUCCGCCAGCUCGUCAGCGAAGCGGAGGGCGCCCUUCUGCUUCAGACCUGAGAGCGGUGAGAGCGGCGCGUACCGGAAACAUACAUACAUACAUACGUAAUGCAUACAUAUAUAUACGUGUAAAUGCGGUACGAAUCCGUACUGUACGUGUCGCCUACCUGUGAUCGACUCGUACUUUAGCGGGUCGAUGUGCUUGAUGCAGAACAGCACCAGGUCCGUGUGCGGCAGUACGACAUCCCAGUUGCCGUGUUUCGUACCCUGGCCCGUGGUGUCGAUGGUGGUGUUGAGGCCCAGAGCGUGUACUUCCUGCGUGUGUAUGUAUGAAUGUAUGAUGUGUGAAAUAGGGGGGUGUAUCUUCGCCCGUGGCAGCUACCCUGCGAAACCCUGCCUUCCCCGGUAUUUCGGCGCACCCUCAUCCAGUCACCCUAGUCAACUUCUCAGUGGAUCGCUCAGGUUCCGCACCCACCACCAGCAUCCAACGGAAUCUGCCGGGUCGACAGCGGCCCAACUCCAUUCCUGGUCGGCUCGCAAGUUAACUUUAUCCCAGGUCACCACCGUCCAUCAACUAGGGGCGCAAUGCCUUCCACCAUCGGAAGGACUUUUGACCCUAAUGGGUAUCGAUCCCGGGAUCUCCCGGGGGCAAUGGUCGCGCCUUACCACCAUUUAUUCCCAAAAAAGUAAUAUAUUACCAAAAAAACACUGCUUACCAAACCCUGGUAUAUAUGCCCAUGUAUGUAUGUAUGUAUGUAUGUAUGUAUGUAUGUAUGUAUGUAUGUAUGUAUGUAUGUAUGUAUGCCCAUGAAGGGGGAGAAGGGGGUUAGAGGUAUGUAUGCAUGAGGCUGAGACGGGGUGACGGUGAAGAUGUCAGGGUUAGAAGUGGAUGGCGAGUUUCGGAAAUGGAGUUAGGCAGGGGCUGCAAAGACUGAGGGCUAUACACACGUACGACAGACGUACGACAUACGGGACACCAUGGGUCUAUGCGGGAGGGGGUUGGGGCGGGCAAAAAAUGCAUGGCGAUGGUGUUUUCGAGUGAAUCCCCCUUUUCUCCCCUGUCAGCUCCCAUCGUCCCAACCCCUCCCCAUUCCCCCCCCACCGAAACACAUCCUCCCAUGUGUCGUACAGUCUCCUCCUGCAUCGUACCUGGAACACAGCAGCCACGAACUUGGGUUGCAGCAUGGCCUCACCCCCUGAUAUGGUGACACCCCCCCGGGGUUUGAGGUAGUUGCGGACCUUCAUCCGGGGGUUGAGGGGGGGGGAGGGGGGAAGGGUUUUGAUACGAUGGAUGAAGUCAAGGCGGGAAGCCUGGCAAUGGGUAUAUACGACAAACCCACUUCCCCCCAAACCCACUUUUCCCAUCUUCCUAAUGUUCACCUUCUGCAUGUACACACUCAAACACACCGAACCAGCUCAACCCACAGUAAAACAACACUCGCAACCAACACUCCCCCAAAGCCCUAAAACCCCUGAGAGCUCUUUACGCAUUACCUUUUUGAUUUGUUCCGCCAGCUCCUUGCUGGAGGUCCUAGUGCCGCCCUUCAUGUUCCAAGUGUCCGGGUUUGAGCAGAACAGACACCGCAUGGCGCAACCUUGUACGAAUACCAGAAAGCUGUACGGCAGGAGGCGGAAGGACGUGCGGGAAGUUGAGGAAAACGUAAUCGCUUGUUUAAGCAUGCGAGGAAACCCGAAAAAGGUGACAUUUACGAUGGACGAGCGUCCUUGGUUCUGGAGCCGGCGGGUGGCUUUUAUGUUUGGUUACGGUUGGCCGAUGCGUGUCCCUCGUCUCUGUUUUACUUUUCGGAGGUUAACGGACCACUUUGGGGCAGCAGUGGACGUGUUCACGUUUUCACGUUUGUUGCUAUUAUUGUUAGUGGACGUGUGUCACUCCCCUCCACCCCCUCCCCCUGCACUAUUGAGAUUAUUACCCCAGCGUAAGACUUUGCCGGGGAGAGACUGGGUGAGAAGAACCAUUGCGGCAAUAGCAGGGGAGGAGGACCGGAGCAACACAGAACGGAUGCGUAGCGGAAUAGGAAGUAUAGGUGAAGCUGGAGAAGGAGCAUGCAGAGAGAGACAUAUGUUUGAUAGGAUUGCGUUAUACGCACUACAUAUCGCUUUUACAUAAUAAUCUUACAGCAUCCCUUAUUAUCAGGUUUAGAAGUCUGUUGAGCUGUACUGCUUACCUAAGCAUGUAAAAAGUGUUCCGAGAGCAUCACUUACCGGACGCCAGGCCCGUCAACUGCGCUGAAGGACUCCGUCGAGUGGACAUUUCCAAAGACUUCUUCAAUGUCAGAAUUGUCCCUGGGCUCGUAAUGCGGCAGCUCGAUGGCAUACCGAGCCUCGAGAUGGGGAUGCUGCUGUGGGACCUCCUCUACGUGGGAUGGGGCAGCAUAGCUCCGCCUUAGCGUUGCGCCCCAACUUAGCGCUGGCCUCACGUGUACAGCUGCUGCAUGCGUACGGGCUCGGGAACGUUGCAGCGAAACGCACGCAGCCUGCAGGCCAGCCGCGCUGGAGCUAACAAUGACUCGCUGCAUGACGUUACACACCCAAGGUCUAAACGAGCUCAACAUAGACGCAAGGGAAGCCUGGCAUAUGGGAACCUUAUGCCUUUACGUUGAAGCAACGACUUGACAGCCUAGUUUGACCACUGGAAAAAGAGUUACGUAUGAAGUGGUAUCUACUGUGUAAUAGGCCUGGGACUGUGCUGAUAGCCGUAAGACCGGUAUUGCAAAGUGCUUUUAACGGAAGGGAGGAUAUGAUCAGAGCACUUGAGACAUGAACAGAGGAAUAUGUAUAAAUAUAAGUUAAUCGCGAAUGCCUGAUUUCAGACUUGCUAUUCCAAAAACACAGACAACACCGUACAUAGUUAUUUGUCAGUACGCUUACUUCCAUCCAUGGCAAACGUACUGUCUGCAAACAAACCGCAAAGAAAAUGUGGAACUAAAUUAUGGAUAUCGUAUUUAAAGGAAACGAUGUGUAGCUGCGUUGGUUGUCUCUGGUUGUCAGACUCAGCGAAACCCACGAAAGGCGGGUCCCUGGGAAUGAGUCCCGUUUGAUUUGUAAUAUAUAUGUCAUAAGGUAUGGCAAGUUUUGCUUCCUAACAAAGUACACGUUGCCGACGAAUUAAAUAUGCGGUCCGUUGUUACUGAUGAUGGGGUGUUACACUGUGGGCGGCUUGUCCCGAGAAAGGACGAUCACCGCGCAGGACCCUGACCGGAGGCCGAAACACAGCGCAGAGGCGGGCUCGCGGCUACGUCCGCCUCACUCCCUACUGUCAUUCGCACGGUGGGCCGACAUGCAGUCCUGAGUAGAUCCGAUGUGAACAUAUAGGCAAGUAGACGACGUCUACAGUACUGCAGCUGCAAGCAAUACAUAGGUAGAGCUGUGGCUCUAAACAAACGCUCAGUAAUUAAGAAUGCAGGAGACAACUACACGCACCCCCAUCUGCGGCUCCUUGCACGGUGGCUCAACUGCCACCCGCUGCAGACUCCACCUGCGGUUCCUCCUCAUAUUUCAGCGGAGAACCUUCGUGGUGGUCGCCUGACGGCUCCCAGAACUCGAACGCAGCCACCACCCGUGUAGCGUGAUACAGUCGUAACUUCCGACAUGGACACCUCAAACUAGUACUGCUGCUCGAUCUGCUGCUGCUGACCGGCAGUAGUUGUGUCUCGAGGUCGGUGGUCCGAUGGGUGUGCCACGGAGCAGUCUCGAAAUCGCUCGAAAAUACAUUCGUUACACAAACACUAGCUCCCACCAUGUUGACACUACCCAUCAAUUGUCACACUUGCCACCCUAGCUACCAGCCUGUACGGAUGCAGAGGGGCACCCGCCCUUCCUUCGGCUUCAAGGAAGCCGCCACCCAACUUGUCGGCUUCGAGGAAGCCGACAUUAGACUUGCCCUUAGCCUGGUCUGAUGUUUCAUCUCAUUUGGAAAUCGGCUUGCUUCAUAUCAGAACGUCAGCUUCCUAUGAUUUAAUUCUAUGCUAUUCUAUUUUUGAGGGCUACACAUUACAGAACUGCCCUGCUCGGUGGUGGAAACUGUCUCACUCCCUCACAAGCCGGGACUGGACUGUACGGCUCAGCAACCCUACAGGUAUCCAGGGGCUCGACACCACGGAGCGUGGUGCUGGACUCCAGCCGCUGGAGACAGCAGACCGUGACACUCCGGAGAGUGCACUGCGUGGGCCACCACAGUGUUGGCCUUGUAGCUCAAGAUCCAAACAUAUGGAACCCCGAAUCACGGAGUGUAGAAUCCAGUAACCCACAUUCGUUGGUACAUGAGCAUGUAGGCUACGGAUGUCAGAAUCCCUACAUGCUGAAUGCCGUGCAUCCAAACGAUAGCCACCUCUUUCUUCAGGUACAGAGCCGUGGGCUUCCUUACGUAUUGUCUUAAUUUAUAUGUAAUCCCUUGCUUGACCGGGUGGUAGCGUGCGUUGUGGUAGAACACACCCAUUCAACACCCGCAGGCUUAAGAAGGCUAGGAUGGUGCCAAUGGUACGAUACCCUAAAUCCCCUUGUUGCUCUAGAUUGCUUGCGUCUUUACUUGCUAUGGUGCGGAGGUUUUCGCGGGCUUGCUUUGUACAUGUGGCGUGUCUUGCAUGGCCUAUACAUACAGUGUUCGGGUUCGGUACGCGGUGCGAUGAAAAGGAAAUGUUAGGUUCAUGUCCUAGGAUUAUAAGAAGUGAAAUUCGCAAGGAUUGCAGCCCGGUUAGCUCAGUCGGUAGAGCGCAAGGCUCUUAACCUUGUGGUCGUGGGUUCGAGCCCCACAUUGGGCGAAAUUAAUGCAUACUUUUGUCUUUCUUGAGCAAGGAGAUGUUUUCCCUCUGCUAGCAGCCCUCAUACUUCUGUGCGGGCCAGAAUGUCAAUUUCAUUUGAUCUCGCCCAAUAGAUUUCAUGCACGAUGACUCCUACAAACCGUACCUUCAUGGUACAAGUAGCAUGUACGACAACCGUUUCCGAAAACGGAGCAACCGUUGGGAUAGUGACGUGAUGCAAUGUGUUCACGUUCAUUGCUUGUACGCUUGGCAAUACAAAAUCAAGUUGGCUGAGCGUCGUGUAGGCAUUAUUAUGGGCCAUAGAAUUUUAUCGAUAUGUCAUGAUUAGAACCAUUUGACUUUGAAGCUAUCGUUCAACACAGUAGGAAACCGGUGUUUCAGGCCCUGGUCUUUCUGGUACAGUAACGGUGAAAGGAAAGUUCUCUUGGACAUUAUGCCUACGACUGAGCUGGCUGCGGCGUAUGGCAAGCUUGGCGUCUUGUCGUCGGCAAGCAAGGCAGAAGUGAGCUUGGGUGCUCUUUUUGCUGUCAUUGAUUUUAGUUGAGUUAUGAGGCGGGUUGGGUUGGGCUGUGGGCAUACCGUGGGGCAAUCGCAUUUCAACCUAGCUGCUCCUUGGUUUUGCCUGAUCCACCUCCAUGCCUAACAUGCAAACCUACCUUGCUCUUCGGGUUCUGAACCAGAAUUGCAUGCACCCUUGCACCCGUUAGGCAGGGUACAUCCAUGCUUGAACACGUAUGUAUGGUUGCGUUUUCGGCACGCAGCUCGGACUUAAGCGCAGCGCUUUCCGCCACCGAGCAAAAAUUGAGGCAUGCACGGUGAAGGCCGCGCCCGUCGAAGUCACUUCUCCAUGGUUAGCGCAUGAAGUAGUGCGCAUGCCACGUUUCCGACUGCGUGCCCUCCGUUACUCGCGUCGUGGCCUCAACAGCCUGGGCUCCUCUUGGCAUGCUGGAAUCGCUGGGCUGUGUGCUUGGCCAGACUCCGCACCCUUUCGUGGUUACCAUUCCGAGCGCAUUGGGCAAUUGAUCUGCGUCGAAGUCAGGACGUCUAGCUGUAUUGACUGCCUCAAUGCGCAUGAGGCUCUUCUUGUCUCGAUCAGAUCAGCCUUCAUCUGCGACACAACAACGAGCUCCUUCUGGGCUGGGGCGACCCACCAUCGGAGCGACCUAACUUGCAGAAGUGCCGAACAGGCAUAUAUGAUGCACAUAUCUGCUAUAAUACAACAUGAGAUAACACAGCUUCUGUCACACGGCCAUACAUGUACCAGCAUGUGGCCAUGCCGUACGGCAUCUUAUUCCUGUCACUGGCCGAAAAGCCUGUCACCGAUAUGUGAUCGCAUCUCAAACAAGCCUUGGCGGGCAACUUCUGUGGGACGCACCACCCUUGCUACCCCAUUGUUUUUUACUGCCUUUGCACCCACCAUCGCAUCCAACCCGAACAAACCACCAUCACGACCACGACCACGAUCCGCAGGUAAAGGAGGCAUUUGUUCGGCUGUGUAAGCAAUGUCAUCCGGACAAGGUGCCACCUGCACAACGAGCUGUAGCCGAGGUGUGUAUUAUCUGUCGUACGUGUCGUACCGCACCUCCAGCUGGGCCGUUAUUUCUAUGUGGAGGUAAAGAGAGUCUUACGAGGAUUCCUGACUCCGUCCAGCUGCGGUUCCUUUAACGCAGAGGAGCCACAUAAGGCCCAGAUGUGGCCCGGCGCUGCAAAUGAAGUUUGCAAUUUGUGUGUGGGGGGAGGGGGGAAAUAAGAAAAAUCUGGGGUGGAAGCGGCCCCCUAGCGCCUCAAACGGUUGGGGAAUUAUUGUGGGGAAUUAUGGGGAAUAUAUGGGGAAUUAUCAGCCUGACCUGUAAAAUCAUUUUUGAGCUUUCUUUGCCCGGAAUAAAGUUGGCAACACCUUUACUAACUAAGCGAGGAAAGAAACGCUGGCUGUCCAAUCCUCAACAUGCAGUAGCAGCCCCGAUCCAAAAUGGACGUGCAAGCGGUAACCGUGUACGGCACGUUGCGUACGACAUUAUUCCAACCGAUAUUUUCCUAUCUCCGUCUCCCUUCUUCGUGUCUCUCUUUUCCUUAUUAACAAAAUAUUACACAAGCAUCGUCACAAAUAAGCCGCCUGCGGUCGCCUUUUUGCCGUCUGAAUAUGUACGGCUUGUCGUACAGGCUCGUUUUCGUGAAAUCAAGGAGGCCUACGACGCCAUUCUGCGAGGUAAGUUGUUAACUUAGGGUUUGCCAUUCGGGUUUUCCCUCGAGGGAAUUCUGUUCGGUAAGGGUGGUGCGCGGCCGCGCCGUCAAGGCCGCGGCGGUCAACGAUCACUGCACCAACUAACAACUGCCAUAACCGCAUCUUACCCUUGUACAGGCCAGGCUGGCUACAACGUACCACCUCCAGGCUCCCGUCCCAAUCCCAAGUACGGCACUAAACCUUGUGUAAGGACGAAGUUUUAGGUGUGUAAAACCCUCCAACCCAUCUACCCACAACCACCUUACACACAGCCACCUUACCCACAACCACAUUACCACAACCACAUUACCACAACCACAUUACCACAACCACAUUACCCACAACCACAUUACCACAACCACAUUACCACAACCACAUUACCACAACCACAUACCACAACCACCGCUCGGAGCUCCGGCAGCAGCUUUUGCGGCUUUGGGCUUUGGUCACGACACAUGUGUGUUGGCCGUCCUUGCCUCUCUCGCCAUCACGUGUUUUACCCCUCCCACCCACCCCGACCGGCUGUGUGCCCCUUUCCCCGCCCCCAAAACACACACACACACAGAUACGCACGGGCCUACUACCAGGCUCAUGGCAUGGGUAUGGAUUUUGGGGAGCGCGGCCCCGUUCGGUGCGGAGGGCCUUAUGGCGGCUUCGCGACGGAGUGGGAUUUCUACCGUGCCAUGUUCCGGUGAGCAGGAGGGGUGGGGGGAUGUGUUUUCCUGGUUAACCUGAGCCGCGAUAGGGGAACAGGUCGCAGAUGUGCGUGUUUGUGUGUAUAUGUGUGUGUAUUGAGAGCGAGAGGAGUGGAUGUGGAGGGUGGGAAAGGGGUUUUGGGUUUUAGGGUUGGGUUGUUUUAGGGAAAGGGUGAAUCCUGUGCAGGAGAAGCAAAAUGGUCCACAGCCGACGUGGGAAACGUGUGAGUGUGUGUGUAUGUAUGUGUGUAUUGGGGGGGACCCAGCGGAGGUUGGGAAGAGGGUGGAGGGUGUGUUGGUGCGUGUCGUACAGGGGCUGUGGGGGGGGAGUCCCCCCCCCCCGCUCUUUGCGUAUGGGCAGCAGCUGUGGAGAAUGGAAAUCUCAUCAAUCCUCCUCACCCGCAUACACUUCCUCCGGCCCAUGCAUACACGUACACACGUACAUACAUACAGGACGACGCGCAACAAUCCGUUUGUGCUCAUAGCGACCGGUUUCCUCGCCAUUCCCGCCAUCAGCCUGUUCGUGUCCGCGGUGAACGGGUAAGUGGGGAGGGGGGGUGGGGGAGGGGGGGUACGUGGAGGGGAGAGCUUCCCCUUUUCCCCUCCCCCUCGCGCCACCAGGGGCUCCGGGGGGGCGAUGUGUUUUGAGGUUUGUGGGAAGGGAGAAACCUCGGGGGAAGAGGAACGGGGCCACUAGGUAGGUAGGUAGGUAGGGACAUUUAGUGACUGUCCUGUUUAAUUCGUAAGGUGUGUGCCGUAGCUUGAUGUUGCUUUGCAGCUUGAUGUUUGAAGGGGGGGGGCGCUAUGCCGUUUAAAGGGUUUUGAUCGCAGGAAUGCUGUGCCGUAGUGUAGUGCAGUGUAGUGCCUCUGGAAUUUUGUUGUUUCGGCCGGACUGAAGGCUAGACAGCAACAUUAAAGAGUCGCGGAAAGGUUUAUAUGUAUGUAGGUAGGUAGGUUUGUAAGUAUUUCCUGCUGCUUGUCGCAACUGGGUGUACAAGUAGUAGGCGCAUGCGUCCUGUUGUUUGUGUCAUGCGGUCUGUCUGUCUGUCUAUUUGUCUGUCGCUCUGUAUGUAUGUGUCGCGCAGGGACACUGACUGGGUGAAGCAGUUUCGCGACCAGGGGCUGCAUGUGUUUGGUCAGGAGAGCCUGAAGGCCAACGGCCGUGACGCGGUGGGCAUCAACCCCUUCGCCAUUCGCCGACUGGAGGUGGGGCAGUGGGCAGCGGCAGUAGCAGUAGCAGUAAUAGUCAUAGUAGUAGCCACUAGCAGCACAGCAUAUACACAGACAUAUCAGACAGACAUAUCAGACAGACAUAUCAGACAGACAGACAUAACAGACAGAGACAUGUAUGUGUUGUCUCUGCCUCCAUCUACCUAUCCAUCUAUUCAUCCAUUCUGUAAAAUCAUGUAAUAUCUCCUUUAGCCCUAAACAUCAUCACCAUCAUCGUCAGCAUCACCAUCCGUCGUCCGCACCCAACACCUGAACAGGACAUCCACGAUUCGUACAUUUACAAGGAUGAGAAGUACGCCCACCUUCGCAAGUAAGGGCGGGGGGGGAAGGGCGGGGAGGCGCAGGCGUUGACUCACUCGCAAAUGGGGCUUGAUCCGCCACCGCCUCAUUUGUCGCCUGAGUUGCUCGGCGGCGGGGCUUGUAUGUGUGUGUGUGUGGGGGGGGGCCGGGGGUAAAGGGGGGAGAAACAUACGACGUGGGUUUUGUCGUCCCGCUGUAUGUACGUCGGCGGGUCCAUCACCACCUUCAACUCCCCAUCAUCAGCUGCAUUAUGAUCACCUACAUCGUGAGAAGUGUACUGCCGCUUCCAACAUUCUACGUAUAUACAUACAUACAUACAUACAUACAUAUACAUAUACAUAUUUUAGCUGCUGGCCGCUGCUGAAAAGGCCUCUCGAGAUGCUCGUGGAGCGUUUUGCGCGUAUUUGUACAUGUUGUGUGUGCCGAACUGUGUACCAGCUACUGCACAUACAUACAUGCUCUACAUACUUGCAUACUUACAUACAUACACACGUACACAAACAAACAAACAAUAUACCUACACCCCCCAGGUCAAUGUCUCUGGCGACCGGUGCCGGUACUGCUACUGCCGCCCCGCCGUCAGCUGGCGGAGGGGCCAAUGUGCAGCUCGGCCCAACGUAGAGGAUAGGGGAGGGGAAGACGAACCACGAACGAGUGAAGCUGCUGCCAAGGGAAGGGGAGGGCAGAGAGGCGGAGUUGGUGGCCUUUUGCGCUCGUACUUGUACGGCAGGUGGUGCAACGCUUCUGAUGCGAGUUAUGGACCUAGAAGGAGAGAUGAUGAUGAUGACGGGGCCGAAGCAGAUUUUGGAUCUGAUCCUUGGUGAUUGGAUUGUUUGAUGAGCUUUGAUGAGAGGUGAGGUGAUGCAGGGCGAGGGUGAGGGAUGUGAGAUGUACGAGAUAUGCGGUGGCGAGCGUACGACAUGUCUUGAAAUUAAGCGGCGCCCGGCAGCGAAGCUCGCUUGCUUUGAUUGAAUCCGAUUGAACCGCGAUGAAGGAUGCGGUUCUGACGGAAUGGGUUUUACUGAGCUGGUACUGAGCAUCUGCACACCUCCUUUUCCUGCUGUUGUUAUUGCGUGAUAUUGGGUCUAUAUGUACGGGACGAGAAGGUUCGUACAGAUUCCCGUGACUAUUUCUUCUUUGUUUUUUGUCUGAUUUGGCUGAUAAGUCGGUCUCUUCUUUCUCUAGGCGGCAACUGUGGCGGCAGUGUGGCGGCGAAGUGGCGUAUGUGGCCACCAUCUGUGCAACAUGGCAACCUUACGAGUGUGGCUGUACUGGGGAGGGGUCGGCACUGUAAACAGGUAUAGGGAGAGCCUGUCUGUCUGUCUGUCCGUGCACCAGCGAGUGAGGGGAACACCAGCGGCCAUCAGGGAGCGGCUUCAGGAAAGGCCAGAUCCUUUCGUUCUCGUUUCACACGUUUCGGACCAUAACCACCACCGUAACCAUCACAACCACCACCGUAACCACCAGCUUAAACCCUGACGAACGCAGCGGCCUGCACUGUAGGCUGCAUUUCGUCGCCCCUCAUGCACUCAAAUCCAUCUGAACCGGAUGAAGCGAUUAAACCACACCGUGUGGCGUAAAAGGCCAUUCUUCACCCACGUCACCCACGUAGCCGUAGCCGGAUGAAUCAAAGUCAAGGAAACGUUUUUCUCUCUUUCUCUUUCUCUCUGUGGAGCUCACGGUCAAGGAGAGACCGUUAGGUUCCCAUCCCGUCCAGCGCCAGACAGGGGCAGGGGCACGAGCAGGGCCCAAAAGUGGUGAAAAAACGCCGUAACAUAAUUUGACCUCGAUAGACAACCAAAACAUUUGCAUUAACCGUUAUGGGUGUUAUGACCGCCCUGAGCACUCAGGAAACCAAUCGCCAGGUAUGAGACCCGGUAGCCAAAAACCGCGCCGCAAUCCUUUCCUCGCUUUGGAAGUGUUGAAGAGUGCGUUAGGUUGGUUGGCAAUGUGGUGAUCUAGGUGGCUGAGUGGGGCUGAGCAAGAGUUUGGGAAGGGUGCCAUUCAGCUCACCGGCAGGGUUGCCCGCCCGCGGUCCUUUCAUGUCUGGGUCCGAGCCAAUACCGUCACCUAGUCGUACACGUCGUACGUCUUACAGUUUAAAAAAAGGAAAUAGGUUUGGCGUAUGAGGUGGGUUCAUGUUAUGCAGUGUGAACGGGACAGGUUGGGAAGUGGUUUCUCGUCGUACCAUUUAAACGAGCGUGAAAAGUUUUACCGUUUUUCUCGUUGUCCCUAGCGUUAAAUGGUCAUGUACGAUCUGACGAAUGUACGAACCUAGCGUAAUAGGUAGUCCCCUACGGCCGCGUUUCAAUAAGCCGUCUUAAGGCUUGCUGCGGGGGGGGGCUGGUAUGGCGGCGCUUACAACAUAAUUGAGAAGCAGCCUACGUCUGCCGCCUGAAUGGAUGCAGACCUUCGCAACGACGACGGGACGUAAGCACCUGCAGUGAGAGACGCUGGCGCACUUCCGGCCUCCGAUGAGCGAGUGGCUGGCUGUCGGGCGCCCCACGUGCUAAGGGGGGGGGGAGUGGGGCCCAUGCCGCCAAGCAGGGCCAUAACCCCAAAAAUGCAGUCAUGGCGUCUGUUUCUAAACCUCGGUCAAGUGCCCAAAGGUUGUAUGGAAAGCUCCAAUAAUACUAAAAUACAAGGUUAGUAUAGAUGUGGGAGUAACAGUCCUGAUGAAAAUAGACGCCCCAUUCAUGAAAAUGGGCUAUCCAGGUAAAACUUUACAGUAUAAGGAUUCGAGUUUUGCCUGUGCCAGACCCCAAACCUGUGUGGGGCCUUCAGGGCCAGGCCGAAGGGCAUCGCCCUGCCCAGCCAGAAAGCGCCGGUCAUCGCCAAUUGUAAAUCUGACCUUACAAAUAGACUUCCCAAACAUACAAAUAAUUAUCAGGUAGUUUUGCAAAAGAAAAGAAUCCAAGUUUUGCAUACGGCAGACCCCUAACCUCAAACACUUCAUCGAGCACGUGGAAGUCCACAGUACACAGUCUCCAUACACAAGAGACAUCCACCCAGGGCACCCCGUCUCCCUCCACAUCGAGGGGCUCUCCCCCGACCUCAAACACGGGCUCAAACACCUCAUCGAGUGCCAUGGGCUCCUCCUCCUCCUCUCCGCUGCUCUGGCCUUCGUCAGAUUCCUCCGUUUCAGGCUGCUGCCCAGCUUCCUUCCAGGACAAUGGCCGACCUGCCAAGCAUUACACAUGACGCCUUCACUUGGGUGGAGGAUCAGCGGCAUCUAGAAGUUUCUGUAACCUCGCCAUCUCUUCUUCUUCCGUGACAACAGCCUUCCCUGACUGACAACACACUGCACGCCUCCCUAGCCAAACCAACGGGCGUCGUGUAUUGGCGCUGUAUUGCUGGAUGGAUUGCAUCCGGCGCAGGCGCAGCUUCUACAGCAUCAUGCUGGUCUGGAAGCUGUAGCGGCCCCAGCAGCUGGCCAUUCAUCUCUCGUCCUGCUGCUGCCCAUUUCCCCCUGCACCCCCCUGGGGUUGUGGGCGGGGUGGUUGCUCCUGCCAAUGUUGGUUGACAUCAGGUUUGUCGAACCCGUCAUGAGGUGGUAGCAGCAGCUCGUUGGCGUUCUCGAUGGUUGGAGCAGGCAAAUCAGGAUCAACUUUUCUAGGAGGCUUAGCUGCUGCGGCACGCGCUGCUGCAUUGGCAGCGGUUGAGCGACUGAGUUCCUCGUAGUACUCCCUGCCGGGACGCUUCCGAGGCCGCUUGGGCGGGCGGGGCUUUACCCAGUCAUCAAGCGUCUCUGUCUUUUUAGCCCGUCGCGCAGGCCGGGCUAUCCCCAGUGGAUUGUCAGCACAGGUGCUAUGAGAGCGGGAGGUCCUUGGAAGGCCGAGUAGUUGCUCCGCGAUAGAACGAUAACGUCUGGACAUCCCCCUUGAAUCUGUGUCCAUAAGCGCAAACUGUAUGUAACUGUACGCGAGCACCGUGAUUGUAAUUUAAGAGUACAUUUCAGGUUAGGGUUGCUGAGGUAUUAUGAUUUUGAACUUAGUAGUACAUAGCCAGUUUACAUGCUACGUUACGUUAAGACUUUUUGGGAAAAGUGGUCGGUUCGGACAUGGUAACGGUACGUUACCGGUAAAGUGGACGAAAGUGACCGGGGGGGGGAUGAAUUUCGUCAAACGUUGACCCCUCGUACCGUUACCUGAAUUGCGUCGCCAAUUUCGCGAGUUAUAACAAACGGCCAAGCCCAGUCGCUUAUAAAGACCACAUAUUUGACAAAUUGCGCGCGCUUUGCACUCCACAAGGACAACGCCGCUCGUGUUGCUCGACCGCUCACGACCGCUUACAUAGCAAAUAUGUACAUUUGUAACCCAUUGUAGGUUAGGGUUGCUGAGGUAUCAUGAUUUUGCCGUGCGACAAGCCUGAAGACACAAAAAGCGCGUGCACAGGAAAACUUCUUGAGAACAACCUAUUUGUACUCCAGCUUAUUCUUGUGCUGCAAUGGCGUGUAUGGUGCUAGGCAAGCUUUCUUCUCAAUGAGUGGGACCCGGUAUCCACUCCGGGAGUGGACGUACAUUCGUGGGUAGGCAGGUAGUUAAUUUUCAGUUGACCUUCUGGAAAAGCAUAAUCUGAAGUCUAACUUCUCCAAGACUUUACCGCGCGUAACGUUGAGUAUUCUUGUAUAGCGUUUCAACUGCAGCGCGGCGAAGCCACGUGAGCUCCUGCGUUGUGUGCUGUGCGUCAUGUGGCCUCGCACUGGAUUUCGCAUGUAUACCUUGUGCGUGUAAUCACAUGAAUUGAAAGGAAGGAUAUCCUUGAUGGCGCACAAAAGGAAGAGGUUGUACGGUGAUUGCUGAUUUGUCGUGGAGGUUUUAGAUAUGAAACUUGUGCCUUGAAACUUCAUUGUCCAAGUGUGCUUGAUGCGUCACCCUUAGUACACAAAGUGCAGAGGGGGGGCGCUCAAGAACGCAAUUGCUCAGGCAAACACAUUUAAGCAAUCGGACAAAGACCGUUACAAGAUUGCGAUACGUUAAACAACUUUUAGGUAUUUUUAACAUAAAAAUCCUGGUUGAUGAAAAAGCUUGGCACAUUGAAAGGAACCGAAUCCGCCAUGCGGGCUGCUUUGGCUUCGCGUCGACUAGGGCCGGCGCUCAGUGGCGCAUUCCUUGCUUCAGUGAUCAUAGCUGCAAUUGCUUUUCCCCGGGCCGACGCUGCGCGCUCUGCGUCAUCUAGCAUCGGUGGCAUCCGUGCCGCAAUCGAUGCGCAACGCUUCGUUAGUGCCGGUGACAAGGACAUCGAGGAUGACCGACUAGCUGCUCGUUUGCAAACCUGCGCUCCAGGUACGCCGUGCACCCAGCCAUCACGUGUCCAUCUAAUUGCUCCUCAUCGCCCGCUCGGGCCCGUACUACUCUUGGCAUCCAUUUUCUACUUUCUAUGUACUUUUCCCAAUUCAUUUUCCCAAUCCAUCCCCCGGGGCCCCUCUCCUCCUACAGGGCAUCUGAGUACAGCUCCGAGGCGAUUGCCGACCUGGUCCCGCACCUGCCGGGCUGGGGAGACAUUGACGACUUCAACAUGUUCGCAGGGUAGGAGUGGGCGGGGCUAAUGGUUAGCGGUUGGUUAGCGGUUAGUUAGCGGUUAGCGAUGUAAACACAUGCUGCUCGACCCAGUGCCCUGGCAUUAUGGGGAUAUCGGGCUCAUUGGUCCGCUCCCCCAUCCCACCCACCACUCAUCGCGCCCUUAUCCCCCCCUUCACUACCUUGAUUACCUUCGUUGAAUCCCUGCUUUUCAAUGUUUGCCCUGCGCAGCUACAUCACGGUGGAUGAGGAGAAGGGCCGAGCUCUGUUUUACAUUCUGGCUGAGGCCCCCGGAUCCGCACCCUCCUCCUCCUCUUCCUCCUCUGCUACCUUAGACGCUACCUCGGACGCUAGCUCCGGAACCAGCAAGCCCUUGGUACUGUGGCUGAACGGGUGAGGGGAAAUAUGUGUGUGCGUGCAUGUAUGUCCCUGCAUGUAUGAUUGCUCCAUGUCGAGAUAUGACAUGAACACGAGUCUGAGGGCGCCUAGUGGCCAAGUGGCAGCAGCUCUACACACCACAUAUAGCAAAAGAACCGCCAAGUUGGUAACGCUUUCUCUGUCGCGGUGGCGCCGCCAACGCGACAGAGAAAGCGUUAAUUGGCGUGUUUGCGGGUCCCUGUAUUUGGUGUACGGCUAUCGCUGGGAUUGCGAGGAGCAAAACCGAUCAUUAUGUCAUGUAGGGCUUGCACGUGAUUGCAUGUAUGUAUGUGUGUAUGUACGUAUGUAUGUAUGUUCUCUCCACCCUCCCCACUCUCAGAGGGCCUGGCUGCUCGUCCAUUGGUGGCGGCUUCAUGACUGAGCUGGGGCCCUUCUUCCCACUGCCCGGGGGCAGGGAGCUGCAGGUACGGAUGUACGGAUGUACGGACGGCGGGAAGCUAUUUGGGUAAUUCCGCUCCAUCCCCCUCUUCCCUCCAUUCGCCAGUGAUUCGUCUUACCCCCCAGUCGCCUUCCCCCUCCACAUGGCGCAAAAUUCGGGUCGUCCGGUGCCGCGCCCCCUCCUAAGCCUGCUCUUGUCCUCCUCUCGUCCUCCGGCGCAUCACAUCAAAUCACAUCACACCGUCUUUGAUGUCGCUCGUUUUGCCGAACGCCUUCGUCCCUACCUCACCCCACCUCCCCUCGCCUCCCCUCACGUUAAGCCCUACCUUCACCGCCGUUUACGUAAAACCCUAAACCCAUAAUAUACAACCCCAUAUCACCCGACGGCCAGCCCAAUACCCCAUACCCAUAUCCGUUUUACACAUGUCCAUUCAUCUACCCAUCCAUUCACAUAUAAAUCCAUUGAUUCAUCCAUUCAUAUCGCCGCAUGGCCACCCCGCUCCAAUCCCAUUUCCCCCUCCAUUUCCCCCCGCCUCACCCGCCCGGCUGUACCCCCCUCCUCCCCCCUCCCCCCUCCCCAACACAGCGCAACCCGCACUCCUGGAACCAGUUCGCCCACAUGCUGUUUGUGGAGAGCCCCGCGUUCGUGGGAUUCAGCUACUCCAACUCCACGGAAGAUGCCGUCGUGGGUGCGUGAGUGCGUGUUGUGCGUUAACUGGCUGGCUCUCUCUGUGUGUGUGUGUGUUUCUCGGGGGGAAGGGGAGAAAUGUACGUGGUGAUGAGAACACAAUGAACCUCGUGCGUGUUGUUUGGGUUUGAGGUUGAUUUUGUGAUAGUGCGCUGUCGUUGCGACAUAUAUACACACACACGCGCGCGCGUACAUGUGGAUGGGUUUGGCACAUGCACACACACACACACACACACACACACAGACACACACAUACAGACACGCACACGCACACAUCCACACACAUAGACACACACACGCACAUCCACACACAGGGGGUGAGCAGGUUCUUCAUCACCUCCUGGGCAGCGCAGUAGGCACUCGCCUGCCUUGAUAACACCCUCACGUGCACACGCGCGCGCUCAAGCCCCCCUCGCCUUCUUGAUGUGCACCUACCCCUCGAUCUCCCCAUCACAGGUGACGCCCGCACAGCCGCUGACAGCCGCAUCUUCAUGCUGCGCUUUCUGGAGCGGUUUCCGCGGUUUAGCAACACCCCCUUUUACGUGUCCGGUGAGGGAGCCCUUGGGUGCCCGGGUGAUUGAUUUGAAUAGAAUAUCAUCAUUUCGCCUCUUCGUCGGAAAGGGAACACAGGAUAGGAAUACAGCAUGUAGAAUGAAAACUGGAGGGAGGCAAUCGGAGGGGCCAGGUUGGGGGAAGGGGGCGGCUCACGUUUCGGGAGAAAUGGGUGCUUUAUCAGGGCGUUAAUGAGGGAGAGGCUAAAGAAUGCAAACACGAACCGUGGAUGCCCUUUCGGCAUUUGACCCAGAUGGAGUAAUAAAAUGAAGCGGGAAAAGGGGGAGGAAUGUUGCAAUCGGGUGUGUGCCGGAGUAGAAAAACAUACGCGCCUUCUCGCACUCCCGCAGGUGAGAGCUACGCAGGCCACUAUGUGCCUAACCUGGCUCUAGCUAUUGUGGAGGGAAACAAGGUGGCCGCGGCUUCGGGAGAGCCCAAGAUUAAUUUGCAGGUAGGUGAUGGUGUAGCGGCAUGACAUCUGGGCUGCUGGGCUGGUUAGGACUGUCAAAAAGACGGGUACGGGCUGGUUGCUGGAUUUGUCUGAGAAACUUAAUAAUGGUAGCUGUGGUGGGGAAGGGCGGGUUGCGCGGAAGUUGACGUUGACCACGUUGGGCAUCCUGUGUUCGGACCUUGGCGCAAAGCUAUGCGCGACGCAAUAUGAUGCUUUUUUUCCUUCACGUUGUGGUUGCGCUUUUGUAGGGAUUCCUGGUUGGCAACCCAUGGACAGAUGCGGCUAUUGAUAACAUGGGUAGGUCGACUGGCUUUUGGGUGCUCACCUCGCAUAAAUGUACGCAGAUCACAAGAUGCACACGUGAAUAUUUGCGAGCUUUGCGCUGAUGGUUUAGACUUAAGACGACGAAUAGACGCUUAACUCCCAACUGUGAACUUCGUUGCUGUCAGUUAACACACUGACCUGCAUUUGCUUUUGUUUUAUGCUCAAGAUCCAGUAUCUAUUCGCCAAUUGUAGUUGUAGAAGCUUAGAUGUACAUGCGAAGGAGUGUCUUGCUUCAAAUGUCAAUUGGGAUGAAAGCUUCAAGUGCACUAUGACAAUGCCCAUGUUAGAAACAUUAUAAACUAAUCGCUCCAUUUCUAUCAAACACACUGUCAGAGAUAUUAAAUACUAUGCUAGCCAGUGGUAUAUUAUUCAAUGACGGAACGACCCACCAUCGGUGUUCUGUUUGUCCAUCAGACCAAGGAGGAGUGGCCUGAAUCGUGUUUGCGACUGUAUCAUUAUCUUUGCGCUUGGGGCAAUGUCGCAGCCUAUGAGAUCUAAUCGAGGCGCGACUAUUGCUGGUUGAAAACUUAUUCCUUCCCCGUCGGUUGUGUCUUUCGGGACCUUCCGCAAUAUUUGGCGGUCUUCGGACCCACCCAUUUAUUCUAAAAUAUUUUCGCAUCGUAUUAAAUUCUUGAUGCAGUGAAAUUAUCCAUUCUUUUCCUUUGUUCCAUUCUAAGGCGCUGUUGAUUACUGGUGGACUCAUGCAUUGAUCAGCGAUCAAACUGCUCAAGGCGUCCGAGCCAACUGCAACUUCUCCCGCAUUGGUACGUUAUCGGCUGAUGGCUAAGGGUAUCAAGGGCUGACGUUCGCUUUCGCCAUUACCUCAACAAUCAACCGCUCAAUUCCUGGAAGCACCUGACCUGCCAGCAUCCCCAAGUCGGCAUAUGGCCUCACCCGCAUAAACAUAAACGCCCUGCUUCAGCACCCACCGGUGGCACGGUCUCCCCCCCGGGGGAAACAUGAACACAUAAAACCCUGAAACCCCCAACCCCACACAGUUCGAAGAUGGCCGCGUGCAUUCCGCAGUUCCUUGGGGGGAAUCACUAGGGGUGGUGGUGGGUAUCACGAGGCAGGGCGGGUCAUGAACGACAAACCCCACCCCGCGCCACCACACCCAACCUCACCUGCUACGUAAAUAGUAGUAGUAUUACUAGGUAUUACGGCAAGAAGAGCCCCCCCUGGAUAUAAACUCCAAGGGAAUUAAUACCCCCCAGCAGCAGUAGGGUGGUAGAGGGCCAUGGGGGCCCAUAACGGACUACAACGUACACUGUACUGCACUGCUACGCUAUCAUAGGGCCUCUGGAUCAUCACCCCGCUCAUCGGGAGGCGCAGACGCGCGACGAGCUGUGCGAUGACUUUUGCAACAGGUGCGCCGGGAGGUCUUGGUGCGUGUCUGUGCGUGUUUGUUGUUCUGUAAAUGCUCCAACUCUAAUUGUGCUAUGUAAAUGCUCUGAGCCGCGCGCAGCUGGGAUUGGCAAAGAUGGCGCAUGAAUAACUUGUUGUGUGUCUUUACGUGUGGUAAUCGGUAAUCUGAGCAGCGAUGAGGGAAAUGGCGACGGAAUUUCGUGGGGGGUUGGGGGUUGGGGGGAAGGACCAUCGUUUCGGAAGCGAAGUGGUGGUGAUACCGGCCCUACGCCUACUACAGCCACAGCCACAUAUGCAGCCCGGCGGCUCGACGUCAGAGUGGGCAUCUCAGUGUAUCCGCCGCGUGUGUACGUUUGUACGUAUGUACCCACACCCGGCCACCAAGCAACAGCUGUACGUAUGUAUGUAUGUAUGUACCCGCAGGGCCUUUGACGAGCUGGGUUCCAUAAAUAUUUACGAAAUCUAUGCGGACCUGUGCGAUGAGCCACCCAGUCUUAGGCGCCAGGUGUGUGUUUGUAUGCAUGUAUGUUUUUUGUGUGCGUAUGUGUGUUUUUGGGGUGGCGGUUGGGGGAGGGCUGAGGUACAGGCGUCUCCCCCCCUCUCCCCCCCUUGGUGGUGGCGGUGGCGUACUGGCGGGUGGUGGGUGGGUACUGGUAUGAAUGAUGGUGGGAGCAGAGGAUCGUUGUUUUCUGGGGUGUUGCUCCCACUAACUGUUGGGAAAUUUCACUCGGGGGUGAGCAGGGACCCCGCGAUGAUGCUGGUGCUGGUGAUACAUCACAUCACCGCCAUAUGGUGAUGCUGGUGGUGGUGAUGAUAGUUUUCGUCCCGUGCGCAGGUCGAGGCGCUGCAUUGGGCUCUUGCAGCCAGUGGCUCCGAAACCACAUCCAACAACUCGAGCAGCAGCAGCACCACCACCACCACUACCACUACCAGUAGCACAAAGAGGACGUCCGGGCCAAUGGGAUUGGCGGCUGCAGCGGCGGUGGCAGCGGCGUCUCCGCGUGCAAAACAGCGACAGCAGCAUCCAGAGCAGGAGCAUCGGUGGCAUGGCCCUGCGUCAGCAUCGUACAAAAUGAUUCGGAUGUCGUACUACCCUGGCGACGGCUCGAAUUCCGAGUACGACCCGUGUAUUGAUGAUGAGACAGAGGACUAUCUGAACCUGCCAGAGGUGGGUAUGGGCCACGCAGGGGGCCGCAGGGGCGGCGGGGGGGGGGGGAAAGACGAACCCCACGAACGAUUGAAGCUGAUGCCAAGGAAAGAGUGCUGCUGCAGAUGUGAAGAAAGCAUGACAAAAACGAGGGGGGGGGGUAGAUGAGAGAAGCACGUUUGGUUGCUGCUGCUACUACUGCUACUUCUACUACUACUACUACUGCUACUUCUACUACUACUACUACUGCUACUGCUGCUACUGCUUAUGUUCAGGUGUUUAUCGCACAUUAUUGUGAACUGCUGGCAACGGGUGUACGGGACACCUGAAAUCAACCAAUUUGGUUAAUCACGCUCUGGGUGCUUAAAAGUUGAUAUUUUUUUUGAGUUUGUACAAACGUUCAUUGUUAGUUCACCACCGGGGUCUUAUGCGCAAAUGUGCAUUUGGCAAUCAAAUUUUGUCAAUAUAUAUUUUGCCCAUAUAUUGCCUAUGUAUAUUAUUAUUAUAUAUAUUGCCACUUUACAUAACCAAUAUAUGUACAUCCUUUUUGUGUGUAGCUCUGCUCUGUUUUCCCCCGGCUUUUCCCCUGUGAUUGUACCCGUAUUGUGUUAAUCACCGAUGAAAAAACUAACUCGUGCCGUACAGGUUCAGCGCGCUCUCCACGCCAAUCAGACGGUCAAACUUCCUUGGCGAUGGACUGACUGCACGCGGUCCAUCACGUACUCCAGGGAGGACCUGCUUUCGUCGAUGCUGCCCGUGUACGAACGUCUGCUGCAGGUACGGAAUUCGGUGCUCGUACAAUGAAAAGUCAUGACAUGCGCUUUUCAUUAACACUUGACAUGGGGGUAUACAGGGGUAACACCCAGCCCGCCCAACUACCCACCUUCCGAACCCAACCAACUAACCCAACUACCCACCUUCCGAACCCAACCAACUAACCCAACGAACACACCUGCCUUUCACACGUGCUUGUCCCAGCAGCCCUCCUUCCCCGCGUUCCUACCCUCCGGGCCCCUUUCCCCUCCCCCCCAGGCCAAUCUCCGUAUUCUGGUGUACAGCGGUGACGUGGACGGUAUCGUGCCGGUGGUGGGCACUCGCCGCUGGGUGACGACACUACGACUCCAGGUGCGACAACCUGGCAGGAGGGGGCCGUGCGUUCGUCUGUAUGUUUGCGUUGUAUGUGCGCGUAUGUAUGUAUGUAUGUAUGUAUGUAUGUAUGUAUGUAUGUAUGUAUGUAUGUAUGUAUGUAUGUAUGUAUGUAUGUAUGUAUGUAUGUAUGUAUGUAUGUAUGUAUGUAUGCGUAUGUUUGGGGCAGGGGGGUUGAUCCACUUUCUCCGGGGUGAAGGGGAGUGGGGUGGAGGGGGCUGGGGAAGGUGCGUGCGGGGUUCAGGACGAGAUGGUUUUGUCCCCCCGCAUCCCCCGUAUCCAAUAGUAUUUAAUGAAAAACUGCCGGAGCUUAAUUUAUUAGCAGUUUGGAUUAACUACCACCGAAGAGAAACGACCUUUAACGGCAACAGGAGAGCCGGAUGAUGACAUGCCGUAGGUUUGGUCAUGUCUUAGAGAGCGACCAAAUGAACGAUUAGUGAAUGAAUAAACCAGUGGAUGAAUAGCUGGGAUCAGUGAACCCACGGAAAUGGUAUUUUACUCUUGGCCACUUCCCCCAACACCCACUGUGUCGGUGUUUUCCCCCCGCCCCACCCGGAUACGACAUGUUGUGUGCCGUACGACAGGAAAAGGAGGCGUGGCGGCCCUGGUUCAGCGGCAGCCAAGUGGGCGGCUAUGUCGUACAGUAUGCGGGCCUUACGUUUGCCACAGUACGUGGUGCCGGCCACAUGGUGCCGUACGUACAGCCUGUACGAGCGGCCCACAUGGUUCGGGCUUUCCUAGCAGGAGAGCCGCUGUGAUGUACGACAGGCCCACCGACGCAAUAACCCACCGACUUACCACUCCGGGCCUUCUGGGCACAUGAUAAAAUACCGUUGACUCCCAACCACUGAACUACCAUAACCGUCAAAACCGCCAAGUGGAUGGACGGCGUGUUUGACCUAACUCUUUAUGCUGACGUACGUACACAGACAUGCAUCCACAAACACACACACACACACACACACACAUUCUCAAGCGUGCGCCAGCCACUCCACCUCGCCCGAGUCCUGCUCAUGGCUUGGAGUGACCCAAGUGCAAGGAGGCCAGAUGUAUCCAUUGGAUUUUGAUGAUUGAUGGUGGAUUGUGGUGGUGGAUUGUGCGAUAUCGGUAGGGACAUGUCUGGGCCGCCAUCAAUAGCGGCAUCAGUAGCAGCAGUAGGAGCUGGUAAUAGUAUAUAAGAGUAUAUUUCCCCCCCCCCCCCAACAGCAAACAGGCUUUCCACCUUUCAGUGUUGGAGCCGCCCUAGUUAGUUGUACCCAACUACCCAGCAGGCGGCACCUUACCCGCCGUCUUUCCCUCGCUUCCUCCCCCUCCUGCUGGUGCUGCUGCUGCUGCUGGUACUGCGGCUGCUGGCACCAACCAACACGUAUUGUAAUCUUUUCCUUUUGAGCCGUUGACGUGUUUGUGUCAUUGAUGAACGAAACCAUGAGAAGAAAGUAAUGGCGAUGAUUACACUUAGACACACACUUUACCUCACACUCUCUAACACACACUUUACCUCACACUCUCACUCACACACACUCUCAUUCUCAACACUCACACAUACACAUGUACACAUGAGGGCAACCUCAUAACUGGAGGAGUAUGUGUGUGUGAGUGCGUGCGCGUGUGUAUCUGGCGGCGGUGGAGAGAGAGGUAGAGAGAGAGGUAGAGCCGUGAGAAGUAGAAGUAGAAGCAUACACACACAGCGGCGUGUGGGGGGGGGAAGCAGGAGGAGUAAUCUAGAGACAUCGGGUGGUGAGGCGCGGCUUGCUCUUGUUGUGAAUGUGUGCUGUCCUGUUGUUGUGUAUAUGUGCGGGUGUAUGUGGGGGAACGUGGUAGCAAUGUUAAUAGCUGUGAGGUACACACACACACACAAACACAGGUCAGCAGAUAAGAUAAUUAAGAGCGAACGAACGGCGGGUUGGUUGCCGUGCUACUGGGCAUGUGGGUACCUAGUCAGCUGCCGAGUUUAGCUCACCAUCGUGACGUAACUCUAAGAGAGGAUUGAGUACUCUGUUGCCGUCGUACCUAAACACUAUUAGGCACAACGGUAUAAUAUCAAUACAGAGGUGUACGACCUAGGCUCGUGACCACUUGUUACAAUAACGCACACAACGGUGCACAAGCAAGCAGCUCGAACAUGUGUGUAAAGUGUACAUAUGGCACACAUAUGUGAUGUGUGUGUAUCUGCCAGUACGGAAAUGCUGGGAGGGGCAGAGGGGACAGGAGAUGAUCAGCUGUCGUGCAGCAGGCGGCCAUCGUACGGAGGCCUAACCCUGUCUUCCGAUUUUUCUUAGAACGCUACCGCAAUGGAAGUCAUGACUUCCUUCCUGGCUUCAAGUAGUGCUUCAGGAUAAAUGCUUCGAGUAACACAUCAUGCAGACCCACCAUCGUUCUGUAGAACUGAGAGAGCGUCAAGGCGUUGGUCUGGUGCGUCGAGAAUUCCAGUUCUUGUUAUCUUUGCGCUUGGGGCAAUGUCGCAGCCUAUGAGAUCUAAUCGAGGCGCGACUAUUGCUGGUUGAAAACUUAUUCCUUCCCCGUCGGUCGUGUCUUUCGGGACCUUCCGCAAUAUUUGGCGGUCUUCGGACCCACCCAUCAGACAAAAUAAAACUUUUUGUUACCCAUUGUUAAUAAUGUUGUCAUGGUUAUGAUCUGCAGGUCUCUCCUUCUUCGAUUGUGAUGUAUGGAUGUGUCAACGUGACUUGCAGGCUCCAGUCCUCCUCGUACCGUCGCUACCCCGUGCACUGAUUCUUUCCUACACCACCUUUGCACCCUACCUACCAACCUACCUAUUACCUGCUUAACAGAGGUCGGCAAAUCAGUUUCAGCGGCUGCGGGAGGGCAUAUAUUCGGUCAGUAAACCUAACAGUCCACACAGACUUUCCAAGUCCAGCGCGUGGCCCUACGGGCCGCAAUAGAGGCUGCAAGUCACGUUUUUGGUCAAAUUUUGGUCGUUAGGGACCCGCAGCCUUCCGGGGCCUUAAGCUGAAUUUCGGCUGCGGGUACUGUGGUACUGCGGACCCGCAGUACCCGCAGGAUUUGCCGACCUCUGCUACCCACCUACCUGCCUACCUACCUACCUACCUACCUACCCACGUACCCACCUACCUACCUACUACUUGCCUAGUUCAUCAACCAAAGACACGUCCCAACCCGUGCACGCCUAUAAAAAAACUUUGUUUAUGCAGUCUAAAACGUACAAGUUGCAUGCAAAACACAUACACUUCGGAUUGAGGCUAGCAUCAAAACCAUGGGCCCAAACGGGCUUCCGGCGCGUAGAUUAAAGCUAUUAUUACUUGACAGUUGACAUACUUACAGCUUAACUUGACUAGAUAUGUCUCAAUUGGGCUCGAUGCCACCAUUAUCGAGGUGCCGGUUGUCAGUACCUGUCGCAGUACGCAACCAUGGCGCGGCAAGCAGCGGAGAUCUCGAAGGAUAUCUUCAACGAGCUGCAGUGCUUAGUGCGUUAACUCAGCCAAGAAACCCAACUGGCAUCCCAAGUCGUCCCCGUCUUCGCUCCUCUGCCAAGGAGGCCAAGGUGGGUGGAUCGGAGCUUGCCCUGGUCUCACAUGCACAAAGGGCUGCGGUGUGAGCACCUGAAACCCGGGGAACGCUGAUCUUCAUCAAGGCCUAAAUUGCUCGACCGCAGCCAAGGGCGCCGAUGAGGAGGAAAUCGUGCAGACUGCUUGAGGGCGGCGGCGUCAGGAUAUACGCAGCCAUCGUCCCCAGGCCGUGCAACCGUGUGUCGUUGUGCGGCCAUAUGUGCCGUACGGCAGGCACAGGCCCCGUUGAGACCGUUGCUUACAUCAGCACCUUAUUCAUAAGCCCUAAAGCCACCAGAACGAACGCAUUUGUCAGUUACAAGUGUGCGGCAACAUAUCAGUCAAACCACCAUCGAUUGGGAUCAGGAGAUCUCGUUACUAUUUUUGUUUAUUUUUCAGAGCGGGGGCCUUCUAGGCCACCUGAACACAUUGUCAUUCCUACGACUUAUCACCAGACUGGCCCACACUGGUCCUUACUGCAUCUUUGGGGAACGAUGUUCGCACAUCAUACCUCGCUCGUACAUGUCGUACAUUUUAAAUUAUCGUCAAGCAUCAAAAUAGAGACAGCGACAGCAGGCGGAACUCAUUUUUAAUACAAUUGGAGCGGUUGGGAACAAAGGGUAGAACGUAACACUAAUAAAUAUAAACCAACUGCUCUUUCAUCAAUUUGAAAGCUCGUAAACCUAGCAUUUAGGGGGACUGAUCGCUGUGGACAUCGGAGGUCGCUAUUUCGCUACGCUCGACAUCGGACAGCCUUUCAGCCUCCCCUUCCUCUCUCGUCCUCUCCCUCAACCUCCCCCCACUUCUGCAUAUAGGUAAUUGCGGCACCCUUACAUCUCUCUGGUCUCAAACUCGCAGUGCGUCUCGACCACGUCUGUCUCGGCCCGCUGUCUGUCUGGGCGUAGUCGUGAUAAGCACACGUCUUUCUGUCUGAUACUUACAGAUGCACAUUAUCAUACACACACGUACAUACAUACAUACAUACAUACAUAAACAUGGCCCCAGACAUAUAGCAAAUACGCUUAGGCGCUGGUGGUUGUGGGUUCUGAACACACACCCGAAAAAGUCACUACAACGCACAUUUAUGUGUGCGAUGAGGAUGAUGAGGAUGAGGGUGUCCCCCCGGGGGGGUGGAGGUAAACAUCGGGGAAGGGGAAGUUCAGGGGCUCCGCCAGCAGAGGGCUGGUGGGAGGGGACAUACAUACACACACAUACACACACAGAUACACACACAAAGGGGUGUGUCAAGCUGUGUUUCACCACUUUCCACCACCACCCCGGCUUCAUACAACCAUAAAUACAUAUAGAACACCGGAACGAAUCGGCCAAGGAAAGCAAGGUUGCUAGCUUGCCAUCACCACUGUGAAUGCGCAUGGUGGGCCGCAGAUGCCGUACAUGUCGUAACGCAACACGCAACGCAUUGUUUGGCGGCUGCAUCGCUCGUCUACGACGCCUACAAGCUCUAAGGGUUACCGCGCCGCUACUACUGCCGCCACCGCCACCUACGUCGUUCUCUCACGCACGACACAAGCAUCAAUCCGGAUGGCCCCACGGGCGACAAAGAAAAUAAGAUAUGAUUGCUGCAAAGCCCGGAGCAACUGUCUCGUGACUCAGCUGGGAUGCAUGAAUCAAUAGCUCGUGUUAUAAAGCUUUUCCAAUAUAAGAAGGUUUUCGAUCCACUACUUCAUAAUAGAGAACAGAAAGCAAAAGAGACGCGCACGCAGCCUAAACUGUCGAAUACAACACAUCAGAAGUGAUAUUUUAUAGUUUUGCAAUAAGUCAAAUACCGAUUGACAAUCAUGCGACAAAUUGAGGGACAUUUGAACGGCCUGCAAAGCGUUUGGCUCGCACAUUUGGCCAUCAACUCCCUUAGGGCUUGCAAAUAUGUAUAUAUAACCUUUUCGAGACGUAGAGUGCAGGCGACAAAUGGCCGCGCGCGCUCGCUCUCGCGCGCUCACGCACAUGCGCACAAACUUGCGUGUGCGCAGAAAAGUGAACUUGAGACAUCCGUCGCUUCUUGUUGUUCGCCGUCAGCAAUGGCAAAUGGGAAAAGACUUCCGCACAACCGCCACAUAAUAUAAAACACACUCUAAUUAUGAGAGGAAGUCGGUGGAACGAAAGCGUCUCCGAGAGCGGCUUCAAAAUGAAGUGACGUGGGGAAACAAGCCGAAAGAAGCCGGCAUGGAUUGAGAUUCCGUGGUGGGUGGUGGUGGUGGUGGUAGCGGUGGUUCCGGUCAUUUGCUGCCGCGGCGACGACAAACGAAUCCGAUCAUCUCAAUUUGCGAUAGUUGACACCGGUUAAGGCGGGGGGAAAAAGGGAAAAGGGCUGAAUGGUCGAGAGGAGGAGGGGAGUUGGGUUUUGUCGGCCCCGUCUUCCCCCCGGGGGUACUGAGGACUGGGGACUUUGUAAGGUCGAAGAGGGGGGUAUACCAGGAGUAUUAGGAACGGCAAGAUGUUGCCAAACAGACAGACAGACAGACAGACAGACAGACAGGCAUUUUGUGGCGCAUCGACAGGGAGCCCGUCAGUAGUCCAUCCUGCGGAUGCGUGUAGGACCUGACCUGGCGGGAACCCGCGGCUCACUCGACAACAAGGUCACUAUGUCAGGUAAGUCGGUUAAACACGUGACUGGCGCGACGAGUGGGGCUGCUGGCGGCGCCGGCGCGAACAACGUCGCUGCUGGAGGCAGUGCCGGCGGCGGCGGCGGCGACGACAGCGGCGCUGAUAAGGACGGCGCCAACAACCUUGACGAUAAAGAUGGCGCCGCCAACGGCUCCGCCACCAAGGCCGCCCGCCGCUGUGCUGCCGCCGCCGCCGUUUGCGACGACGAGUGCUCCCUGGGCAGCGGCGGAUGAGGCAACAUGAUUCGGUCCCGAUCUCCGCCACUGCCGCCACCUUGUACGGCAAUACCAGAGCCGUUGCUGAGGGCUCGGGAGGACGUGCCAUGGGGCGGCGGCCUGGGGCUGCCGCCGUCACCGGUAGCGGUGGCGGCGGUGCCGCCGCCGCCGCCGCCGCCGGCGCCUCCCUUGGCGUUGUGAUGCUGCAACGCCAAGUUCCCUUGCGAGUGCAUUCGCAUCGGCAAUGCCGGUAGAGACUCCGUCAUUGCUUGUCGUACACGAGCGGACUUCGAGGCAGUAAAUUUUGCACCUGCAGCAGUGCCGCCGCCGCCGCCGCCGUCGCCAACGUGCUCGCCGUACCUGAUGUGUCCCCCUGGCGGCGGCGGCGGCGGCAUCGCCGAGAGCCGCGGCGAGCCGCUGCGGCGAGGCGAUCCGGGGUCGCGCAAGGGCGGAAGCUGUAGCUGCUGUACUGCCGCCACCGCGGCGGCCCCCGGCGGCUGAGCCGUCGUGCUGUCACCGCCGGCAGACGAGCCACUUCCGCUGGAGGCGCCGCCGCCGCUGCCGUCACCACCACCACUGCUACUGCCUUGCAGCUGCUGCUGCUGCGUUACAAUGGCAUGAUGGACCAGAUGCGUGGCCGGCAGGUAGCUGUACGACCGCGUUCCCUGGAGCGGCGGCAGUGGUGGCGCCGAAACCGCUGUGAUUGCACCGCCGUCUGACAGGUCACCUCCGGCCGCUGCCGCCGCCGGCCGCGCCUGGGUGUGCGGCGAGGUUCUGGAACGGACCGUGUGCCCCGCCGGCGCUGACGUCGCCGCUGCGGCGGCGCCGCCGCUGCCGCUGCCGCGGGCAAGGGUCCCCGUCGCUUCAGCGGCCUGUGAGGCGCCUCCGCUGGCGCUGCCCCGGGUCGUCACCGGCGCCAAACUCCUCGGCGACCCCGGGGCUGGCGGCGGCGGCGGCGGCGGCGGCGGAACGUUCUGGUGCUGGUGGAUCUGAAGUUGCAGAUGCGGCCCGUUGAGCUUCAGACGCGACGGCGCCGGCAACGUGAAGCUGCUGCCGCUGCCGCCGCCACCGCCGCCGCCGCCGCGCGGACUGGCCGGACCCGCCGCCGGGUCGACGGCCAGUGCGCCGUGCUCAAUAUUACGACGAGUUGUUGCCGUACCGUUGCUAAGCGGAACACGACCCGCUGCUCGCUCGAUUCUGGCCAGUGCCGGCGUCUGAGGCUUGCCAAAGCCGGACAUCAUAAGCGCCUCGUCCACACUUAGCAGCGGCAGCUGUAGCGCCGGUGAUGGCAACUGCCGACCAUGAACGACGGGACUCCUUUCUGUCGCCGUCGCCGCCGUCGCCACCGUUAUUUCCUCUGACGCAGCGGUGUUAUUGCCAUCGCCGAAUACGACGCCGACGCCACCGUCGACGUCAUUGCACCUCUGUGGAUCGGCCGCCGCCGCCGCCACCACCACCGCCGCCGCCGCCGCCGCCACCGCUGCCGCUGCUUCCACGCCGUCGCAUGUUGUGGCGGAGCGAGACGGGGUUUCGGAGCCGUCAGAGGAAACAGUGAAGCGGCGCAUGUUGCCCCGGAAGGGUCGAGACGCAGGCCCUUCCAGCGCCGCCGUCGUACUCGCCGCCGCCGGGGAUGCUGAUGUGUCGUCCUGCGAUGGUUGCUCCUCCGCCGCCGCCGGUGGCGGCGGCGGCGGCGGCGGCAGCGCGGGCAUAGCAUCGGCGGCCUCUGCGACUCCGUCGGCGGUGGGGUCCGGGGAGCCCUGCCGCGGCGGGCAGCUCUCGGCCUCCGCACCGCCGGAUCUGUCAAGCCUUCAGGCGCGGAAGCGUGGGGACGCGGGACAUACAAACAUGCAUACAGGACGCGUGGGAGGAGAGCUUUGGCGAAGAUGGUGAUGAUGGUGAUAAUGGCGCUCGGAGAGAGGAUUUCGUUUUAUUACUGGUGGGGUAAAGAGGGUACUUACAGAAAGGCAUAUGUCAUCAACCAUUGUAAGUGAUAAUCCAGAACGGUCAUGGCUAAUGGUGCGGCUAAUUGGGGCCCUUGGUUAGCUAAUUAACAGAACAUAUGAUAUCGUACAGGCGGUACGGAAACGCCGUCGACGUACCGCAGCUCAGAACAUGCCGGCAUCUCCGCAGCUUCGCCACCUGACCGAGAAGACAAAGGCGGCAGCGGCGGUAGUGGCAAGGCUGACGAUGGCGGAGAGCUGUUGCAGCUCCGUACAAUGUCGUACCCGGCAUCCGACGGAAGGGAUGAAGCGGUGGCAGUUCCAACGGAAGCCGAAAAGGAGCGCUCUUCAGCGCCGCCACGGCAGUCCGCUGCUGCCGCUACAGCUGCGUCAGCCGCGGCAGCAACAGCAGUAGCAUCUUGCACAGCGCUCGCCAACGGCAGCGGGACUACUACAGCCUCCGUACGAUCUGCCACGGCCGCUGCCGCCACAUUUCCGCCCACCUCCUUAUCGACAGCACUACUCCUAUUAAUAUUCGGAUGGGACGUGCCUGCGGCGGUGCCGCCGCCACCGCCGCCCGCGCCGCCGUCGCCGCCACCCAAAGCACCUGACGGUUGCGGCAACUCCGCCGCCGCCGCUGCCGCCGCCAUCGUCCCCUGCUCUCCCGCUUCCUCGGGCAGACGCUUCGGGACGUAACGGCUCUGCAGCGGGGGCCGCACGCCAGGCACUGGUACAAAAUCUGGGAGUGCCGUACCGGAAGGGCCCAUCAGUACGCUAGUGUACGGAACAUCGGUGUCGCCAAUCCCAGUGCUGGAGCCGCUGACAGCGUCUCCGCCACCGCCGCCGCCGCCGCCAGUACGCCUGUGGUUGCCGACGUCGGGGGACCUUUCCCGUCCGGUGGGCGAUGCAGCGCCGUCGCGCGGCGUGUGAACGCUCCUGUGGGCGCGCUGUACGGCAGCCAACUCAGUUUCCGUACGGCGCUGCAGCAUAGCGGCGACGUGGGCGUCCCAUGACUCCGGGAGCUGCGUCGACGGCAUCGGCGCCACGGAAGCCACCGGGCUAAUGCGCCCAGGACGAUGCGGCCCGCGGGUCGUUACGGCGGCGGCAGAGCCGCCGCUGCUGACGCAGAUGCCGGGCGCGUACGGCAUGUCUCCGGCAAAUGGCGCUCCCGUCACGGAUAGUUGCAGCUGCAACGGCGGAGGCGGCGGCGCCGUCGGGUGUUGCUGCGGCGUCGGACUGCCGCCAGUGCCGCCGCCGCCCCUGGAGUGGGAACACCUGGGUGAACCGGCUUGGGAUAUCGGCUGCGACGCCGCCGGGCUCCGCGGUACGGCAGAUCCCCGGCAUUGCGACGGCGGCCUGGAUCUGCAUCCUGACGCGGUUCUUGCCGCUUCAAUAGCCGCCGUCAGGACACCAGCGUCCGGCAUGCGGGGCACCUCCGUCGCCGCCGCCGCCGUUGCUGCCGUCACGUGGAGGUACGGCUCCUCGCCGCGAAGCUCCGUCGCGAUGGGCCAAGCGUCCCCACCGCCACCGCCGCCAUUGCCGCUACCGCUGACGUCAUCACCGCCGCAAGUGGAGGCGGCUGCUGCAUCAACCUCAAGGCUGCCGCCACCGUUGCCGCUGCCACCGCCGCCGCCGUCGUCGCCGCCGCUGCCGCUGCCGGUGCCGCCAGGCGUGUGGCUGAAUCCGACCGAGGUGUACGAUGGCCCGCGCAAGGCGACGACUUGCUGUGGGAAGGGCUUCGUACGGCAUCCGGGGGCAGAAGGCCGCCGCCGCCUGGCGGCGGUGGGGCCGGCGGCGCCGGUUUUGGCGGCAGUCGGUCCCGGUGCGCCCGGUGCCGUUAGUACCGCAGAGGCGAGGGACCGCAAGUGCACGCCGCUAAUGAGCAAGCUGCGGUGGCGGGUAGCCAACUGCGCGUAGAGGGCGGUGGCGGGAAAAGGAUGAGCCGACCCGUGGGUCAUUUACUUGUACCGUACCCACCCCAGCACGGCACGUGCUUUUCAUUGAAGGAGAAUAUCAUCAUUCAUCACUUUCCCGUACUACUGUUCCAUUCCAUCCGUAAUGAACCUCCCCCCCCCCCGGGAACAGCUCCUGAACCCGUUCAGGAUGACGUGAAGAACCCUAAGACAUACAGACAUAUAUACAAACGCAUAUACACAUGCAACCACACAUGUGGCCACAGACGUGAGAAUGUCACGAGCUGUUGGCUCCGAAGUUUUAACGCGCAUAGUACGACAGGUGAAAAACCAGCGUACCUGCUUUACGGAUCGCCCGCCGUCGCGGGCCCGCGUAUUUGUCGUACUUGUGCCGCCGCCAGAAUCCAUGCUGGCGCCGGCACCACCGCUGCCGCCACCGCCGAUACUGGUCCUUGCAUGGCCACGGGGCAUAGGCCCCGCCGCCGCCGCCGCCGCCGCUGUCGUACCCGACAGCGUUGCCGUCAAAAAAGAAGGGCCUGUGGGCGGCGGUGACGCUGGCCGCGGAUGCAGUGCUACGGCCACUACCGGGGGGGCCACCGCCGCCGCCGCCGCCGCCGUCGACGACGACGACGGCGCGGCGGCGGCGCUGGCAGCACCGCCGCUGUAAGCCGGAUACGACGGCAGACUGUACGACUGCAACAGCGAUGAGGCUUCCGUACGGAUCUUUGCAAGCGCCGCUCGGAAGUGGCUCGUCGACGGGCGCACCGCCACAUGGCCCCCGUGAAGGUCGUACAAGGCCUCGUCCUGGGUGCAAAUGUACGGCGUACGGCGUACAACUUAGAUUUUCUUGCAUCACGUUUGUAACCCCAACACAACCAAUCCAGCACAACCAGAACUCCUCCCGAGUCUCCAAGCUUACAAACGGGAUGCUAUAUAACAGUCUGAAAACGUUUUUCAGACGCGAUUUUUUAUUGCGACAAUCCCAAAUUCGCAAACAGGCAGCGUAACCGCUAACAUCAAACAUCGAAUACCCAGCAAAACAUGUUGUGGGAUAGAAACUCAUUUCAUUACAAAAGAGAAUCCGCCGAUCCGAGGAUGCCAAGGAUUUGUCGGGAGCUGUCGAAAUGAAAAUGGAAAAAGAAACAUCAACUCACUUUUCGAAAGUCCAAAGUCAGAGCCGCCAUAAGUUCUCGCGCCUCAUCCGCAUCAAGUACGUCCACUUCGCUGUCGCGGUACGGCACAUGACCGCCGCCGCCGCCGCCGCCACCGCCGAUCUGACGAAACGGCGUCCGCAUCUCCUCGUCGUACGUUACGCUGGUGACGGAGGAGCGCGGCAGCGGCAGCGGCGACGCGCCACUACUGGCGCCAGGUACGGCAGGCCAGUACCGUACACCGCCGGCGGGCGAUGCUGCCCCUGGCAGCUCCAACACACGCGCACCUGAAGUGGACAGUCCAGCAAAAGUUUUGAUAGGGUGGACAACCACGGAUUAUGCAUUGUGUAUGGAUGGUACGGCACGGAUUGCGCCGUUGCGCUCCGAUAAGGCAAAAAACCGACAAAAAAGGAGAAAAAGGCACAGUGAGAAAAAGUGUGUUAAAUUACUUCUCCGUGCAUGGGGGUGAACAAUCAACAAUGGUAACACGGUUCGUACAAAAUGAAACAAAAAAAUUAAGUAUGAUUCAUCUCCACGGAUAAAAGGUGCCGUACAAUACAAAACCCAAAGCCCCCCAGGACUCACUGUAAUGAUUCCGAGCGCCGUGGUGCUCGUUAGCGCCAACCGCCGCCGUACCCACCGCUGCCAACGCCGCCGCCGGCGGCUGCAGCGGCAGCGACGGCAGCUCCGAAACAGAUGUUCUAGAGGAAUCUGGGCCGCUCAGUUCCACCGAUGCUAAACUGGAUCGUAACGGAAAUGUACGGCCAGCGACAGUCACGACGACGGCCGGGCUACUCCUGUCGUCGCCGUUGCCGUCCUCCGUUGAAACCUCCCUGACACUGCCGGUAUCUCCGCCAGAGGUGCCGUACAUCGCCGGCAUUACCGUGGGGUGCGACAAGGCGCUUCUGAGCAGCGGCGGCGUCGCCGCUGCGGUGGCGUUGCCGCCGACGCUGCCGCCGGCGGUUGCUCCGGCGAGGGACGAGUUUAUCGACAGGUUCGACGGCUCCGCCGCCAGCAUGCCGGGUCCCGCCGCCGCCGCCGCCGCCGCCCCCGCUGGCGUUGGCGUCGACUUAUCCGCGUCGGCACCGGCAUCCGUCGGUGUCUCUGCCGCAUCCUGCGAAAAGUACAAAAAGAAUCCGUCGCCGUACAGCGUCAGGAUGGUAAAAACCGGCAACCGUUGCAUAUGCCUGGAAAGAGCGCUCACCGGCGCAAAUGGCAGCCGCCGCCGCCGCCGCCGCCGCCGCGGCAGCAGCAGGCGCAAGGCAAGGGCAAGGAAACAUGCCGUCUGGUUGGCUGGUGCCUGUCCAGUUGGCGGACUGCUCAGCUAACUGGCUGGCUUCAACACAGCGCUGUGACACGACACGCCCUACCGGUACCAACCAAUCAAACAACCAACUCACCAACCAACAACUGAAAUCGCUACCAAGCAACUCCCCCCGCUAUCCCCCUCUCCAAACCCGUCUUUAGCAUGCCAUCGCCGCCGCCCCGCAGACAUGUGCCGUACCUGCGGACAUCCCCUAAAUGCCGUACCUGUUCAUCCUCGAAGCGCAUCCGCCGGCGGGGCUUGCGGGGCUUGCCUCCCUCCACCGCCGGUGCCGUACCGGGGGUUCCAAGCGCCCAAGGGGCUCCACUCAAGGGUGUCCCCAAACUUUCGCCGCCGCCGCCGCCGCCAGCCCUAGAUGGCGUAUCCACCGAACCUAAAGGCCAGGAGCUCUCUAACGUGAGCGGCGGCGGCGGCGGCGGCGGCAUCAUCCGCGUCGGCGUCGGCGCCGCCGACACCGCCGCCUCGCUGCCAGCGGCAGGGAAACCUGUAUCCGUGCUACGUGCGCUCCGAGGCGGCGUCGUUUCCAACAGCGGCGGCGAUAACGGCGACGGCGACGGCGACUCGCUGACGGCGACGGUGGCAGAGGCGGCGGCGGCGGCGUCCCGGAUGGCCGCCAGCUCCGGCGGCAGCAGGACCGAACGCUCUAGGACCCGUCGCGCCAGGCUGCCGACGCCGGCGGCGGCAACGUUCCGAGUGCGUGGCGUCAGCCGAUGCACCCCACCGUCGCCGCCGUCACUCGCGUACCCACCGUCGCCGCCGUCACUCGCAGCUGGAACCAGUGGCGGCGGCGGCGGCGGAGUCGCUUCCGUAAUACAGCCUUGCCGCCGUUUCGCGCGGUGGAGUUUGUGCUCCUGUUUAAGCCAGGCCUGUAGCAUGGGUGAUAUCCAAACGUCGUCGCCGUCCUCGCCGCCGAAACUGAUGCUGUCUUCGCUGCCCUCGCUGUCGCUGCUGCUGCUACCGCCGCCGCUGCUGCUGCUACUGCUACUGCUACUGCUGCCAAAGCCGCCGCCGCCAGCUCCUCUUAGGAGCUGAGCCCUCAGCUGCUCCCGCUCCUCCUCCUCCCGACGCUUGGCGUUCACGACCCAAGGCAACACUUCCUCGGACGAAUCAGACCUACGUGUAACGCCAACCGUAACGCCAACCGUAACGCCAACCGUAACGCCAACCGUAACGCCAACCGUAACGCCUGUAAUCCCUUUAUAAAACACCAAAGCAGCCGGUUUAAAAUAACGUCAUGGCCUCUAGCGCCCGCAGCUGCACAUCGAGUACGGACAGCUGCCGCUAACCCUAAGCAACUCCCGCUCUUCCCACCCCGGGGAUGUUGUACAGCCGUUGUACGGCAGUUGUACAGCGAUCCUUGAACUCACCUUGUGCCUGCCACCUCCCAUUACGCCGUCGGCAUCGUCGAGCCGCCGCCAUAGCCCCCUUAACCCCCCACCCACCCACCCAUCACCCACCUCCGCCUUCUUGCACGACCGCCGCCACCGCUUCCCCCGCCGUCGCUAUUAUCGUCAUCGUCGCUACCUCUUCGCCGGCUCCUGCCCCUGGACAUUCUCAUGCUGCUCAGAAGGCCCUGCGACCAGGAGUGUGUGAAUGUGUGUGUGUGGGGGGGGGGGAGAAGGGGUUUUAGGGUUUUGAGUGAAGGCAUUGAGCGGAUGGGCACUUGAAAGGAACGGUCAUUAGAUCUUUUCACUCCUCUCACGCAAGAGGAAAGAUUUUAAAGUUUAUAAUCAGUUUUAAAAAAGCAAUCGAUUCGUACAUUGACUCUCCAUUGAAGUAUUAAAAUUGACUGGUUGACUUUCUGAUGGGCAAAAGUCCAUUACAUUAGUUGGACGUGGGUUGGGGAGGAAAGGAAAAAGGAUCCACCAAAUACCGUUCAACGGUACCGCGAAGGCCACAGAAAUCGCAGCAUCUUAUCCCCUUGCCCCCUUCCCCUCGCCCCUUGCCCCCUUCCCCUUCCCCCCUUCCCCUCGCCCCUUCCCCCCGUCCCCUUCCCGCACCAUUCCGCGGCCGCCGCCACUCGCCGCAAAAGCUGCUCGUGCAUCCGCCCCACCGCCGCCGCCGCCGCCAGCUCCCUUGCCGCCGGUACGGCGGCCGACGGGGGGAGAGGAGGGGUCCGUUUCGCGUGGGCCACCUUCCGGCUGUGCAGCAGCAGCUGCAGCAGCAGCAGCAGCGGCCACGGCGGCUGCGUCCGCGGCGGCUACGGCCGCCUUCACAGCCGCCAGCUUGGCGGCGGCGGCGGUCUGGUUCUUCAGGAGCGUCUCCGCAGGCCGCUGACAUAUAGCCUGGUUGGGGGAGGCGAGGGGGGAAAGACGAACCGCAAAGGGGGAGUGGGAUGAUUUUCAAAAAGGGGAAAAGGCGGGGAAACACAUGCGAAACACGGAGAAGGCGGGGGAGCAGCUGAGGGCUCAGCUCCUAAACCCCCUCUCCCGCCAAGUCCCUGCCGUACAUAAACACAAAGAAACGUACGACAUGAGUUUUUACGGACGGAUGUACGGGUGUACAGAUAGAGGCGCAGAUAGUCAAUGACGUACCCGGAGAAUUGUACGGGCGCGGCGGUUGUAGAAGUUGGCACCACUGACCGGCCACUCCAGACCCGCCGCCAGGGCCGCGGCCACGUUGAGAUCCACAUUCCUUCCUCCCUGGAGAGAGCGUCAUGCGUACGGAGUACGACGGGGGGAACCAAUAUCAACUUGGAUAUCACUAUGUGGAGUAGGGGCCCCAAACAUCAGGAGGCGGGGUUAGAGCUGUGUGUUAUUGUGUAUGAUGUGUGAAGCAGGAGGGUGUAUCUUCGCCCGUGGCAGCUACCCUGCGAAACCCUGCCUUCCCCGGUAUUUCGGGGCACCCUCAUCCAGUCACCCUAGUCAACUUCUCAUUCUCAGUGGAGCGCUCAGGUUCCGCACCCACCACCAGCAUCCAACGGAAUCUGCCGGGUCGACAGCGGCCCAACUCCAUUCCUGGUCGGCUCGCAGGUUAACUUUAUCCCAGGUCACCACCGUCCAUCAACUAGGGACGCAAUACCUUCCACCAUCGGAAGGAUUUUUGACUCUAACGGGUCUCGAUCCCGGGAUCUCCCGGGGGCAAUGGUCGCGCGUUACCAGUAGUGCCAAACCCUGUAUAUGUGUAUGUAUGUAUGUAUGUAUGUAUGUAUGUAUGUAUGUAUGUAUGUAUGUAUGUAUGUAUGUAUGUAU
rnacentral:lncRNA from 1 species